rnacentral:lncRNA from 1 species
GUCAGAAAAUCUGAGUGAAAAUUGAGUGCAUAUCUAGUAAGGAAUUGAGGGAAUUCUCUAAGACAUGUUACUACAUUCAAAAUGUUGUUUUAAUUGAUUAAAUGUGAGCUAGUGAAUGGUGACUAUGAUUAAGUAUGCUCGAUGGUAAGGAUGACUAAAAUCUGUGGGAGUAGUGAUUUUUGGUAUGUCAUCUUUCAUUGGAAAUCCCUGAGGCAAAUGUUGGAAGGUCUAGGUUUUGUUUUGUUUUGCUCAAGGACUAGCAAAAGCUAAGUGUGGGGGAAUUUGAUAGGAGCAUAUUUAUGCGACUUAGAUAGCUAGUUCUUGUGCAUUUAUGUUGUUAUUUCUUAGUUAAAUUAGUAUUUCAAGCCAUUUUCGUGUGUUUGUAUGUCUAAAGGGUUAAAGAGGCAAAUAAGUGCAUUUUGGAGCUUUUUCGAGCAGUUUUGAGCAUGGAAUGGAUAGCUUGUGAAUGGAGCAAGGGAGAUGGAUGAAAUUGAAGAUCAAAGGAGGCUAGGAAUGAAUAAUGAGAUAAAAGAAAUGAAGAACAAAGCGUUCAGAAUUGGAAGCCAAAGUGUCUAAAGUUAGAAGUUUCUAUUCUUGGAGGUUUCCAUUCUUGAAAGUUUCUAUUCUUGGCUUGGAAGUUUCCUAAUCCUUCCUCACCUAUGUUCCAGCCACAAAAGGAUUCCAAAAUAUGUUAGGACAUUUAAUUACAUAUUCUAGAAGCCUUAAACCUUCCCUAAAGUCCAUGCCGCACCAUCUUAGAGGAUCUUCCUUUCUUGCCGCACAAGGAGGUUGUUUCUUUCCUGUUUUCUGAUCUUAAAACCACAUUCCCCUUUCUUCAAGCAACCAGCCGCACCUUUCUCUCCUUUCUUGCCUAUUUUCUGACCCAAAAUCACAUUCCUUUUCCUACAUAAAUUCCUGCCGCAUAUCAUUUCUUAUUCUCUUUAAAUUCUGUACCUUUCUUACUUAUUUUGGUGGAUUUUUGACUUUUAAUUCUCUGGGGACAAAAUAGCUAAGUCUCAUUCACUUUCACUAAGACCUUUGUCGGGUCCUUGGCCCUAUAUCUACCAUCUCAUCCACUUCCAUACACAUCAAGCCACACCUAUACACCAUCAGAAACACAUCCAAACCAUCCUUUGCCACAACCAUCAUUCAUCCACUCACCACCAUACACAACCUUAAGCCAUUCUUCCAUGCAAAUAACCAUCUAAACCAUCACUCAUCCCUUGUGCCGCAGCAAAGGAGAAGGAAGGAAACUCUUGGACGUGCUUGCUAUUCAAGUUAGAUCGCUGAAACGUUUCUUAGAUGUUUUCAACCUUUUGUUUUCAAUGUAUAUGUUUAAUAAUCUUUGUUCUGUGAACAUGAGUGGCUAAACCCGUUUUUGGUAGAGGGAAUUCAAAGCCAUGAACAUAUUUGCAAUAUGAAUUGAUUACUUUCAGUUGUGAUUUCAUAAACCUUGAAUGCAAUUUACUUAACGGUUUGAUUGAUAACUUAUUUUUGUAUGUUGGUUGAAGGUCUACACUUAGUUUGCAUGCAUGAAUUUGAUGCUAGAAUAUAAGGGAGUUUCACCUAAUCGUUAUGAACUUAUAUUCACAAGUAGUGGUGGUUGUUGGUCACGAUCGUGUUAAGUAAAUUCCUGGCAUAAGUUUCAUGCAAUUCAUAGUUACAAGUGUCUUGUCAAUGCUUAUGAUUUUCAUAGAACUUAAUAGCAAUAUAGUCCCUUAUCAAUAGUGAAGGCUAAAGAUUGGUUUUAUGAACUUUAUAGCAAUAUAGUCCCUUAUCAAUAGUGAAGGCUAUGUGCUCUCGAGAUGUUUUGGACUCCUCCUCCAAAAGUAUACGAUGAGCCUCUUAAGAACACAUAGCCUUCAUUAUUGAUAAGGGACUAUAUGGCUAAAGAUUGGAGGGUUAAGUCGGCGUUGAGCCUCUCGAGAUGUUUUGGACCCUUCCUUCAAAAGUAUACGAUGCAUGCAAGUGGUAGGGCUUAUUCCCUUGAUGUCGGCCAAGGUCCAACCUAUAGUUGUUUUACUCCCUUAACACCCUCACCAACUUGACCUCCUCUUGUGCCGUGAGUGUGCUUGAGAUGAUGACGGGCAACGUAACGUUAUCCCCUAAAAAGACAUACUUCAAAUGGCUAGGUAACGGUUUAAGUUCAAGGGAAGGUGGCUGUAUCACUGAAGGAAGCAUUUUAACAUCUCGAGUGGUCCAAAACAUCUUUGCUCUAUUCUUGGAAGCCAUGACUUUAUAGCAAUAUAGUCCCUUAUCAAUAGUGAAAGCUAUAUGCUCUCGGUCCAGAGGGUACAUAAGGAUUUAGCUGUACCCUGAGUAAGCAUCCAUGAAGCUCAAGAGUUCACACCCUGCCAUUGAGUCGAUAAGUCUAUCAAUGAGAGGGAGGGGAAAGCUAUCUUUCAAGCAUCCUUUAUUAAGGUCAGUGUAGUCGACACACACUCUUCACAAGAUCUUUUGAAGCAGGAGGCUUUCCUUGGUUGGAUUUUUCUUCAUAAAAACAACAUUUGAUAUCCACGUUGGAUAUUUAACUUUACACCAGAUUUUUCUGCCUUCAUUGCCUUGUAUCGUUCAGUGUCAUGAGAUCUUUGCUUUUGUCUCACCAGCUUGGUCCUGGGAUCAAUGUUUAAGCAAUAACAGAUCAUAUCAGGAGAGAUGCCUGACAUGUCCUCGUAUGACCAAGCGAAUACCUCGGCACUUUCUUGUAAAAAGGAGAUCAAUGUCAACCGAAGGGGUGGUGACAAAGUGGUGCCAAUCUUCACCAUGCGAUCAGGAUAGUCUUUUGAGAUAGAGACCUUCUUCAAUUCUUCAGCAUCCUGUGCUUGCUGGGUGAAAGAGUCGUCUUAUGGAUCAUCAGGUUAACCGUUGCCAUCACGAAGAGCCAAGUUGUCUUCAUCUGAGCUAGUCUUCAUGACUUAGUCAUGUAUACAGAAGGUUUCCUUGGGCACAUUCAAGUGUUAUUGCUUGACUAAAGUGUUGUAGCAUGAUCAUGCACUAAGUGGAUCUCCUCUUAUGUAACCAUUGCCAUAAGGUGUUGGAAACUUCAUCAACAACAUAUGUCUGGAUACCAUGGCCUUAAGAUUGUUGAUGCAUGUGCGCCCAAUGAUGACAUUGUACGCUGGGCAGUCGACCACAAGGAAAUUAGUGGUAAUAGUAGCUGUGUAAGGGCAUGUACCAAUGGUGAGUGGUAAGUGUAUAAUCUCCAAAAGUUGCACAACAUCGCCGGAAAAGCGUAUUAGGGGAGUAAUUGAGGGAUCGAGCAAGUGUUCAGCAACAUUAAGUGCCCUAAAAGCCUCAACAAACAUGAUAUUGACUAAAACACCCAUGUCUACAAGGAUUCGCCGCACAUCAAAGUUAGCUAUGUGAGCCUCCACAAUCAGUGAAUCAUUGUGAGGGUAGAUGAUGCCAUUUUCCUCCUUAAGGUAGAAACAUAUCAGAUCCCAAUUAGGCUUUCGAUACGUGCCUCUCCUGAUGUCUUCCAUAUGAAACACCUGGUGGCUAGACCUCAAAGUUCAUUCGCUGUUUUUCAUGGCCCUGUUGGAAGAUUCAGAGAGGGAUUGUCGAGUGCAUAAAAUUAUAUUUAUAUGCCCUCUUUUACUUAGGUUUUUUACUUAAAACAUCUAUGCAUCACAAGGUAUUUUGUUGUUUGUAUUGUAUUUUAGGAUGAAAGUAAGGGCUUGAAGAAAUUACCUUUUUUGAAUAUUGUAACAAGUGGCCCAAGAUCUGCCAGAAAAGGCCCUUGCAGAACAGCCAAAUUACGAGCUUUGCCUCGAAGUGCUCAAAAUGAAUUAGAAAAUGGGCCAUAUAUGGUCGGAAAGCCCUGGAAGUCUUCUUUUUGAUGGUCUUUACAACUUGUGAUUUGGAGGUUUCGACAAGAAAUUACGACAGAAUAAAGAAAAGCUGUUCAUAUGCAAAUUCUAAUAACAACUAGUUUUCAGUUACUCCUAUAUUAAAAGCUGAUUGUAAUGAGCUAUAAAUGAGAGUCAAUUCAAGGAUGUAAAUGUGUCAGAUGUUAGAAAAACUCCUAAGCCUUUUAAUAGGAGAAAAAUACACAGAAUUAGAAGGAGAAAGAAAAGGAGCAAAAAACAGAAAAACACAGAAUCUGGAGAGAGCAUGAGUCUUCAGCCUUGAGCAGUUUCUAGGUUCUAGCUUUCCUAACUUUUUAUGUAUUUUGUUAUGUUUUUAAUUUAGUUUAUGGAUACUUAGGGCUGCUUUGAAUCCCUAGACAUGAUUGAAUUAAUGUUAUGAUGCAAUUUUAGUUUAUCAAUUUCAUAUGAAAGCUAGAAUCAGUUUUCUGUUUCAAUCAUUUCAAGCACAUGUUUUCAAGCUUAGCUACCUUGUUUAUGUUUGCUUUCUGUUAAGAAUGAUAAGGAUGACUGCCAUAUCUUCUUUCAUUCCUUACCAACAUGUGGUUAGGUUCAGAACUAAUCAUGUAAGCUGAUUCCAUGAAAAUCUAGGAUAAAUGCCAUGUUUUAGGGUUCAUGUGAUGUUCAUAAUCCUCUUCAUUCUUAAUGAGUUUCUAGGUGCAAAAUCUGAGUAUAUGCCAUGCUAGGUUGCACCUACAAAUAUAAGUUUGAUGUAUAUGUCAUGCAUCUUACAUGCAUAGAAAGUGAGGAUUCAUACAAUCUAGUUAUAUGCCAUGCUAGAUAUGUGAACAUCUUAGUUGUGCAUUUGAAAUGGAUAAGUUAAAAGAUCAUCUCAUUGAAUCAUGAAUGUUUAGGGGAAGGCCUUAGCUUAUUUUAAGUCAGAUUUAUGUUCUAAAAAUGUUUCUAACUUAUUUCAUGUCUUAGGUUUGUUUUUAGAUAGUUUUAAUUUUUCACUUUUCCUUCUGUCUUUAUUUCUUUUCCAAAAUUACUCAAACCCCCCAUUUUAAGUCAUGAGUCUUUAACUAAUGCUAAUUUGUAAAAGUUAAAGGUUUUACUAAGUUGUUUCUCAGUCCAUGUGGUUCGACACACUUACUUGUGCUGCUAUACUAUCCUUAUAUUUGCACUCGAAAGGAACUUCAACAGGGGUGUGCCACCGCUGAUACAAUAUAUCAUGUCCACCUGGCGUUGGUUAAGGUUAUCCUUUGGAGGGUAAAGAAGGAAUUGAUCAAUUUUCACUUCUCUUGCCAAAGUUUCGAUAUAGACAUGGAAGGUGAUACAUUUCUCGUUGUCAUGGCCAUUAUACUCGUGGUAGCAGCAAAACAUGCCCAUGUUCUUUGUGGACUUACUGGCUACCUCAACUUUGGGUUUGGUAUCAAGUGAGCUAUACUGGGGUAAAUGGUUGCACAUGUGGCAUUCAAAUGUGUGUAUGUCUCAUACUUUGGGGUAGGGCCUGUCUUGACCUGUGAUUGCCUGAGGGUGGGCAUUAUCAUAGUGAUACCUUUUGUUAUCACAAUAGUGCCCCUUACUCUUCUAACUAAAAUGAGACUGUUGAGGAUGGAAAUCCUUCCUUUUGCCAUGAGAUUGAUAUGUCUGUUGUCCUAGCAAAGCGUUAGGUAAGGCAUGGGGAGAUGCAACAACCCUCUAGAAGGUCGAGGUUUUCUCACUUGGUUGCAUUUGGCUCCCAUUUCCCACUUGUUGAUAAGGGAUAGCUGUUGGAAAUAUGCCCUGAAAGUCAAUAUUUGGAAGAAACCUUUCAGGACAAAUGAAUCGAUGUAUGGAUGAUUCUUAUACAUCAAAUGGCAAAGACACGAAUUAGGACUAUCUCUAUAAACGAUAUAUGUCCUAAAUAGUGUAUCCAUGGACAGUGGAUCGAUUGAAGAAGUAAUCUAAUGAUGUUAGACUACAGAGACCUUCUUCACAUAACCAAAUGUCCAAAAAGGUUCCUGGUCGUUGGAUUGUCGGAGGGAUACUGACAAUGCGUAGACCGGUACAUACUGUGUCUACUUCAAUUGGAAGGAUGGAAAGUCUCAUCCCAUUCGUGUUGUGACACUAAGACAAGUAUGUAGGUGCUCAUUAGGGGAAUGAGUUCACUGAACACAAUCGAACGAGAGUACUUGCAUGGAGGUCUACUCACAUGUCAAGCAAGUAACUCUAAUGGUUGGAAAGAUGUAAGUAAUCCUUAGACCUGAGGCAUCGUCGUUGUCUUGUGGUUAAGUACUUAAUCUUUGAUUAUGUCAAAGUCUCCCCAUUCGAGGGUGUCCACGGCAUAAUUGGGGUUAAGCCACUUAGUCAUGAAGGCAAGUGUAUGCACAACAAGGAAUCUCUAAUCCUCGAUAAGAGAGGAAGAAUACUCUAAGAUAUGAUUCGGGAAUCUUCGGUCGAAGUAUCGAGCGUAAUAAAGGAAAGCGUUCCUAUACGACUCAAUUGAAUCAUAUAAGAAGGAAUAAUCACAUUAGGGGUUUGACAUAAUAUAUCCAUACCCUAAUGAUGUGAUUGAGAGUAUUGUAUUAGAGAAUGAUCGAAUUACAUUGUAAUUCCAACUGAAUAGGUUCUCCGAAUAAACUUAUACAUUAGCUUGGGUAGCUAUGACAUAUGGUUAGAUGUCACUCAUAGCUUGUGAGUUCUUCUAGAUGAUUAAAUGUAUUCAUCAAAGAAGAAAGGUGAAUUGAAAUGAAGUUUCAAUUCACUAAGUGAUUGAAUUAAAUUGGAUUGGUGCCAAUCACCUCACUGCCUUGCUAAUUAGAACCUAAAAGAUUGUUCACCAAUACACUAUUGUAGUGAGUAACUAAUGGAUGAUGGAAAUAAUUAAUUGGAUUAAUUAAUUGUUGUGAUUAAUUUAGAAAGUCUAAAGAAAUCAUAAAAGCGAUAAAGAUCGUUUUGGGCUUAAGAAACGUUCGGGUUUAAUUGGGCCCAUUGGGCCUAAACCCAUUGGGCUUUUAUUCAAGCAUUGGAUGACUUGAAAUAAUAAAAGCCCAAAGCCCAAACAAACAACAAAGAGGCCGGCCACUUUAAGGUGGAAAGGGUGAGAUAUUUAGUUAAGUGUUGACUAGGUUUCUUUUGUCUAUAUAAGGAACUUUAUAAGAUAUUGUUCAUUAGGGGUUUUUUGUGUGGUUAAAACAACAAAGAGGCAAAAGAAUAUCUCUCUAAAAUCACUACAAAGGUCGGCCACCAAAGAGGGUGAUUUAGCUAACAAUCUUUCACCCUUUUGGUUAUUCCUUCAUCCUUCUCACUACACUAGUGGGUGAGGAUCUUUAGAGGUUUCCUACUUUGGGAACUUGAAGAGAACCUAGGAGCACUCAUUGUAACAAAGUGGAGGAGGCAAGGAAGGAAGCUAGGCUCAAGGAGUUCAAGGAACAAAGGGCUUGGAGGUGGUCCAUCCUUGGUCUCAAGUCAAGAUCAAGAGGUAUAAGACUAAACCUUCACUUUGUUCUUUUUCUCUAAAAUUUUAUUUGAUGCAUUAUAUAUAAACCUAUGAACCUUGAAGGGGAUUUGCAUGACUAUAGCUUUGAUAAUAUGUUAUAAAUGCUUCCACUGCUUUCGUAUAUCUAAAUUGUUUUGGAUAUGCAUGAUAGUCAUUUAGAAAUCCCAUACAUGAAUCUCAUAGAUUUCCCUUCAAGUGGUAUCAGAGCCAAAGGUUUAUGUAUAAUGUGUCCUUUUGGAUUUUAUGCAUAUGGGUAUUAAUGUUAUGUAUGACAUAUUAUUGUUUCAUUCAAAGUAUGUUUAUCUUUUGUUUUUCAAUAGUUGAAAAAUGUUAGUCAAAAGUUGAGAAAGAUAUGUAUGCAAAAGUGUUUUGUAUGCAUGAAUGAAAAAUGAGUUUAGAACUAGUAUGACAUAUUAUUUCUUCAUUUAAAAGUAUGUUUAUCUUUUGUUUUUCAAUGGUUGAAAAAUAUAAAUCAAGAGUUGAAAAGAUAUGCAUGUAAAAGUUGUUUUGUAUGCAUGAAUGAAGAAUAAGUCAUGAACAAAAAUUUGGGAUUUUGUUCUUCUUGGUGGGCACGGUUUUGGGGGUUUUUGUGUAUGUGUUUGUGUUUUAUUGUAAGACACUCACACAUCAUUUUAAAGCUAGAAAGUAGAACCCUUGUCACUUUUGUUUUUGGGUUUGAAAAAUCACCAAGAAUACAUAAAUCUUGAAAAAGUGUUCAUGGUUUUGUUCUUGGUGUUCAUAGUGUGGUUUUUGGUGAAAAUGGUUUUAAUUAAUUUUCUUGUAUUAUUUUGUGGUUUUGGAUGAUGUUCUUACCAUCCAUAACCAUAUAAUAAGUUUAUUAAACCCUAGACUUGACUAGGAGAUUUCCAUCAAACCUUUUCACCUAAGUUUUAAUGCCAAAACCAAGUGACAAGCAAAAUUUUGAUUUUUUCUACUUUGCAUUGAAUUUAUGCAUGUGGGUGAGACUUCCCAUUCCCCCAUUAAGUGGCCGGCCUCCCCUAGUGGAUUUAUCCACUUGUGGGGUUUUUCGUAAUCUUGAAAAAGAUAUUUUAUACUUUUGAGUAUUUACGGUUUGACCCCUAACUUUUUCAUAUUUGCAUUUAAGCCCCUACUAACUAGAAAGUUAAAAUAUUUGAUUUUAAUUUUGUUAGUUGUUUAAACUCAUAAUACUAUUAUGCCCAUAUGCACUAAAUCUAAAUGUUUAUGUUGCAUUCUAUUUAAUUAUUUAAAUGUGUUUAAGUAGUUAUGAAAUGGAUGACUUUGGACUUAUGCCUUAAACGAUAAUUGAGCUAUGAGAUAAGGCGCUAAAAUCAAAUUGUUUUGAAACCUUGGGAAUGUGUUUUAAUUACUGUUUAAUUGGACCUUGUCACAUUUGACGUUAAUCUUUCUCUCCCCUUUUAGUAUAUGUAAUUUAUAGGAAUUUGUACAAAUCGGUUUGUAAUUCUUAUUACUUCUUAAUCUCUAUUCGUUAGUGGAUUCCCUCUAGUGCUAGACUAGAGUUUCUUUAACUAUUGGUAAAGGAGACAUAACUAAAAGAGGGUUUUGACAUGAGAUUAAAGAUUAAAAGGGUCCAAUGCCCAAAUUAGCUUUGAAUGAUUGUCUUUCAUUUCUAAUGGCUCAAUGAAAAUGGUUUUAAUUGGAUUGAUAAGCACGUAAUUAAAUUGACACAACCUCCCCGAGUUUAUAUUCAACAAUGAUGGCUCGUUGUUGCAAUAACCUAAUAAGUCCAUGGUCAUCUAAGAGCCUAAGAUAACUAUAAAGUCCAAUUUCAAAGGAAUGCAAAAAACCUUAGUAGUAGUAGUUACUUCCAAUAUUUGAAAAAUUCGUUUUUGAUAUAUUGAUUUUUUUUUUUCUCAAAACAAAUAGUGGGAGUAUCAUACGCUACUAAACUAUAAUGAAUACAAUUAGUAGUUAUAUAUAUCUCCAAAAUUUUGAAAAAUGUUUUGAUAUUGAUUUGUUUUAUGAAAACGAAUAGUGGGGAUAUUAUAUGCUACUAAUUUCAUUAACUUUGGACUAGUAGUUGUAAUAGGACAUUAUUUAUUUGAUUGUGAUUAAAUAAAUAAAAUUGAUGAUGAGACCUUAAAAUCCCUCAACCAAACAAAUAUUAAGUUGAAAGCGUAAGAGUGCUUAGAACACUUUUUCGUGGCCUUCCACCGUGGUAGGCUCCAAGCGUUUAUGACUUGUACACCGCCUUCACCCUAUCAUGGGGAAGUGACAAAGUGCAUGCUUAUAUUCAGGAGGAGUUUAUUUAAAACAUUUGAUGAGGUUAAGGUAGGCAACGAGUAUGGCCAACAUCGUAUCAUCGUGAGGUCAUGCUUGAACCCCUAGCUAAACCGGCAUGGUGGGAAAGAACUUAACUAAGAAACAUAAUGCCAACAUCGUAUCAUCGUGAGGUAUUUUUUUCUAGAGGCCAAAAGGAUGGGUAAUCACAAGAGGUUGUUGUGAAUGGGUAAUUGUACCCUCUCAUUAUUAUUGUUGCUAGCCGACAUCGUAUCAUCGUGAGGUGGGCUUGGUAAUAGUGAGCCUCCCAUAACCCGCUAGGAGCUUUCUUUGAAAUCUCCCGGAUUCCAUUAUGAGGGAUAUGGAAUUUGCCAAAAAUAGUGGGUGGUGUCAUUCGGUUUAAAGACCCGAAUCGUUUGACUUAAACAACAAUCGAUCUAAUUAUUUUAUUUGUUUAUGUAUAUAGAUAUGGUUGGAAGCACACUCGCGAAAAUACUCGACAAACAUUGCCUAGAGGGGCACAAUUUCCCAUCAUGGUAUCGUAAUGUCAAGAUUCUCCUAACAUUGGAGAAGAUUGUUUACGUACUAGAUAAGCCUCCACCUCACAUACCUCUCAGCCCUGAGGCUACUGAGGAUGAACGUGCUAAGUAUGACAAGCACGUUGAGGAUGAUAUACAAGCCAAGUGCUAUCUGUUGGCUUCCAUGAAUGAGGAGCUACAGAGACAGCACGAGGGCAUGGAUAGUGCAUUUUCCAUAAUACUCCAUCUUACGGAGUUAUAUGGCGAAGGGACGCGCAACCGUCGCUUUAGCACCGUUUGUGAACUUGUAAAGACCAAGAUGGUCAAGGGGGCUCCAGUACACCAACAUGUACUGAAGAUGAUAGGAUUCAUUGAACAAUUGGAGAACCUUGGUACUCCACUUGACGGGGAAUUGGCCCAAGACUUCGUAUUGGCUUCUCUUUCUUAUUCAUUUGCUCAGUUUGUAAUGAACUACAAUAUGAAUAAGAUGGAUAGUACUCUCUCUGAGUUACUAAACAUGUUAGUAACUGCUGAGAAGACUAUGAAGAAAGUGAGCGGUGUAGGGACUGCUGCAGUAGCCUACAACAAGCCAUCCUCUUCCAAGGCCAUGCCGCAAGGCAAAGGCAAAGGGAAGGAGAAGAAGUCACCCACUCCUAAGCCGAAAGGAGGAGUGAGGAAAAAGAAGGCAAAUGAGCCCAAAGGGACUUGGCACCACUGUGGAAAGGAGGGGCAUUGGAGAAGGAAUUGCAAGUUAUACCUUGCAAGUCUUAAGGACAAGCCACAAGGUAUGGUUUAUGUCCUUAUCUUCAAUUCUAAAUGUUAGAUCUUCUAAAUAUUUAUAUUUGAUAUAAAGAGCUAAUCACUUGUAUAAUUGUAUAUAGGUGGAGAAGCCAAGUAGAAGAAGAACAAGCAAAGAAAAUGUGGUGAAGGGUUCGGCCACUAUGUUUUUUUUUGCUCACUACUUAGGAAGUUUGUUAGGCAUUAAAGAUUGUCUUUAAAUUUUCUUAUUUUGAUAAGAACUUAUUAUGUGGCUUCAUGUGAUGGAAGACCACUAUAUAGUGCCUAAAUGUAUAAAGGUAUUUAUAUUAGUCUCUAAAUGUAUAGAGCUAAUACUUUUUGUAUUAAACAUUAUGAAUGUUUGAACUAUCAUAUUAAUGUAAUGUGAAGUAUGCCUUUUUCAUAUACUAUUUCCUUAAAGUAGUGUUUAUGAAUUGAAAAAUUGUCUUGUUGUAUCCUAGAUGAGAUACAAGAGUUAUAUCACUUAAUUGUAAUGUGAUAAACCAAACUUUAGAUUUAUCAAUUAUGGAUAGAUCUCGCAUGUAGGACAUAAAAGGAUACAAUGAAUCUUUAGAUUUGGUUCCAUUUGUCUACUUAUGAGUUCUAUAUGAAUUGACAAAAGUCUAGAGAAUCCUUUCUUGAAGAAAAGGAAGAUCGCAUUAUAAUGAUAUAAGUAAUAAGAAAAACGUUUCUUAUUUGGUUAUCACUUGAAACACAAUGAUCAAGAUCACUCUUGAUUCAAUUAGUAGUUUUGACCAAUUAAUUGGGCAUUCUUAAAAUUGUUUUAAAAUGUCAAAUGUGAUAGUAAUUAAACCAAGAAAGAAGUGUCUAAAUCUAUAAAAGGUUUAAAGACUUUAGUCACUUAAAUAACAAGACAUUAAACUUAGUGAAGAUUGAAACAAAUAAGCUUGAAAUGUUUCAAAGCUACUUCACAAUGUCUUCUACCAAUAUAAUCCACUUUUAUACAUUUUGAAUGUAUGAAAUGAUUUCUCAUUAAAGUCAUGAGAAAUAGUGGGAGGUGUGAAAAUGGAUAUAAACUUGAAUGUGAUUGGUUUAUAGUUGUCUAAAGAAUAAUAGUACUUAACUAUUAUUAAAAGUUUGUAAUUUUAAUUGUUAAAAUGACUCAAGCUCUUCAAACGUUAAAAUUCUAUGUUGUGUAACAUUUAAAGAAUAGUCUUUGAAUGUUGGUUUUGUCAACCUAGCAUAAAAUGGUUAUAUGUUGGGAGUUGUCCAUCAUUCUCUUUUAUGAGAACAUGCUAAUAACAAAGCAUAUGGACAAGUUGAUGAAACAAAAGGGAAUAAGUUUCAAAAUGAGUCACAACAUAUGGUUUAACAACAAGGCAAUCCAAAUUCAACAUCUCAUGUAACGAUAUUGCUCUAUGUAGUUUUGAUAAAGAAUUAUAUCAACCACCUAGAAGGAAUGGUUGAGUUUCUAUAUCCUUAGUAGGAGCCAUGCUUCCACUAAAGACUUAGAUAAUUCUUAUAUGACUACAUUAAAGGUCUUAGUAUGACUAAAACUUGAAGUAUGGUGUAUGACACCAUAUAAUUUAAAUGAAUAGAUUUGAUAAAGCAAGUCACACAUUUCAUGGAAUUGCUUGAGAAGGAAUUCUUUUAUGUAUGAUUCAUUUAAAUUAGUGGGAGCAAUAUGCAUUCAAAUCAAGAAAAUAUAAUUGUUAAUUUUGAAUGAAUGCUAAGUUACAACAAGGCCAGUGGGAGUGAUGUCAUAAUUUGAGCAACAAGAUGUGAUUAAAGUCUAUUUGAUAGACUUGAUGAAACAUAGAUGUUACUCGAAAAAUGACAAAACAUGACACGGUCAAUUUUGAAGUAUAGACUUGAAAUUGGACUUACUGAUAUAGCAAAGCUAUCUCAAAUAAUGUUAUAUGGGAAUUAAAUCUCAAAUGUUGAAGAUUUAAGAAAGCAUUUUCCUAUGUGAUAGGAAAUCACUUUCAUAACCCUUAUAAUGAAUGUGUCAUAAAAUCACAAAAGGGACAUAUGUAUUGACUUGUGAAGUAGAUAUCCAAAGGUGAAGAAACCACCGAGUUUAUCACUUUAAGAUAUUACUAUAUCCCAGGAUCGAAACCAAAGCAACUGAUAGAGUAUUAUUGCCUUUAAGAAAGAAACAUCAGAGUGGGACUCUGGAAGCGUGCAUUCACUUAGGUUGUUAACCAAAGUGAAAAUAAGCCAUUUUAACAAAUGGAACUUCAUAAUGGAUGAAGUACUAAUCAUAUGAAUGAAUUGUUAGUAUUGUACUGCAAUGGUCUCAAGGUUGGAGCAAAGCUUGUAUAAAGUAUACAAACGAAAUAUAUGUCGAUAUAUAGUUUUAGAAACUGCUUCAAAAGGUGUUUUGACAAAAGGUGUUUUGAAUGGAAGGGGUUCAUUUAGAACCAAUGAUUGAAUCCAAACCAUAAGGUCAUUAGUAGAGUACUACGACAUAAUGGGGCGAUAGCUCAAGCCAUGGAAUCAAGGUCUCAUCAAAGUAUUCGAACACAAUAAAGAGACAUCAUCAAAUGUUUUGGAAACAUUUGAUAAGUAAAUCCCUUUUAAAUAUAAAAGAGAUUAAUACAUAACCAAGUUAACCUACGAGCAUAAACUCUCUCGACAAGAUGUAUAAGAUACACUAGUGAUUGACUUUAGUGCAAGUGGGAGAUUGUUGGAAAUAUGCCCUGAAAGUCAAUCUUUGGAAGAAACCUUUCAGGACAAAUGAAUUGAUGUAUGGAUGAUUCUUAUACAUUAAAUGGCAAAGACACGAAUUAGGACUAUCUCUAUAAACGAUAUAUGUCCUAAAUAGUGUAUCCAUGGACAGUGGAUCGAUUGAAGAAGUAAUCUAAUGAUGUUAGACUACAGAGACCUUCUUCACAUAACCAAAUGUCCAAAAAGGUUCCUGGUCGUUGGAUUGUCGGAGGGAUACUGACAAUGCGUAGACCGGUACAUACUGUGUCUGCUUCAAUUGGAAGGAUGGAAAGUCUCAUCCCAUUCGUGUUGUGACACUAAGACAAGUAUGUAGGUGCUCAUUAGGGGAAUGAGUUCACUGAACACAAUCGAACGAGAGUACUUGCAUGGAGGUCUACUCACAUGUCAAGCAAGUAACUCUAUUGGAAAGAUGUAAGUAAUCCUUAGACCUGAGGCAUCGUCGUUGUCUUGUGGUUAAGUACUUAAUCUUUGAUUAUGUCAAAGUCUCCCCAUUCGAGGGUGUCCACGGCAUAAUUGGGGUUAAGCCACUUAGUCAUGAAGGCAAGUGUAUGCACAACAAGGAAUCUCUAAUCCUCGAUAAGAGAGGAAGAAUACUCUAAGAUAUGAUUCGGGAAUCUUCGGCCGAAGUAUCGAGCGCAAUAAAGGAAAGCGUUCCUAUACGACUCAAUUGAAUCAUAUAAGAAGGAAUAAUCACAUUAGGGGUUUGACAUAAUAUAUCCAUACCCUAAUGAUGUGAUUGAGAGUAUUGUAUUAGAGAAGGAUCGAAUUACAUUGUAAUUCCAACUGAAUAGGUUCUCCGAAUAAACUUCUACAUUAGCUUGGGUAGCUAUGACAUAUGGUUAGAUGUCACUCAUAGCUUGUGAGUUCUUCUAGAUGAUUAAAUGUACUCAUCAAAGAAGAAAGGUGAAUUGAAAUGAAGUUUCAAUUCACUAAGUGAUUGAAUUAAAUUGGAUUGGUGCCAAUCACCUCACUGCCUUGCUAAUUAGAACCUAAAAUAUUGUUCACCAAUACACUAUUGUAGUGAGUAACUAAUGGAUGAUGGAAAUAAUUAAUUGUUGUGAUUAAUUUAGAAAGUCUAAAGAAAUCAUAAAAGCGAUAAAGAUCGUUUUGGGCUUAAGAAACGUUCGGGUUUAACCCAUUGGGCUUUUAUUCAAGCAUUGGAUGACUUGAAAUAAUAAAAGCCCAAAGCCCAAACAAACAACAAAGAGGCCGGCCACUUUAAGGUGGAAAGGGUGAGAUAUUUAGUCAAGUGUUAACUAGGUUUCUUUUGUCUAUAUAAGGAACUUUAUAAGAUAUUGUUCAUUAGGGGUUUUUUGUGUGGUUAAAACAACAAAGAGGCAAAAGAAUAUCUCUCUAAAAUCACUACAAAGGUCGGCCACCAAAGAGGGUGAUUUAGCUAACAAUCUUUCACCCUUUUUGUUAUUCCUUCAUCCUUCUCACUACACUAGUGGGUGAGGAUCUUUAGAGGUUUCCUACUUUGGGAACUUGAAGAGAACCUAGGAGCACUCAUUGUAACAAAGUGGAGGAGGCAAGGAAGGAAGCUAGGCUCAAAGAGUUCAAGGAACAAAGGGCUUGGAGGUGGUCCAUCCUUGGUCUCAAGUCAAGAUCAAGAGGUAUAAGACUAAACCUUCACUUUGUUCUUUUCUCUAAAAUUUUAUUUGAUGCAUUAUAUAUAAACUUAUGAACCUUGAAGGGGAUUUGCAUGACUAUAGCUUUGAUAAUAUGUUAUAAAUGCUUCCGCUGCUUUCGUAUAUCUAAAUUGUUUUGGAUAUGCAUGAUAGUCAUUUAGAAAUCCCAUACAUGAAUCUCAUAGAUUUCCCUUCAAUAGCCAUAGGGGGUUUCCCUUUAUAUGUCAUUGCUUUGACGGAGGCAUGGUUGUAAGCUUGUGCCAUCACCUCAGAGUAAGUCUUCCAAGUGUUGGCAUUGAUCAUAUACUUGAAGAAAUAUUCACAUAGGCCCGCUAUGAAGGCCUUGAAGGCAGUCUUGUCAUCUGCCUCAGCGCACUGAGAAUACUCAUGGCUGAAGCGACCGGCAUACUCACGUAGUGACUCGUCUGGCUUUUAAAGAAUAAUGUAUAAGUCAUCUGCAGAGUGCAAGCAAUUGGUCUGGAAAAUUUGUUGAGAAACAAAUAGUUUCCUCAACUCCUCAAAGGAAUCUACUGUCUCAAGUGAAAGACGGCAAUACCAGUUCAUAGCUCCACCAGAGAGGGUGGAGAGGAAUAGAAGACAUCGUUAUUCAUCAGUAUGCAUCUGGUAUGCCAUGGUGGACUCAAAGAGGUUAAGGUGUGCAAUCGGAUGCUCCCUUCCAGUAUAUAGUUAUAAGUCGAGCUUGUGCUUUGUAUUUGCUUGGAGGGGUGUGUCAAGGAUCAUCCUUGUAAAAGGGUCAGGCCUUAGUUGAUUACAGUCAGGUAUCUCAGCAUGACGUUCGGCUUUCAACUUGUUUACUUCCUCAAGGAGUUGUAGGACAAGGAGGUCUUGAGUGAAGUUAUGUACUACUAGAGCCUUCCUUAUUAAGUUUCCAACACCUCUUGGAAGUAGGGAAGUUUGAUCAAGGGCAUAUGGUCUUUCCUUGGAUUCACCAUAUUGGCUUUUAGGGCAUGUCUGUUGGAAGAUCUAUGAGUCCCCUAUGCCCUCAUGUUCCUCUAGGACUUGUCACUCCUUCCCUGGAUUAGUAGCUGGCCUGGGCCGUGGUAAAGGACCGAGUCUUUCAGAAACCCUUAGGUCAUUGACCUUUGAGCUUAUGUGGAUGAGGUUUUCUUGACGUUGCCUCAUGAAGUCUCGAUAAUCCCGGUAAACAGCCUUCAAUCUUUCCACUCCCAGUGCAAGGAGGUGUGAUGCAGGGCGCAGCGGAUAGAAAUGAAAUAAAAUGACAGAUAUGAUAGAUAAGUAGGGUCCAUUAUGUCCUAGUGCGAAGGAGAUGCCUGAAAACCCUAUAAACUUUGGGUUUAGUACCAUCCUACAACGUAGACACUAGAAAGAACAAAGUAACAUACUCUUAAACAAGAGAAAGGCACAUAAAAAUGAGUUUACAACUCAAAUAUCAAUAUGAUAAUUCAAACAACUUCUCCCCUUCUUCUUUACAAAUACAAGUAUUUAUAGGCUUACAACUUGAAGUGAAAAAUAUGAAAAGACAUAAAAAAUAAAGGCUUACAAUAUAACUCCUAAAAAACUAAAUGAUUUCAUAAAAUGUCAUUAACCUAGGAAUUCUAUAAGCCACAAAUUUAAAGCUAGAUACAUGCAUUAUAACUCUAAAAAUGCAUGUAUUAUAUUAUAAAACUUAAAUCCUAGCUACCAGUAAUUUUAUGUAAUAGCAUACCUUAAUAGCAUAUUGAACUCUGCUGAUCCAAACAAAUAGAUACCUCGCAACCUUAAUAGCAUACCUCGCAACCUUGAUAGCAUACCUCACAACCUUAAUAGCAUACCUCGCAACCUUGACUGUUGAAGUGUAAAAAGCACCCUUAAUAGCAUACCUCGCAACCUUGACAUUCUCUUUCAUUUGAUUUAUAAUGUCAACCAAAACUUUUGAAAUUCUAAAGUAGAAGAUAUCAACCCCAAUUAAAUCAACAUAUCCAGAAGUUUCCAAUGAACUCAUUAAAUCAUGAAACUCCAACCUCACAAAUUCUUUGUAAUCAGCAUUUUUAAUAAUUAGAAAAGAUUCCAUAUCAACAUUUUGUUGAGCCAUAAAAGAACUUUGACAGAAAACGUGAUAAGUACCAUAUGGAGAAUGAUCAGACUCGGGAGGAAGAUCAAGAUUUAUGAGGCAAUCACCUGAAUAAUUUUCACAACAUAUUGGACAUGAACUAUCCAAGCAACGAUCAAAUAUUGAAGGAAGGUCCAGAUUAAGAUCUUCAUCUAAUGGCAUCGGUAACAUGCUGAAUAUAGCGUCACUCUUGGAUCGAGUUGACGCUCCGAUACCAACAAAUAGGAUAGAUAAGUAGGGUCCACUAUCUCUUAGCGUGAGGAGAGGCCUGAACACCCUAUAAACUUUGGUUCUAGUACCAGCCUACAACGUAGACACUAGAAAGAACAAAGUAACAGACUCUUAAACAAGAGAAAGGCACAUAAAAACGAGUUUACAACUCAAAUAUCAAUAUGAUAAUUCAAACAACUUCUCUCCUUCUUCUUUACAAAUACAAGUAUUUAUAGGCUUACAACUUAAAGUGAAAAAUAUGAAAAGACAUAAAAAAUAAAGGCAUACAAUAUAAGUCCUAAAAAACUAAAUGAUUUCAUAAAAUGCAUUAACCUAGGAAUUCUAUAAGCCACAAAUUUAAAGCUAGAUACAUGCAUUAUAACUCUAAAAAUGCAUGUAUUAUAUUAUAAAACUUAAAUCCCAGCUGCUAGUAAUUUUAUGUAAUAGCGUCUUUAGUCCUUGGCCUGCAUCAAUGUGUCUCCCUCCACUUCUCCUACUUCGAGUCGAAGUAGCUGGGUUGAGAGAAGUCUCAUGUUGAUCAACACAUUGAUGAGUAGUUCACUCAUCGUUAGGAAUAUCCAUGUUGAAGUCUGGUGACCCUUCGUGUUGGGGGAUACUUAGGUGAUGGUUGACGUCUACAAGGGCAAUGGGCUUGUGGGACUGGGUAUGCCUAGCCUUAUGGAGGAUUUCGAAUAGCUUCUCAUACUGCUCCUGGAGGAUUUCAUUCUUCAUUGCUAUCUUGUUAUGAGUCUCCAACUCUUCGACUUUAGCUUGAAGGGCAAACUUCUUUCGUUCCUUCCUUCGCUACCUCACACUAGGCACGUGAAGAGUGUUGUUUUGUGUGAUGUUGCUUCCUUCACUCCCUAUGUUGGAGAGGAUGCCUAGUCAAAAGAGAGUGUACGAACGAUGGAAACCAGCAUGACAAAGCUGAAGAGAGUAGAAAAUAAGUGUCGCCUCCCAUAGACGACACGAAAUGUUGAUACACAAAAUCAGUGAAGACUUUGGAACAACGUAAAGUGUUAAGUUUGUGACCUUCGCUCUGUUGCUCCGGUCACCUAGUGAGGAUAAUAUGUAAAGAGAUAGAGAUAGGGAAGCAAACACAAGAUGUACGUGGUUCACCCUCAGUUUGGCUACGUCCACGGAGCAGAGGAGUUCUCAUUAAUAGUGAAGGGUUUACACAAUACAUAGGUUCAAGCAUAAUCAUCAUUAGUGAGUUCUAAUGACUAGUUUAAGUACAAUAAUGACAUUAAGGAUUAACUGUAUGAGAAUAGUCUCCUUUUAUAGUUGAAAAGAGUCUUUAGCUUUUGUCCGCAGUCGUUGUGGGACUUUAUGAGCUUUAUUCUGAUGUUGACAUAUGUCGCAUUGUGAUUUGCCUUCUAUUUAGAGGAAAACUCUUGUGCUUCGGCAGGAGUGCCUCAACAUAAACCCCUCAGUGGGUCCUUGAAGGUACAACGUUGACCAAUGCUCGGUAGUUUCGGGAUUGGUCAAGUAUGGUAUAAAUAAUUUGCAAUUAGGACCUUCAGUAGUCAUGCCAUAAAAUGAUGGCAUCAUCUGAAUGAAAGAUGGCUUCAAUUGAAAGUUGUUGGCAGCAACUUCCUAUCAAACGAUGCAUGAUGUUGAGGUUGUCACAAUAUGAGCUGAAUACUCCAUCAACGUUAAGUUCUCUUUCGGAUUAGGGAGAGCCAGUUUGUCAGUCAGUUCCUGCUUAGUUUGCUCUCUUCGUAAGUAAUGGAAAGUCCUUUCUAUCUCUGGAUCAAACUGUACAAGCUCUAGACUUCGAGAACGGCGACCGUGCAUGAACUUCAAAAAGUACCUUAAAACAAAAGAAAACAAAAACAAAAAUUAAGAUCAACACAAAUGACAAUAAAAAUAGCUAGAUAUAGAACUAAUUAAAUCUUCGUCGACGGCACCAAAAACUUGUUGCCAAAAUUAGAUUAAUCGAAAUCAACACAAUAAAGUCCAACUUUUAAUGCUCGAAAGUAUACAAAUCGUAGUGUAAUAUAGUAGGUGAGUACAAGAUCGUUCCAACUAAGAUUGAAUAUAAUUCUAACUAACUCUAUUUAGGUCGCACUUGAAUUGGAAUUGAAAGACUGAUGAUUUGAGUAAGAAUUUUGAAAUGGUGAUUGUAAAUAAAAAUGAAAUGAACUUAACUAAGUGAUGACAAUGACAAAUAAAACAAAUUAUUGUUCAAUUGCGAAAGACACUAGAGCAUCCAAUUUAUCAUAACCAAUCCUACUAUAUCUAACAGUCUAGUUCCUCUAUUUCAUAUAGUGUCCAUGGCAUCUAGAUUACUAUGUAUGCUCAUUUGUGCUAACAAUCUAUGGCAUCUAGAUUAUGAUAGGAGCAUAUUUAUGCGCCUUAGUUAGCUAGUUCUUAUGCACUUUUAUGGUGUUUUCUCAGUUAAAGUAGUCUUUUAAGCUAGUUUUAUGUGUUUUCAGGUUUUAAGGGCAAAGCUUAUAAAAAGAUGCAUUUUGGAGCCUUUUGGAGCAAAAUGGAGCUUGGAAUGAUUAUCACAUGCUUGGAGCAAAAGGAAUGGAUGAAUUAAAGACUUGAAGAAAUUAGGAUUUCUAAUCAACGAAGGAUUCCUAAUCGACGAAGGAUUCCUAAUCGACAAAGGAUUCCUAAUCGACGAAGGAUUCCUAAUUGAAGAUGGAUUCCUAAUCACAUGAGGAUUCCUAGAAGAAGAAGGAUCCCUACUCCAAGAAGGAUUCCUACUUGAAAUAGGAAAGUUAUGCCAAGGUUUCCUACUUUGGUUUGACCUUUCCUAAAUGUUCCUAAGUUUUAUCAACUUUGAAGGUCUCCUAAGCAUCCUAGAGCAUCAAAUACACAUUCCUUGCACAAAAGCAUACCUUGCCGCACCCCCUUAACCUUUCCUCUUCUUUGCCGUGCAAGGGAGAGGGUCCUUUCCUGAUUUUGAGCAUUAAAACACAUUCCUAAUGUGUUUUAGACCCUUGCCGCAUAUUCCUUGCCCUUUCCUUUAAUUUUCUGAUUUGAUUUCCUAUUUCUAGAAGCUUUUGACUUAAUUUCUGAUUACCUAAUUAGCCUAGGGUUCUUAAUUUCCUAAUCCCUUUAAAUAAACAUCCUUGUGCAGCCACAAACAUGUCCAUUCACUCCCAUUCACGCCAGAAACAUCAUCCCACUCUCUGCCGCACCUAUCCUUCACCAUUCACCAUAUUUUCUGACCCAAAACCACCCUAGCCGUCCCAUACACCUAUCCCAGCCAUAAACCCAUUGUUCUACACUAUCCAUAACCCCCAAAACUCACCCAUCCGUGUGUUGCAGCAAGGAGAAAGAAGGAAGGACUCUUGGAUGCUCAAGCUUCAUCGUUGGUGCAUUCUAGGUGUAAUUCGUUUUAUGAUUUCAAUGUUUAAUUUCUUUUCCUUUCAUUUUGCUAUGAACAUGAGUGGCUAAACCCCUAUUGGUUAGGGGUGAUUUCGAAGCCAUGACUAUGUGUGCAAUUUGAUUUGAUAAAUUCCAGUUAUGAGUUCUUGAAUCGUGAAUGCAAUUGGCUUAACUGUGCGAGUAAUAACUUAUUUGUGUUUGUUAAUUAGGGGUCGACACUUAAUUAGCUUGCAUGAAUAUGAUGCUAGAAUAUAAGGUUGUUUCACAUAAUCGUCACACACUUAUAUUCAUAUGUAGUGAAGGUCGCUAGUCACGAUCGCGUUAAGUCCAAUUCCUAGCAUGAGUGACAUGAUGUCAUAGUUGCAAGUGCUUUGUCAAUGCUUAUAGUUUUCAUUGAACGUAAUGAUCUUUGAUUGUAUCUUUAUUAUGAUGUCAUGUAGGGAACUUUCGAGGAAUGCUUUGGGUUGUCGAAUGAUGUCAUCCAAUCCAAUAACACAAGGAAAACUUGAGAAUAAACUAGUGAUGUCACGGUUAAUUUGGGGCAUGGUCAUUCAUAAUUCAAUGAAGGAAUAACUGGAAAUCGAGUCGGUUGCAUACUUGUCAUGUGUGGAGAAAGAGCCUCUAACUAAUCCAUCAUCCAUUUAAACCCCCAAAAUCGUUUUCAAAUCUGUUUUUACUUUGCAAUCUGUUUUGUUAGUUUAUUUUCGUCCAAAUCAAACCCCCAUUUAUUUUGGAGUCCUAGAUUAGUUAGAAAGUGUUUUGGUUUAUGUUUUUAAGUGUUUUGGUACAAGUUAAAACCCAAAUUCGUCCAAUUUGGUGCUUUGUGUUCAAAACUGCCCAGAAAGUGUUUUUAAGCCAGUUUUGAGUCUUUUGGUUGCUGUUUUGAGUUUUUGGUUUGUUUUAGUGUUUUAAACUUUAGUUUUGCAUUCUUUGAGUCUAAUUUAGUGUUUUAAACUUUGUUUUUACAUUUCUAAGUCAGUUUUCAAGUGUUUAGCAAUCCCUCUUAAUCCCCGGUCCAGAACGAUCCCUACUUACAUACUUUACUACAAUUGACAAAAAGAGGAUUUAAUUUGUGUGCUUAUAUAUUUACGCAUCAGAUUACUAAAUGCAUACAAAUUCAUUAACAAUUUUGGAACUAACUAAGAGACAACAUGAAACAUAGUGUAUGGCAUCUACAUCAAGGAAUUCAUGUAUCAAUUGCAAGAAGCUUAAAACUGAAUUAAGAACAUGACAUCUGCGUUAACUCACAUCACAUACACUCAAUUCCAACCAAGGUGGCAGCUAAUUACAAAGAUUAAAAUCAAGCUCAUUUGAACAACAAAAUGAUACUUAAGGGAAUGCAAAUUCAUAAAUACUUAAACUGAAAUAUUAAGCAAUCAUGGUUAGGCAUCAUAGCCCUAGUCGAAUGAAAUUAGUUCCAAAACAUAAUCGAAAACAAUACUAAAUUCAUCAUAAAUUUGAAAGGAAAAUUUGGAUCUGAUCUAUCGCAGCUCUAGUUUACAAAUCUCAUCUCUUAACUUUUUUUCUUUUUUCUUCCUUUCUUCAACUAUGACUAGGUUCCUCUUUUGAUUUCUCCAAAAGCCCAAUUUAUUGUCUAGCCGUUCCCUUUCCGUAACCGACAACAACCCAAUUUUUUAUUGAUAAAAAAUAGAUGACAAGCUCUUGAAUUCCUUAUGGCCACUAAAUACAUUAAACACACCUUGAUUAAUGUUAAAUCUCUUGAGUUUACACGAUGUUGAUCACUAUGUUGCCUUCUUUAAUUCUUCGUUUGAUUCUAACAGAUUCCAUUGCCAAGUUCUUAUCCACCAUGGUUAAAAGUAAUCAAACUUCCACUGCAAUCGAACAGUGCAACCCCUGAAUUUGUGCUAUUAUCGAAGACCCACGAAUUGGAAACUGAUUUGAAUUGAUGAUUCACCAUCUUUCUCUAGUUUUUUCUUGGUUGAAAUCUCUUUUCCUUUGCUGUUAUAAGGUGUUGGCAUCUAAUGCUCCAAAAAUACUGGAUAAAGAAUUGCAAGCCUUUCUUUCUUCUGUCAGUCCGAGUGAAAGAAAAACCGGCCUUCUAAUGUGGUGGUCAUGUGCUAAACUUUGUUCCACAAAAUUGUUGACAAAUUCAACCUCCUUAGCUUGCAAAAGAAUAGGAAGGUUGCUCCUUGGUGGACAAAAUGGAAAAUUUGGGGAAAACUUUAAUUGAGAAUGUGUUUAGCCUUUUAAUACAGACUUAACAGAAUGUUAAGUCGUCCUCUUUUUAUGCAAUACAAUUAUACGAUGCCUUACUCUCUUAAACAAAAGAUAAAAAACAUCCUUGCAUUCAAAAUAAGAAUGGCAAUAAUUUCAUUUGACUGAACGAAACCAUAUAAAUAAAAUGCAAUUCGGUCAUCUCUUUUCCUUAGCCAUAAAGGCACAAAAACUUCUAGGUUCUUUCAUUUAAAUCCAACGUGCCACAAGAAAACUGUAAAUUUUGGGGCAAAAUAAGUAGUACAAUUUCAACUCAUCAGAUCCCCAAUGACAAUAUUUUACAUUAUAUCAUAUUUUCUUAACUACAUCAUUGAUUUGAUUCUACUUCCAGAAGAUAUGUAGGCAAUUCUUUCCAAAUCCAAUCACGCUCCCAGUCAAAUUCACUAAUCUCUAAUGAAUAAAGAAUUUAUAUGUCUUGUUGAUGCACAAAACCGGAGGUCUUGGUACAACGUAAAUCCGACCGUGAAUCUGCAAGUAAUGUAAAUGACACAAGAUGUAUCAUGGUUCACCCUAAGGUUUGGGCUACAUCCACACUGAUUAUGUAUUUAUUUGAGGGAGAGAGAGCUGUGAGAGUGAGAGCUUUGAGAGGGGGUGAGGAGCCUUAGGAAUUGGCAUCCUCUAAUUGUGAGGGUGAGGGGUCCUUUUAUAGAAUAAGGACUCCUCACUUAUUACAUAUUUGCCUCUUCCUUUACCACAUAAUUACAUUUAAGUCCCCCGAGUAUUUGUACGAGAUCUAAAUACGAGGCCCUAAAUAUGGUAUAAACAGUAGUCCCCAAAGUCUUCAGUCAAGAGAGUCUUUUGGCUGGAGACUUGAAAUUCAGUCCAUGUGUGGGCCAAAGUAACUAGAUGUUGUCUUGAACUGAUGCUCGAUAUGAGGCGGUGCUCAAUCUGAAAUGAUGUUAAACUAGAAGUAGCACAUGCUGCGAGGCUGCUAGGCUCGUGGCUUAUGUUCCUUUGGUUGGCUCGGCUUGUGGCGUUGAAGGUGAGGGAGUCCCUUCUCCUCAAUACAUGGAUAAUGUGCUAGAGUUGAUGCUCGUAGCGAAGCGGUUGCUCAGCUACCGGCGAUGCUCUCUAAUGAUGGUAAGGGAAUCCUUUUUAUAAAAUAAGGGCUUGCUCCUCAAUACAUAAGUGAUGGGCUAGGUCCCCCAAGUAUUUUUCAUGAGGCCCAGUUGAGGCCCAAUAUAUGGUACAUAAUGUAGUCCCCCAAGUCUUCGGUCAAUAGAGUCUAUUGGCUGAAGACUUCAAAUUGAAUCCAUGUAUGGGCCGAAGUGGCGGUUGUUUGAAGACGAUAUUUGUAUACCCUGCACUGAAGCUUUGUAGGUGAAGCUUUGCAAGUGAAGCUUUGAAGCUAGAGCUUUGUAAAUGAAGCUUUCGAAGCUAAAGCUUUUCUAAAUGAAGCUUUUGAAGCUAAAGCUCUGUAAAUGAAGCUUUUGAAGCUGAUUGACAUGAGUGAUGCUCAUGAAUGUUUAUGUUGAUUGACAUGAGUGAUGCUCAUGGAUGUUGUCAUGAGUGAUGCUCAUGAAUGUUAACAUGAGUGAUGCUCAUGAAUGUUGACAUGAAUGAUGGUCAUGAAUGUUUAUGUAUGAUUGUCAUGAGUGAUGCUCAUAAAUGUUUAUGUAUGAAUGACAUGAGUAAUGCUUAUGUAUAAUUUGGAGUACUGGGCGUACUUUUGAGAACCUGGUUAGUGGCAUGAAGGAGAGUACGGGUUGUACAUUUCAUCACCUGGUUGGUGGCAUGAAUGGCUAGUUGCCAAAUGAUAUUAGAGUACAGGUUGUACAUUUCAUCACCUGGUUGGUGGUAAUAGCGGCAGGUUGCCGAAUAAUUUUGGAGUACUGGGCGUACUUUUGAUCACCUGGUUGGUGGUAAUAGCGGCGGGUUGCCGAAUAAUUGUGGAGUACUGGGCGUACUUUUGAUCACCUGGUUGGUGGUAAUGGCGGCGGGUUGCCGAAUAAUUGUGGAGUACUGGGCGUGCUUUUGAUCACCUGGUUGGUGGUAAUAACGGCGGGUUGCCGAAUAAUUGUGGAGUACUGGGCGUACUUUUGAUCACCUGGUUGGUGCUAUUUCAGGUUUAUGGGCCUUCGCCCUCCACAACAUGCUAGCCCAUUUGUUUUGGGCUUUGCCCUUUUUUUUUUUUUUUUCGUUUAUUACCCUCUGAUAGGGUUUAUACAGAUAUCUCUAAAAGAUAAGAAAAAUAAAUUACAUCAUACAAAGACAAGAAAAGUAAAUCACAUCAUUCUGGCGGGGUGUUUAUUCCUUGCUUUUGCUUUCUCUUUCUCUUUUGCUUUCUGCAAUAUUCUCCCAACGACAUGAUCUUUUUUCUUUUUCUUUUCUAUUCCUUUACCCUGAUCUAUCCCCCUCCAAACUCACUCACUUGCUUUUACUUUUACUUUCCCUUUUCUGCUUUGCUUUUGCUUUUGUUGGAGUGAUGGGCCUUUCUUUUUCUUUACUUGGUGGUUGAGCUGGCAGGGAUUGCGUCGGAGCAUAGUGAGAGGUCAAAGUCGGAGAGCAUGAUGUGACAGUCCAAUCUGACCAGCACGUUCUCAGGUUUUAAGUCCCUGUAGAUGAUUCCCAGCAUGUAGAGGUAUUCCAAUGCCACCAGGACCUCCGCAGCUUAGAACCUUGCGGAGUUGAGGGAGAAGUGUUUGUGAGGUUGAAUGUGGCGGAGGGAGUGGAGGUCGCCACCGGAGCAGUACUUUAUGACGAUGCAGGAGAAGUGCAAGGUUUCGAACUCGGCGUAGAGAGUGGGCAAGAACAGGUGGUCAGGCAUUUUGAGGAUCUUCCUCUCUAUCUCGGCUCUCUACACCUUCUUCUUCAUCGCCAGAGCCUCCUUGUCGACGACUUUCAUGGCGUAAAGGCACGAGGAGGACGAAGACUCGGUAUCCUAAUCGGUCGGAUUUGAAGAUGUUGAAAAUAUGCCCUGAAAGUCAAUCUUUGGAAGAAACCUUUUAGGACAAUUGAAUCGAUGUAUGGAUGACUCUUAUACAUCAAAUGGCAAAGAUACUAAUUAGGACUAUCUCAAUAAACGAUAUAUGUCCUAAAUAGUGUAUCCAUGGACAAUGGAUCGAUUGAAGAAGUAAUCUAAUGAUGUUAGACUACAGAGACCUUCUUCACAUAACCAAAUGUCCAAAAAGGUUCCUGGUCAUUGGAUUGUCGGAGGGAUACUGACAAUGCGUAGACCGGUACAUACUGUGUCCUCUUCAAUUGGAAGGAUGGAAAGUCUCAUCCCAUUCGUGUUGUGACACUAAGACAAGUAUGUAGGUGCUCAUUAAGGGAAUGAGUUCACUGAACACAAUCGAACGAGAGUACUUGCAUGGAGGUCUACUCACAUGUUAAGCAACUCUAAUGGUUGGAAUAAUGUAAGUAGUCCUUUGACCUGAGGCAUCGUCGUUGUCUUGUGGUUAAGUACUUGAUCUUUGAUUAUGUCAAAAGUCACUCUAUCAGAAUGUCAACGGCAUAGUUGGGGUUAAGCCACUUAGUCAUGAAGGCAAAUGUAUGCGCAACAAGGAAUCUCUAAUCCUCGAUAAGAGAGGAAGAAUACUCUAAGAUAUGAUUCGGGAAUCUUCGGCCGAAGUAUCGAGCGUAAUAAAGGAAAGCUUUCCUAUACGACUCAAUUGAAUCAUAUAAGAAGGAAUAAUCACAUUAGGGGUUUGACAUAAUAUAUCCAUACCCUAAUGAUGUGAUUGAGAGUAUUGUUUUAGAGAAUGAUCGAAUUACAUUGUAAUUCCAACUGAAUAGGUUCUCCGAAUAAACUUCUACAUUAGCUUGGGUAGCUAUGACAUAUGGUUAGAUGUCACUCAUAGCUUGUGAGUUCUUCUAGAUGAUUAAAUGUAGUCGUCAAAGAAGAAAGGUGAAUUAAAAUGAAGUUUUAAUUCACUAAGUGAUUGAAUUAAAUAUAAUCAAUUGGAUUGAUACCAAUCACCUCACUGCCUUGCUAAUUAGAACCUAAAAGAUUGUUCACCAAUACACUAUUGUAGUGAGUAACUAAUGGAUGAUGGAAAUAAUUAAUUGGAUUAAUUAAGUGUUGUGAUUAAUUUAGAAAGUCUAAAGAAAUCAUAAAAGCGAUAAAGAUCGUUUUGGGCUUAAAGAAACGUUUGGGUUUAAUUAGGCCCAUUGGGCCUAAACCCAUUGGGCUUUUAUUCAAGCAUUGGAUGACUUGAAAUAAUAAAAGCCCAAAGCCCAAACCAAACACUAAAGGGCCGGCCAUUUUAGGUGUGGAAAGGAUGAGAUAUUUAGUCAAGUUGUUGGCUAGGUUUCUUUUGUCUAUAUAAGGAACUUUAUAGAGAUAUUGUUCAUUAGGGUUUUUGUGUGGUUAAAAACAAAAAGAGGCAAAAGAAUAUCUCUCUAAGAACUACACAAAGGCCGGCCACCUUGGGGUGAUUUUGCUAACAUAUCUUUCACCCUUUGGUUAUUCCUUCAUCCUUCUCACUACACUAGUGGGUGAGGAUCUUUAGAGGUUUCCUACUUUGGAAACUUGAAGAGAACCUAGGAGCACUCAUUCUACCAAAGUGGAGGAGGCAAGGAGGGAAGCUAGGCUCAAGGAGUUCAAGGAACAAAUGGCUUGGUGGUGGUCCAUCCUUGGUCUCAAGUCUAGAUCAAGAGGUAUAAGACUAAACCUUCACUUUGUUAUUUUCUCUAAAUUUUUAUUUGAUGCAUUAUAUAUAAACCUAUGAACCUGGAAGGGGAUUUGCAUGACUAUAGCUUUGAUAAUUUGUUAUAAAUGCUUCCGCUGCUUUCGUAUAUUAAAUUUGAUUUGUAUAUGCAUGAUAGUCAUUAUGAAAUCCCUUUAUGUGAAAACUCAUAAUUUUCCCUUCAGAAGAGUUGCUGCUUUUGAGAUUCAAGCUGCGGGUCAACCUUCAGGGAGAAGAAACCGAUCAAGAGAUUCAAGAUGUAGAUCCCCAGACCAUAGGAGACAACACGGAACCCCUAAACGCAGAAUGGUACUGGAAUGCGUUGACCGAUCCAAAUAGUACUAGAAUGUUCUCGCAAAACCGCUCCGCCGUUGUCUCUACUAUGAGCUCCCCUUGUUCCCCAUCAAACCUAGCAGUACUUCAAUCCAUCAGAACCGAACUCACUGAUUCCUCAUUGGGCAUCUUCAACUCCUAGGUCAGAACUGCUUGCUGCGUAAACUGGUAUGGAACCACCAGCAGCUGCUGCUGCAGAAGCUUAUCCUCCACCACUUGGAACCAAUGACACUUGCACUGACGAUGAUGACGUCGACGUCAUCGUCAGUGGAUCUGCCUUCUCCGUUGGAGACGAUCACGCUCUUCACGCACUCACUCUUAUUCUCCUUCUCUACGGAACCUCUCCCUUUCUCGUCGCUGCUCUUCGUCAGCGCUCUGUAAAGAAACACAACGCCCAGUGAGCACGCGCUCCUGCAGAUCUGAGAGUAUUGAGAUGGCUUGCACGUGUCAGGUGAACCGUGCUCGUCGCUGCAACAGUAUUGCGGUUGGCCGAAUGCUUUGCAUGCACUCUUGCAUGCGACUCCUUCAGUUCCGUCGGGGCUGGUGACCUUGAGCUCUGAAGGACAACGAGUGUUGAGGUCGACAAUGUAGUCGAUGUUCGUACAGUUGGUCCCAGUUGUUAGUAGCCCGAGGAUGGUUAGUAGAGAAACUAAACAUUGAUGGUAAUCGAGCCAUGUUUUCGUAUGGAAGCUGGACUUUGCAGAGAGGAGAGAGAAAGAGAGAAUCCUAAGAAGGUUUUUUGGGUUCUUGGGUUUUGCAGUGUUGAUUUUGCAGAUUUUGCAGAUUCAUGGCGAAGGUGAAAAAAUGAAAAAGAACCGACACAACUUUUCGUAUCGAUUCCCACAGACGACGCCAAAUGUUGAUACACAAAACCGGAGGUCUUGGUACAACGUAAAUCCGACCGUGAAUUUGCAAGUAAUGUAAAUAACACAAGAUGUAUUGUGGUUCACCCCAAGGUUUGGGCUACGUCCACACUGAUUAUGUAUUUAUUUGAGGGAGAGAGAGCUCUGAGAGUGAGAGCUUUGAGAGGGGGUGAGGAGCCUUAGGAAUUGGCCUCCCCUAAUUAUGAGGGUGAGGGGUCCUUUUAUAGAAUAAUGACUCAUCACUUAUUACAAAUUUGCCCCUUCCUUUACCACAUAAUAACAUUUAAGUCCCCCGAGUAUUUGUACGAGAUCUAAAUACGAUGCCCUAAAUAUGGUAUAAACAUGUCUAAUUAUGCAAUGACUUUUGUCUCGCUUGUUCGUUCUUUUCCUUUUGCAAUAGUGGGAAUACCCUAAAAUCCCAAAUAACACACAGUUUUGAAAUUCGCAUAAUUGCAAGUCUGAAAAUUCAAAAUGAUAAUGUUAAAGGAAUCUUCUUUAGCCACUAUGUAGUGUUCGGUUAGCAAUUUGGGAAGCUCUAGCCUUAUUAUGCACAAUUACGAUAGGCGGGCUAUGGGCACGGGGACAUGUGCCCUGACAUGGAAAUCCAAUGCACCACCUAGCCUUUAGAAAGUUUAUACAACUUAAGGGGUGUGUAUUAUAACAUUCAAACAUGGGCUCUAUGCCACUCGAGGGAAUGAUCAUCUGGGGAAUGGCUCUAAGUCCUAACCAAUAGUACAAUUACAUUUAUCUCGGACCAGCAUUCUAAGUUAAUUAUGUUAUCCAGCACCAUGUGUUUAAGCAGGUUUCUCAAGAGGAAUUUUAUUCCAAAUGAGAUCCAAUACUCGGAAUGGCCUUAGCCAAGUCAGCUAAGUGUAGUCUGAUUGAAAACACUCAUGUCUGAUGCUUAAGGUCUGACAAAAGGAUUCCAAUAUGUUUUCAACCCACAAGCAAGCGACUUAGUCCUUAAUGAACUUUUGCUUAAGAUUCACUAAGGAUAGACAUGAAAUUCAAACUAGGAAGGAAACCUCUUCUUAAUAACACAUUGCAAUCUCUAAAAUCUCCCGACCCAUAUUGGAUUAAGGUGAACAAACAAGCAUACGAAGGCCAGACAAUCAAGCUAGUCUAAAAAGAAGACCCCGAAGACCUAAAGGACAUUCAAUGUAUUACUCAACAAUUUCUCAUCUUAGUUCAAUCAAUGCAUAAAAGCAGGUCUAGGGUAAGAUUUUUCAUGGCCUAGCACCUGGUGUUAGAGUAAGGUCGUUUUCCGAUGAUCACAAUGAAAAUCUUAUAAACACUAGUUUGGAAGGUAAUGUUUCUCCAAAUCAACACUGCCUAGAGGCUUCGAGCUCUGUCCUAGGCCUAUAAACUUACCCAUUUUUUGCCUCAUUACCCAUACUUCAGAGUUAGCUUACUCCAAAAAGAUUGAUGAACUAAAAUAUAUUCCGCUAUGCGAAAGCAAGAAUUGAGAAAUCCUAAGUAUUCUACUUAAACUAGCUCAAAGACUUGAGUAGAACUACUUUAUCAAAAUUAGACAUGAUGAAAACAUCAGAUCAAUUUAGCAGGCAAAGGAGCCCAAGUCUCAUGAAAAGAGAAAAAUGCUUAAACUUAUGGAAAAUGACAAGCCCCUUCCUCGCAACAAAUGUUCAGGAAAAAGUAAUAAGUGAUCUCCUUCUCUAGAAUCAGGCUUUACCAUGAUAAACUUCCCUUUAACACUAGCUGCAGGAUGUGUAGAAGUCAUUCCUUGCACAGGAGCCCUAUUUGGCGGAUCAUCCCCCUCAUCAGUGCCAAAGCCUUCCUCAUCAGAUGUUUCCAAGUUUAAGGUUUCAUUCCUCAAGUGGUCAAGGAUGUCGAAAUUAGCCUUCUUAAUCUCCACCAAAAUCUAGUUAGGGUCCUAGCCUUCUCAGUGACCUCGUCAAGCAUAAUCUGAUAUAUAUUUGAAGUUGUAUCCCUUGUUCUCUUUGCUGGUGGCCUGGUUUAGCAAAUUCCUUGCCCUGACUGCAUGCCUUUCCAUUAUGGGAAGCAGUUGCCCAUUGAUUUCUGAUGUGCUUUAAUGAGUAGCCUCGAGUUAACGAAUUCGCUUUACUUGACUGAUAAGAUUUACUUCAGUCUAGACAUGAACAUGCCCAAGAAACCUUGUGAGAAAAAGGGAAAACACACCAAGGGUCAUUCAAUAGACGAUAAAGGCAAAAGGAAUACUAUUUUCACGGAAUCUCGCAAGGAAGAGUUCAAAAGAUGAAUAAAUCUCUUUGUAAUAUGCUGGAGCAAUGACAACUUGAAGAAGGGCAUGAGCAUAGUUCGCAUUGCGAAGCCCACUAGCAUUCGCGGGAAGGUCAACCGAUUAAAAAAAGACCUGAUCAUCAACAGGGGCUGCCUCAUCCUUUCAACUUCACCCGGAGUAACAGAGGUACUCAAAUUGGUUUAGUGAUCGAUUUUUAGGUUUCGUCGUAAACCUAAUUGGAUGAAGAGUCGUCAGCCUUUACGACCACUAGCGUAAGCUGCAUAGACUUUGACGAGACAGUGAGGGCAAGGUUCAAGGAUCUUAAAGUUGGGAAGACUUGGCUCGUAUUUCAGCUGAAUUAGAUGCAAUACCGCAGGAAAAGAAUGAUGAUACUACUCAUACGGUUGUUGCAUCGAUUGAAGAGAAUGAGAUCAAAGUCCUUCUGAAUGAGGUUAAAGGACUUAAAAAUUAAAGUCAGAUUUUCGUUACUGGUUUUCAGGGAAUAAAACAAAGAUGCAUGUAGGUGUGAAAUCAAAGAUUCCUAUUCCAAAACCUUACAAAAAUCUCACAAAAUUGUCAUAGGUCCGACCCCCAAGUUUGACGGGUUUCUUGCCGGAGUUCGUCCUCCUUCUCUUGUCGAAGACUGAAAACAGAAAUGAGUAUGCAUUUGUAUUAGUGCACCCGAAACCCUCUCAUAUUCAUCAAUGACAAGAUAGAGCGAGAUUAGAGGUACUGCAAACCCUUACCGACUUCAAACUCAACUACAAUUGCUGGAAUUCGUCGCCAUAGAUUAACAUGCAUGCACAGAUGAAUUACAAAGGUUAGAACCCUCGAAUUUUAGUCCAAAAUAACAGAAACUCGUCCCCAAUCAAGAUGGAAACCCAGAAAUUUGAAGAAGGAACACAAGUUUCACCUGGGUUUGAGUUUUAGAGCAUUUGAAGCUCUCGGCUUCAAUUGGCAUAACACACAGAGGUGUUCUAAUGAUACAAGCGGGGUUAUAGCUGAGUUCCUCAAGCCCUAAGGACUCUAGAUAUAUGGUUAAUCUGAUGGAUUGGAUUAAUUUUCGAAGAGGAAGCGAAUGAGAGCUCUCAGAGCUUUGAAGAGUGUGAGAGUUUCCGAGAGAGAGUGUGUGAAGAAAGAGAAAAAGUGAAGAAAGUGAGAGAUGAGAAAGGUCUCGGGGUGGGGAAAAGGAAAGGGAGUGAGUUGGGGUGCUGCCACGUGGCAGUUUGAGGGAGUUUGAGAAUCAAGAUAGAAGGUCCAUAUUUGGUUAAGAAAAGGGGACUAAAUACAUAAUUUCAUUAAAUUUUUGGGGAAAACACGUACUUAUACAUAUAAUUAGGGGUUGGGUGUAACAAGUCUGAAAGCAACGGGAGCCAGGUUGCAAAGGGCCAUAUUGUAACUAAUCAAAAUACCUUUUAACAAAUCAGAUAAUGGAAGCCUCAGGCCAAGAUCCAAGUACUAGGGUGCAUUAUAAUGCAUGGACGCAGGAGUCGGAAGGCUCAGGCAAGGCGGCUUAAGUAUUUUAGCCUGGUUCACACUAGACCUUGCAAUGGUUGAGAAGGUCCUGGUGGCAUUAGACUAAAGUUUGACCUUCCCUUUGGCCGAUCACCUUUGUUAGUGGAAGGUUAUAGAGUGAAUUUGUGGUAGAUAUGGGAGCUUUCCUUAAAGAUGCUGCCAUUGAAGAGAGAGUAAAGAAUUUUUGGAAGAAGAUGAAUGAAAAUCAAGGAAUUUCAAACAAGUAUAUGGAAAAAGUUAAGCGCCUUUUGAACAGAAGCAAUUUGGGAUUUUAGAGAAGACAAGUGAAGAGAUGUGAGGAUAUUUAAAGAAGAAUUUCAAAGUUAUCCCGCCGUUGAAUACAGAUUGUCGCGUUUCGAGAUCAAACGAGUUUGACAGUUGAAUUUAACUAGAAAAAGUAACAUAUAGUGCCUCGUUCUCUAUUCACACACAAUUGAUACAAUCCUCGUCUUUGCGAUACUGACGACAAGAUUCACAAGUUAAUACACCUAAAUACAUAACAAGUUGGAGUAUAGUUAGGCGCAAUUGUGGGAUCAUAACUUCCAGGUCGGAGUAAGGCGAAAUGGAAUAUGCAUACUUCAGAAAUCCAGUCAUGUACUUGACAACCUCCGCUGCAAAGCUGGUUAAAUGGAGUAGCGAUGUCACCAUCAUUUUGUUACAGGAUUAGUGGGUGAAGUUUGGCGACUUCGCUAAUAUUGACCAUGCUUGUUCAGCAACAUAUGGAAACCUAGUCCAGUAAGAAAUCAACAGGUUUCCUUUCCUAUAACCUUGGAGUCUUUACAAUUUAAGGAUUGGCGUGCGCUGCAAUUAAUCACACUCCUAAAAGGAUGCAAUAUCUUCUUUCUAGAUAUCUUUCCUAAAAUGGUACUCUCCUCGAUUGGUAUGAGUCUUAAUAAUGGGAUCUGGAUCUCCGGAUCCCUUUCCACCAAAUCCACAUAGUCCGGGAUCUAGACUGUUAAAAUUUGAUCAAACAGUUACAAAUAGAAGGCAUCUUUAAAAGUUAUAAUAAAUGUAAUUGUUGGAUUUUAAUCCAACGGUCUAGAUCCCAAACUAGAUUAAUAUUGAUUACUAAUUUACCAUUGGAAAGGCAUUGACCGGUACACCUGGUCUUUUGGCUUUGUGACGAAGUUAGUUGAAUUUGUGUAUCAUUUGGUUUCAACACGAGCGUUUUUUUCAUAAUUAAAAUUAAAAAAAAAAAAAUAGAGAAAGGGUUGCUGAAGAAGGAAGAGCGGAGACGGCGGAGUGGCGGGUGUGGGUGUGUGGGCAUGAUAUAUAAUAUAUGUGAAAGGUGAAAGGUGAAAGGGAGAGGGUUUCGUGAAAACCUUGUGCUUGUGGUGAGGUCUUUUCUUCACGUAACCAAUCCCUUUCGAUUACCUCUCUUCCUCUUCCUCCUCAGUUUUGAAAGUCGUCGUCGUCGAUUAUAUUUGUUGAAAUUUGUUUGAGGGUUGAUGAUCGUGAAGGAUUCGAGACCAUCUCGACAAAUUUUUUAUGUGGAUUUGGCUGCUUUUCAUGAAUUUGGUGGUACGUCUUGCUUAUUCUCCUUCCUCCAUGCUCUUCUUUUUGUUUUGUUAAUUUUUUUCGAUAAAAUCUUUUGUGGGUUGUUCAGAAUUGGGUUAAAUUUAUCGGUUUGUGAUAAUUUGGGUUUUUUUUUUAAUUUUUUUUUUCGGUCGAGGAUGAAGAUAUAUAUAUCGGGAAUUUUCUAGUUGCUUGCAGGUUAUUCUACAAAAGUGGCUUGCUCAAUUCUAUUGCUUGGAGUUCAGCGGUAUCGAAUAUAACCUUUUGGGUUUGGAACUUCCCUUGUACUUGUAUGUAUAAGGUGGUACUGGAUAUUUGAUUCUGUUGAAUUUGUGGUCGAGCAUCCUUUGUUUUGAGAUAAGAUGAGUUCAAGUACGGCUGAAGGUUUGGUUCAUCAGGGCAAGCUUUUGGUUCAUAUUGCUGAGAAUGGGCAUUCAUUUGAGCUUGAUUGUGAAGGAACCACACUGGUAGAGGUAGUUAUGCGGUAUAUUGAAUCUAUGGCUGGGAUUAAUCUCAAUGACCAGCUUGUUCUGUGUUUGGAUAUGAAACUUACGCCACAGAGGCCGCUUUCAGCUUAUAACCUUCCAGCUGAUGGUCGGGAAGUGUUUAUAUUCAAUAAAGCAAGGCUGCAAACUAAUUCUUCGCUCCCUCCGCCUGAGCAAGUUGAUAUUCUUGACACUGCUGACCCCCAGUCACCGUCAGCUUCACAUGACCCUCACCCUUUGGAUGAUGCUUUGGACCCUGCUUUGAAGGCCUUGCCUUCUUAUGAAAGGCAAUUUAGGUACCACUACCACCAGGGUCAUGCAAUUUACAGUCGUACCCAAGUAAAAUAUGAGAACUGUGAGAGGCUUUUGAUGGAGCAGAAGGUUCAAGAGUGGGCAGUGGAGGUUGCUAGGGGUAAUUUGGAUCAAUAUUAUAAAAUGAUAAACCAAACCUAUACAGAAUUCAUGAAGCGUUAUUCCCAACAGCAUCGUAGUCAUUCUGAUCUUUUGAUCAAUCUCUGGAGGGAUGUAGAAAAACUGAGAUCUGUCAAGCUUCACCCUGCAUUAGAGACUGCCACUUGGAAGUGCCUAUCGGAUUUUGUGAAGGAAGAGACCUUGAGGAAAGCGGGAGAAAUUUGUAGCAGUUCCCACAGGCAGUUUGAGAAUAAGGUUUCACAGUUUAAGCAGAUGUUUAGUGAGGUAAAGCAGAAAGUCGAAGAAUUGUUUUCUAACAGGGCUUCACUGCCCAUUAGGCAUUUGGAACUCACAAUUAAGGAUCACCAAAGAUAUAUUCAUGAGCAAAAGAGUAUAAUGCAAUCUUUGAGGUUGGUUUUCAGUCAAAAUUAUGUAUCAGAUAUAUCGUUUUUGUCUAUUUGUCUUUUCAGGGCCGAAGGGGUAGAGGAAGACCUAGGAAAACUUUGGAAGAGACUCUAAGAAAAGACUUAGAGUACUUGGAUCUAACGAAGGACAUGACACAGGACCGAGCACAAUGGCGUUCUAAGAUUCAUAUAGCCGAUCCCACUCAGUGACUUGGAUUUUCCAAGUCUCCAAUCGAGAAGUUUUCCUCACUCGGGAAAUUAAGGGAACACUACCCCAACCUACAUGCUCCACUCAGAAAGCUUCAACAUACAAGCUUCAACAAAAGAAAAUUCAAAGAACUUAGCGAAGAAGGUUUUGGUGUAUUUAACACAAUACGUUGAAAUGAAGGAAAAGCUUAUUUAUUGAUAUCCCCGAUAAGCUACAAAUGUGUACAUAUACAUGAGUCAAAAUAAACAAACAAGAGGGAGCCUUCACAAAGGUUGCUUAGGAGAAGUCUCAGCAGUCGGUAGAGCCCAGAAAGAGAAGGCACCGGAGGGGGAUCAUUCGGAGCCUCAGUACUGGACAGAACCCUAGAAGGAGGAGGCAUCAGAGGUUGAUCAUUUGGAGCUUCAUUACGCGGUACAGCCCCAGAAGACGAAGGCAAUAAAUGCCUUUUAAAACAAACCCACAAAUCUCUGAUGAUCAAGUAAAACCUGACCAUCAGUUUCCUUCAUCUGGUCAAGCUUCCUCUUCAUGUUUGUAGCAUAGUCAUGUGCGAGCCGGUGCAACUGUUUAUUCUCAUGCUUGAGCCCUCUAAUCUCCUGUUUGAGACUCAUCACUUCAGCCGCCAAUGAUUCAACUUGGCGGGUUCGAGCAAAUAGGCGUUGGGCCAUAUUAGACACAGAACCUGCACACUGAACACUGAGAGCCAGCGAAUCCUUAACAGCUAACUCAUCAGACCGUUUGGAAAGUAGUCUGUUAUCUUUGGGAGUGAGAAGGUUCCUGGCCACCACCGCAGCAGCAGUCAUAUCAUUCUUCAUCACGGAAUCCCCAACGGUAAGAGGACCAGUAGGGGAGACGAAGGAUGGGCGCCAUAUGUUGUCUGGAGAAGGCGGGGCUGCCUCUUCAACAAGGUUCAAGUCAAAACGACGGUCGGAGGGGCCAGACAUUUUCAAAGGUGUUGAAGAGAGAAGAGGUCGGACAAAUCAAGAUCUUAGAAGUGCAAGAAUGGAGCUUCUACUGGUGGAGAUUCAAGUGUGCUUUGGAACUUAAUGUCAGCCCCUAUAAAAAUCUGCACUCGACGGAGCUUCAGAAAUCGAAGAGGCGCCUGCUCAGAAAUCGAAGAGGCGUUUGCUUUCUCAAAAGCUGGGCUGCUUAGAGACCACGAGGGUUGAUCUCAGAAAUCGAAGAGGCGUUUGCUUUCUCAAAAGUUGGGCUGCUCAAAGACCACGAAGGCCGAUCUCAGAAAUCGAAGAGGCGCUCGCUUUCUCAAAAGCUGGGCUCCUCAGAGACCACGAGGGCCGAUCUCAGAAAUCGAAGAGGCACCUACUUUUCCAGCCUUGUCAGCACCUGUCACACGCACACUCAGCUUUGCGGAAAUUAUGGGCAUUCUGUCGAAGACUUCUGGGAAGUAGAAAACACAUGAAUCUUACUGUUCAAUCACCCACUUCCCACACGCAACACUAGCUCAUGGGUACCACAGAUAACUUUGCCAAAGUUCUCUGCCAAAAUUGAGCACGUGAAGCUUGCAGCUCCCACUACAUCGCUCUCUGACCAAGAAAGGUAAAAGAAUAGCAAAGAAACAGCACUAACAAAGUUUAGACCCAUAAAUUUUGAAGGUCUAGCUACCAUAUUAUUACCCACAAGGGUAAAGGAACAGUACCACUGCUGGAUAAUUGGAAAGUCCCUGUGUGUCAACCUCUGUGCUUCGUGGCAAGGUAGACUAGCAAACAUGCCCAACCUUUACUCACAUUCGAGAAAACACUACCAAUAAGAUUGCUUGCUCCAAAAUCGAAGAGGCACCGUCCUCCGAAUCUCGAGAGCCAGACUCCCAACAUGACUACUUUCUCAAAAAUCGAAGAGAGGGUAAAGGAACAGUACCAUUGCUGGAUAAUUGGAAAAUCCCUGUGUGUCAACCUCUGUGCUUCGUGGCAAGGUAGACUAGCAAACAUGCCCAACCUUUACUCACAUUCGAGAAAACACUCCCAACAAGAUUGCUUGCUCCAAAAUCGAAGAGGCACCGCCCUCCGAAUCUCGAGAGCCAGACUCCCAACAUGAUUACUUUCUCAAAAAUCGAAGUGACACUGCUCCCCGAAUCUCGAGAGCCAGACCCCCAUCAUGAUUGCUUUCUUAAAAAUCGAAGAUGCAUCGUUCUCCGAAUCAAUCGAAGAGACGCUCGCUUUCUCAAAAGCUGGGCUGUUCAGAGACCACGAGGGCCGAUCUCAGAAAUCGAAGAGGCACCUACUUUUCUAGCCUUGUCAGCACCUGUCACACGCACACUCAGCUUUGCGGAAAUUAUGGGCAUUCUGUCGAAGACUUCUCGAGAGCACAGACCACUUUUUCAAAGUGCUCUGACAGAGUUAAAACAUGUGAAGCUGGCAGCUCCCACUACCGUGCUAUGACCAAGCAGGGUAAAGGAAUAGCAUUACUACUUGUUGUUAGGGAGACUCCUAUAUAUGUCGACCUCCAUCCCCAACGGACAGGCAGACCUGCAAAAAUGUUCAACCCUUCCUCAUAUUUGAGAGGGCACUCCCAACGAAGCCUUUCGAAAUAUUCAGCUUUCUUUCCCCCGAUAAUACCUUUGCAAACAAGCUAUACUAGAGCAAGAAUAUCUCAUAUCAUCAGGGUUAAAAGCAAGAGUAUCCCAUAUCAUGCUUUUUCCCUGUCUUUUCCUUUGGCCUUGUUGUUACCUGCAAGACAAGGAGAAAGAGAGCAAUCAGUCAGCACUUGGAAUCAAGCUUCCAGCCAGGAACUGACUGCCUGGAACCCCUUACCUGAUUACUUACCUGGCAUUGCUCUCGAGUACUCAUCUUCAACAUCUUAUGUGUUUCCAGGGAAGAUACCGCAUCUGCUUGAGGAACAGAUAGGGCAAGUGCGAAGGAUACAAGGAAGCAUGUGGAGACAAGCGUAACAGCACACGUGCCGAUACAUCCAUUACUCUGUCAAAAGCAAAAGUAUCCCAUAUCAGCAGGGUCGAACGUACUCUAGAUUUGAUGGACUUGUUUUGACCCUCAAAUUCUUCAGUCGGCUCUGGAGGAAACCAGAAAACCCUCCAGCUCAGUUCAAGAAUAAGCCUGUGGAAAGUUACUUCUUCAAAAGCAAAAGUAUCCCAUAUCAUCUCUUCUCAUCUUUCUUCUCUUUAUCCUUCAUGCUGCUGCAAGAUGGGGAGAAGGUGAACAAUCAGCCGGAGCUCUGAUUGCUUACCUUGUCUGUCACCUCUUUCAGCAGAUCCCCUAGCUCGGCGACUUGGGAGACUCCUACUACAUGGUUUGUAUCGCGCUUGACCAAGCCUGAAACUACAAGUAAGCUUCAAGUGAAAUUGAUACAUUAUCUUGUGCAUCUCCACCAGUUAAAGAUACCACCCCUGGAUGGAGGAAGAGUACUUCCAGAGAAGAUGCCACAUCUACCUAUGAGACAGAUAAGGCAAGUCAAGACGAUACCACACUCCGAUACUUAGAAGUUUCGUGAUUACGAGAUCAUUCUCGCACAAUAUUUCCUAAUGUCAUUUGUACUAAAUCAUUCACUUGUACUCACUAAAGGAGAGCUUGAACCUAUGUACUUGUGUAAACCCUUCACAAUUAAUGAGAACUCUUCUAUUCCGUGGACGUAGCCAAUCUGGGUGAACCACGUACAUCUUGUGUUUGCUUUCCUAUCUCUAUUCAUUUAUAUACUUAUCCACACUAAUGACCGGAGCAAUCUAGCGAAGAUCACAAAAAGCGACCGUUUUUGCUGCCUAGGAUCUAUCUUGCAAGAGAACGGAGAAUUAGAUGGAGAUCUCAACCAUAGAAUACGACCUGGACGGAUGAAGUGUAAGAGUGCAUCCGGCGUGUUAUGUGACCGUCGUAGGCCACUGAAGCUCAAGGGAAAAUUUUAUAGGACGACAAUAAGGCCAAUGAUGUUGUAUGGCACAGAAUGUUGGACGAUGAAGCAUCAACACGUACACAAAAUGGGUGUAGCGGAGAUGAGGAUGCUUCGUGGGAUGUGUGGGCACACGAGAAAGGAUAAGAUUGGGCAUGAGGAUAUCCGAGGUAAAGUAGGAGUAGCCGAAAUUGAAGGAAAGAUGAGAGAAAAUCGGUUCCGGUGAUUUGGACAUGGGCAAAGAAGGCCGACUGACGCUCCGGUUCGAAGAUGUGACUACGGGACAGAGGUUCAUGGCCGAAGGGGUAGAGGAAGACCUAGGAAAACUUUAGAAGAGACUCUAAGAAAAGACUUAGAGUACUUGGAUCGAACGGAGGACAUGACACAAAACCGAGCGCAAUGGCGUUCUAGGAUUCAUAUAGCCGACCCCACUUAGUGGGAAAAGGCUUUGUUGUUGUUGUUGUUGUUGUCUUUUCAACUUCCUCUGUCAAGUUAUUUUUAAUCAUUUGGAGAUUAUUUAUGAAUGGGCUCAUUUGAUCAUUUUAAAACUUUGUUGUUGCUGAAAACCACAUCUGUUUUUAGAAUUUAGAAUUUGUUAGCAGUUACGUUGCAUGAGUCGUAUUAUUGUAACAUAUCUCAUGUUAAGAACAUAUGGUGGACAUGAUUCCAGAUUUAAUUUAGAGGUUUGUAUGUGUGCUUUCAUGUGUACGUCGUAUCAUCAUUUGUUUGUUAUUAUUUCAUAUACGGCGUUGUUUUAGUUUAAUUGCCUAGUCUGCUACCCUUAAGCUUUUCAGUGUUCCUCAACUGAAUUGUACAGAGAUACAAAUAUUUGUGAUUUUUCUUAAAACAAACAACUACCACUAGAUAAGUGCUUAACCUAAUGAAGUAGAAGUAGAUGAGUUAGUCAGGACAACCUCAAUUAAGGGAGGAUGUUGUCUAAUUUGAGUGUUGUUGAGUUUAUGAAUUGUAGGAAGAAGGCAUAGCGGAAAUCUUAAAGAAAGAUGAAGGAAAAUUAUGAGAAAAAGGAUAGAGACUGCUAGCACCGCACCAGUAGGGUUUAUAGGAAUCACUCCUAGAGGCCUAAGGCAUCACACCUAGGGUUAGGUUGCAUCACACAAACCUUGAGAGAAGCAAAGAUCCAGCAAGUUUGAUUCAAUCGCCCAAAACUGUCUCCAAAGAGUUACAAGGAUGUAAUUAUAAAGACCUUAACCGAAUAAAAUAGGAAAGAAACUAAUCCUUAAAGAAGAAAAAAAGUAAACCUAAUACUUGUAGAACAAGGAAAUUAAAAGACUAACGGGCCUGCUGGUACAGCAGCCUUUAGGUAGCAAAAGCCAUAAGGUGGUUGAGUUUUCAUCUGAAGUUACUUCAUAUUUUCACUAAAUCAAUUUUCCUCCUAUGAUGCUAUGCAUUAGCUUCAAAGCUCAUAACCUUCUAAUGAUUAAUGACUAGUUUAUCUUAUGAAAUGACAAGAAAGGCUUGAGUAAAAGACUCUUUUUCGAUGAAGAGGCCUUUCUGCUCAGUUUGGUCUUGGGGAGGUUGGGGAAAGCAUUAUGUCAAUGGAAAUUUUGUAGGGGAUAAAUUUGUAAAUAACGUUUAUAUUUUAAUGUGUGUGGGAAUAUAGGACAAGUGGGAGGGAAUAGCAGAACUCAAUUUCUAUUGUUUGUGGCUGUCCUUUUGUUUCUAGUAUGGUGACAUUUAAUAAGUGGCCAUUCUCUUUAUUUAUAUAUGCAUGAACUUGUAUUCUUUUGAAUGAUUUUAGCAACCUGAUGUACUCAUACACCUGUUAUGGUGGAGGCAUGUCAUAAUAGAUAUGAAGCUGGCUGGGUCAUAAACCUCCAGGACUGCUAAAGCUUUCUGAAUAUUAUGGUCUUUGGAACCACGAUUCUCAAAUUUUACUACUGCACUUAGAUAAACAAUUUUCUGCUGUGAAAUACUAAAUUAGUUAUAUUACUUUUAAAUAUCAGUGAUUCACCAAUUUUAAUUCAUGCAGCAAAGAUGUAAAUACUGUCAAGAAAGUCGUGGAUGAUUGCUUGUCUUGCCAAUUGUCAUCCUCACUUUGUCCACAUGAUGCAGUUUCAGCCUUGGGCCCUAUGUAUGAUGUCCAUGAUAAAAAUCACCUGCCUAGGAUGCAGGCUUGUGAUCAUGCAAUUUCUAAGCUCCUCGACUUCUGCAAGGAUAAAAAGAAUGAAAUGAACGUAUUUCUCCAUAAUUAUAUGCAAAAGAUAGCAUAUAUUUCUUACAUAAUUAAAGAUGCAAAAUUACAAUUUCCUGUUUUUAGAGAGGCAAUGGUGCGUCAAGAGGAUCUAUUUUUGGACUUAAAACUGGUUCGUGGGAUUGACCCUGCAUAUAGAGCCUGCUUAGCAGAAAUAGUCAGACGAAAGGCUUCCUUGAAGCUUUACAUGGGGAUGGCUGGACAGUUGGCUGAAAGACUUGCGACAAAAAGGGAGACUGAAGUCAGGAGACGGGAGGAGUUUUUGAAAGAUCACAGUUUAUACAUACCCAGGGAUGUAUUAGCAUCCAUGGGAUUAUAUGAUACCCUCAAUCAGUGUGAUGUCAACAUAGCUCCUUUUGAUACUAGCUUGCUUGAUAUUGAGAUUUCAGACAUUGACCAUUAUGCUCCUGAGUACUUGACUCCACUGUCUUCCAAGAGUGCGUUUAGAGGUUCAUAUUCUAUGUCUAACGAAACUUGUCAUUCGGUUGGUUCUGACGAGAGUACAUUGGAUAACCUUGAGAAUUGUGACUCUGAGGAGCUACUUGAAGGCGGUGAGUUGGUAGAGAUUGCUGGAACAGGUAAGUUAGAAGUUGAGAAUGCAAAAUUGAAAGCAGAACUGGCUUCUGCAAUAGCUGUGAUCUGUUCAUUCUGGCCUGAAGUAGACUUUGAAUCAUUGGAUGAUAGUAAAGUGGAUAAUUUAUUGAAAAGUGCCGCAGAGAAGACAACUGAAGCCUUGCACCUGAAAGAUGAAUAUGGAAAGCAUCUACAAUCUAUGCUUAGGGUGAAGCAGAUGCAGUGUCUUUCAUAUGAGAAACGCAUUCAAGAACUUGAGCAGAGACUGUCUGAUCAGUAUUUGCAAAGCCAGAAGAUUUCAAAUGAUAAGGAUGCCUCUGAAUUGUCUGAUAAGGUUGAUGACUGCAAGCAAGAAAUCAUAGGUGGUAGGGAAGUCCAUAUGCCUUGCUCAUCUAAUACUGAGCCCAUGGAUGAGGUUUCCUGUGUUUCUAGUGUUUUGGAUGCAAAAUUGGGUCUGUUCAAUGUGCAACCUGGAAAAAUGAAAGAUGGGGUAGAUAAGAAUAUGAUGGAUUCUUCGGCAGUACGAAAUCAUCUAAUGGAUUCAUCCAUGCAAAAUCAUCCACUGGAUUCAUCCAUGCAAGAGCUACAGCGUGAAGAACUGCUGGCCAGUGGUAAAGAUGGGAAAGAAAAGAUGGUGGGGCAGCUGGGCAUGUCACUGACAAACAGUUCUACUGCUGAAAGCAUGCCUGAACCUCUUAAUGUUAUACCGUGUGAAACAGCAAUUGACCCAGGCUUGAACACCAAAGUCAGUGCGGAGCUGUUGUUGGAAUUGCAAACCGCACUUUCAGAGAAGUCAAACCAGUUGAGUGAAACAGAAAUUAAGCUUAAAGCUACUAUGGAGGAUGUUUCUAUACUUAAGAGGGAAUUGGACACAAAUCGGAAACUCCUUGAUGAAUCUCAGGUACUCCUGACUCAACCACUUUUUUUAUGUUUUUUUUCCGAGAGACCAUUUCUCAGAAAUUUUGAGCUCAUGCAUCUGGCUGUUCUGUUCUGUUCUUUCUUUUAUAAAUACAUCCUCUCUCUCUCUCUCUCUCUCCCUCUCUCUCUCUCUCUCUCUCUCUCACACACACACACACACACAUCGAGUGGAUUUGUGGGUGGCACAAAUUCUGUAGUUGGUGUUUCUUAGAUGAUCUUAUGUUGAAGUCACGAUGAACUUAAUUCACCUGAUUGGUAUUUUUCUUUUGAAUAUUUUUAAACAUAAUAUGGACUGUUGAAUAGAAGUUGCUAUUUAAAAAUGCUAAACUAUGAUCCCUAGCCCGCUUUUGUUUCCUUGAGAACAAUUCUUGCAAAGAAUGAGCGACUUUUAUUUCCCUAGGGUUCUGCCCUUUUUAAUCUAUAUAUAGUUUAAAAAAAGCUGGAUUAUGCUGUCGUGGUAGAUACUAUGUUGCCCCAGAUAUUCGAAAUGUAGGGAAGGGUGCGUAUCUGAUACCUACACCCCUACAAUACUGUCCAACACGUUGGAUACUCAAAUUGAAGUAUAAUUAACUUUUCUGUUUUGUUGACUGGGAUACAGCAACAAUACUCUACUACGAGCAUGAAUUAUUCUAAAAAUUUUCAAAAUUUUUGGGGGUGUUGAAGGGAUUGAUUUGAUUCCAUGGAUAUGAAGCAUGGUUGAAUGCUUGAGAUUUCAAGGUGUUAAUUUUGUUUAUGAUAAAAGAUGAACGUGAAUAUUUCACCCUUUUGUGAUUUGUUUUAUUUUUAUGAAGUAAACCUAUUAAAUAUAUUUUUAAAAGCAUGUCUUAUUCUACAAUGAGACUCAAGCUUUGGUAUAUGUUAGGAUAAAUGUAACUACUAUGAUACAUUCAUGAAGUGAGAAUUACACAGUAUUUUUAGAAUUUAUGUAACUACUGUAAUACAUUCAAGAAAAUUGUGACCAGUUGUAAAACAAAAUAGUACUGUAGAUAUGGAAGUGGUUGAAAACCUCUAGUUGGAAGGGAGAGCACUGGAAAACUCGAACUUCAACAGGAAUUGAGGAGAAAAACGGUUUUGUGGUGAAGGCUGGUUAGCGUUAAUUUUUCAUUCUACUUCUACCAUAAUAAUCAAAUUUUUCUUAUUGGUUGGUAAAAUGCGAAGCUUAACCUUUGGAGAGAAGUGUUGGAAUCUAAAGGUUUUCGCCUAAGUUUGUCAAAGACAAAGUAUAUGGAGUGCAAGUUCAGUGCAAACGGAGGCUCAAAUGAGUUAGGGGUGAGGAUUGAAGAUCAGGAAGUACUAAAGAGCGACCGCUUUCGCUACCAAGGAUCUAUCUUGCAAAAGAACGGAGAGUUGGAUGGAGACCUCAUCCAUAGAAUACAAGCUGGAUGGAUGAAGGUUAGAGUGCAUCCGGCGUGUUGUGUGACCAUUGUAUGCCCCUGAAGCUCAAGGAAAAUUUUAUAGGACAGCAAUAAGGCCAGCAAUGCUUUAUGGCACAGAAUGUUGGGCGGUGAAGCAUCAAUACGUACAUAAAAUGGGUGUAUCGGAGAUGAGAAUGCUUCGUUGGAUGUGUGGGCACACGAGAAAGGAUAACAUUAGGAAUGAGGAUAUCCGAGGUAAAGUAGGAGUAGCCGAAAUUGAAGGAAAGAUGAGAGAAAAUCGGUUAUGGUGGUUUGGACAUGUGAAACGAAGGCCUACUAACGCUCCGGUUAGAAGAUGCGAUUACAGGACAGAGGUUCAGGGCCGAAGGGGUAGAGGAAUACCUAGGAAGACUUUGGAAGAGACUCUAAGAAAAGACUUAAGAGUACUUGGAUCUAACAUAAGACGUGGCACAGAACCGAGCGUAUUGGCGUUCUAGGAUUCAUACAGCCGACCCACUUAGUGGGAAAGGGCUUUGUUGUUGUUGUUGUUGUGGUUGGUAAAAUCAUCAAUUAUGACGACGGUGUCUCAUUGAGUCAUUGAUGGCUACAUAAAGCACAUGCACACAACUGUGGUUAAAACUUAUAUUUAGCUUUAUUAAUUCUUAGCUUUUCCAUAUUCUGAUUGUAUAUUUUCAUGCUUUGCCCAUGCCAGAUGAAUUGUGCUCACUUGGAGAAUUGUUUGCACGAGGCAAGAGAGGAAGCUCAAACCCAUCUUUGUGCGGCUGAUCGCAGGGCCUCGGAGUAUAGUGCGCUGCGCACAUCUGCUGUGAAAAUGCGUGGCAUCUUCGAAAGAUUAAGGAGCUGUGUAUAUGCCCAGGGUGGGGUAGCUAGUUUUAAUGAAUCUUUGCACACCUUGGCACAAUCUCUGGGCAAGUAAGUUUUCCACACCACUUAUUACUUUUAACUGUUUUGAACAAAUUCUAGUAUUUCUCAGUAAUUCUUGUCUGACACUAUAUCUCAUGCAACCUUGAUAGCAUUCCUCCUGAAAUUUUUUUUAACAAAAGCAGGUCAUUUUGAUGUGAAAAAGAAACGAAAGAAGUACAUUGAAAAAAAAAAACCACUAGAAAGUACUAUAAUGGAUGGAAAGAUGUCCAUGUUUGCGGGAAUUUUUGUGGAUACGUCCAUUCAAUGAAUACUUUUAGUUCAGUUAUUGACAAUGGGAGAUGACUCUGAUUAUACUUUGAAUUGUUUCAGUUCUAUUAACGGCAGUGAAGAUGAUGGUACUGUUGAAUUUCGGAAAUGUAUUCGGGCUCUGGCAGAUAGAGUUGGUUUCUUGUCAAGGCACCGUGAAGAGCUGCUUGACAAGUAUCCAAAGGUUGAAGCUGUAAAUGAACAACUUAGAAAGGAUUUGGAAGAGAAGAAGGGGCUGGUUAAAACUUUGUACACAAAGCAUCAACUUGAGAAGCAGGUAAUUGAUAAUAGAGGGAUAUUUUGUUCAACGGAAAAGAAAUAUCAGUUACCUGAUACCAAAAUAAAAGUUAAAUGGUUGAAUGUAAUUUUCUCUGCUCAUGGUUUAGUGAGUUGACACCUAGGCAUCAAGUGUGACCUGAAUUCUGUUCUGGCUGAGUGAUGAAUUAACAGGUGGUUAUUCGACUUUUAAUCUUGCUGCAGGCAAACAAAGAGAAGAUAUCUUUCAGCCGCUUGGAAGUCCACGAGAUUGCUGCAUUUGUUCUAAACACAUAUGGGCAGUACGAGGCAAUUAGUCGUAAUUGCUCCAACUACUACCUGUCUGCUGAAUCUGUAGCCUUGUUUACUGAUCAUCUCCCAAAUCAACCUAACUACAUUGUUGGGCAAAUUGUGCAUGUCGAACGGCAGACCGUGAAGCCAUUGGCUCCUAGUUCAACGCGGUCUGAGAACAACCUAACAUCUGACAUGGAAACCGACCGGUUGACCUUGAAUUCAGGAUUGAACCCGUAUGGUCUCCCUAUUGGCUGUGAAUACUUCGUAGUGACAGUAGCCAUGUUACCUGUACCACCACCAUUCAUACCCCACCUCCUUCCUGAUCCCUGCACUAGGCAGAUUGACGUGAUGGAAGAAUCCCAAGUGUACAUAUGAAUAUUACAUUAAAAAUUUAUAAUCCUUUUAGCGGGAGAUUGGGACUUUGAUUUGCUUUCAUACUGUACAGCUGAUGAUCCAAUAGAAUUUGAUAUUGUCUCCUUGUUUCUGUAUAUAUGUAUAAAAAAUGUGAAUAAUACUCUUCCGCUUCUGUGAAUGUCUUUAGGUGGAAUCUAUCAUCAUAUAUGUAUGAGCUCAUCCCGGACGGGCUCGGGUACAUGAAGUGCUGGAGUUUGCCUAAAGUUAUCACAUUAGUGGGUGUAGAGAGAGGAUCAUAGAGUUGGGAUGGGAUUUUUACAAGUGAGGCUAGUUUAGGAACUAAUUUUGGGUGUAAAGACUUCAAGUUAACCAGAAUUACUCUUUAUGUGUGACAAAAUGUAUUUUAUGUUGUGGGAUGGAUCUGGAAUCAUUUGGUACGGGAGGGAAAAAUGGGUGAGUGAAUAGCCUCUCGAUGUUUCCUAUUGUUCCAACUAUUGCAUUGAUUAUUUUGUUCUCGUUGAACUUUGUUCCAAAUCAAGUUAUAUAUUCCCAAAAGGUUUUGAACUCCACGCCUGAUUUAACCCCAAUUUUUUUAAACACCUUACUAUUGACUCUAAAAGUUACAAAACUUACAUGGCGAGCAUGUGAUUAACUAGGAGCUAACUACAUCCUUCAGUGGUUGAUUGAUGAUGUGGGAGUGCCAAUUCUCAAUUGAGCUUGGUUGGGCGAAUACUAACGGUCGUCGAUGUGCCAUACUCGUAAUGUCACUUGAUAUCCAACCAUAGAACACUACACUUCACCAAGAAAGCUAAUGAAGUGACCUUGUUCGACGAAAGAAUCAAAGACUUCUCACUGGCAAAGACUUGGGAUAGAUAACCAGUCAAAAGAUGAGAACUUACUAUUUAACCAAAUUGUCAAAACUCUUAGACUAAGCUAAUUCUACGACUCCAGUGUUGUCCAACUAAAUUGUCACCUUUAGCUGUUGUCUACGGAAAAUUUUGUUUAAUCAAACUGUAAUCAUCCGUAGGCUGCCAACUUUAAACAUGUCUAACCAAACUGAAUUUGUGAUGUGAAGUUAGUAUUUUCUUAGGAAGGUUGAGAAGAUUCGCAUAGAGCAUUGACUUGUGCGUUGAGUUGAAGGUCCUAUCCACAUUGCCAAUCCUCUUGUACUUAUACGAAUUAAUUUACUGAUGCCUAAGCCUGCUGAAGUAGAAUCCCAAUAGAAUUACAAUUCCUCAGUCCCAUAUGAUAAUUUUAGAAUUAUCCUCACCAAUCAUUUAUCGAUCGAACCCCUAUCUUGGCGGUGUCUCACAUGUACUAGGACUCUGAAUCUAAAUUCCUUUAUCCUUUCAAUCCAUUUCUUAUCCAAUCAGCCACAAGUUUCGAUCCUUCAAAUUUUCCGAACCUUGUAAAAAAUCAUCCCAAUCCUCGAAAUCUUACCUUAUCUAUCCAGAACUCAACCUAACUAUCAUUCAACCACUGAUUAAUUCCACUCAAGUUCUUGUGGGGUGUGUUGGUAUUACUAAGGAUAAAAUUGGACUUUAAAGUGCCUUUGUGGAGUGAAAUCUGACAGAAUAUGGAGUUUAAAUAGAAAAGCUCUUAGACUUAAGUUGAAACGAUUUGUGUUUGCGAGUUAUUUCAAAUUGGUACGAAGUGCCACCCCGACAUUCGCCCACAUUUCCUCCUCCCCCGGACAAGCCGAUGAAGGUGAAUUUGACAAAGUUAAAUUGUUGACUUCGCGAGCUGAAAUGCAAAGGUUAAUUCUUCAUAUUUGCUUAUUUGCAAAACCAACUGAGAACUGUAUACUUGGCGAGCGAGCGACGUUGUGCACCUGUUAUGUACAUCGAAAAAGAGUCAUAAGAAUUUUCGAAGAUAUGCAAAGUAGAAUAAAACUGUCUAUGAAACUUUUCAAAAUUCAAAUCAUGCUACAUCCAAUAAUCCAAACCAUGAUUAUACAGAUAUAUAAUACACGCACAUGACACACAUAUUAUUUCCUUUCUUUUUAUCAUUUUACAUCAGUGUUUUGCAACUCUCAAGUCCACUCAUAACAAAAUCAACACCACAAUGAAUGGCAAGUACAAGAAAAGUUGGAAAAAAUAAACGGAAAUGAAUCACACAAAUCCGUUAAAUGGCUUCCUUCCAACUCCUGCAGGCAUCGAAACCGUGGAAUCUAUGCUCGAAUUUCCUAGAGAUUGCAAAGACUGGUUCUUGUCUAAAUUCCUUUCAGAGCUGGAAUCCUUGUUAUUAGAGAAAAAAGAUGCUUCGUUCCACUUGAAAGACCCAAUGCCUUGUGCCAAAGGGAAGGAAAGCCUUCUCUUGGACUCACUACUUGGUGUCCCCACAGAUCUCUCCCUAGGAUUGCUACUAGCUCGUGCCUUCGCUUUGGCUGACGCCGUUGGAGCCAUGUAGUUUGGAACUGAAAAUGGGGGGCAGCUUGUGAGGCUGUCAUCAUCCUUCAGUGGAAAACCAAAAGGGGAUUCAGCUCCACCACCAGGUGUUCUUGCGUACUUCGAUAUCCCAAACCUGUUUGCUUGUGGAGUCCUACUCGUAUUAAUCAAAGGCGGGGUUCGUGCUGGUUUUAUUGUUGUGAGAUUAAUGGUUGACCUUGACGAUUUUGGUGUGUCAAGAUUGUUAUCAAAUGGAAAAGGAUGUGGCUUUUGAUUGCUUGACUGGGGCACGGGGCUUGGCUUUCGCUCUGAAUCUAGUCUUGAAGGAGUAAACUGAAAAGUUUUCAACGCGUUGGUUCCUGCAGGAGGGUCUACCGGAGGGAGCUGACGUUCCAACCAGUUCCACCACCACCGAAAUUGUCCAGACAGGAUAUCAGCUAUAGGUGUUUGACCUGAUUUUGGAGUAGCUUUCCACAGCUGUUUUUGGUACACAAAAAUACAAAACAUCGUCAAGAAAUAUGAUAACUAUCAAUUGCAUUGAGUACUGCAUCAAGGAAAACAAUUAACCCCUUAAGCCACUAUGUUCUUUUGUUCUUUCGUUUUUUUGUUCUUUUACAAAACGAUAUUCUAAGCUACUCUAAUCUACAGGAAAGGGAAUCGAAUUCGAGGUCAAUGGUGGCAAGAAGCAUCGUCAAGAAAUAAAAUAAGUAUUGAUUGCAUUAAAGACUGCAUCAAGGAAAACAAUUAACCCCUUAAGCCACUAUGUUAUUUUGUUUUUUCGUUGUUCUUUUACAAAACGAUAUGCUAAGCUGCUCUAAUAUAUGGGAAAGGGAAUCGAAUUCCAGGUCAAUGGAGGCAGGCACACUACUUUGUGCAACUGACCUGACCCAUAAAACACCUUCAAGCUUAAGAUAUUAUUAGUGGGUUAAACCUUGGCCACUAGGGAAGUGAUGAUGAUAUAGUUAAUGGUGGGUGCACCUUACCACUGUUAUGUAACCCAUGCAUUGAAAAGAAAACUAGUAAUACAAUUAUGUAAGGAGCCAUUCCUCCUUCAAUAACGAUGCAAUAUCAUUUUACUCUACAAAUGUCAUAUAAUUAGAGCCGUUCAUCCCUUAAAAAUUCAUUUAAUUAGAAGAUGUUCGGUCAUCCUUAUGAAUUCAACAAAUUAGUAGUCCAUCAUGAUGAUAUUACUUGUUACCAUAGCCAUCAAACUGUUCGGCACGCAUGAAUGAUUUUUCUAGAGAUAAUCUUUAGUUACUGAUAAAAAGAACAAAUGGUUAUGAUUAGGACGUUUGUACGGUGAAAUGGUCACUCAUCAUUGAAGAAGAUAUAUUGUCCAAUAAACAAUACUCUCUAUUGGCAAUUCAUGUACAAACAAUUCAACAAAAUAAUCAAAUACUCUUAAAAUUUGCAUAUACAAAUGUUAAAGUUCAAACAAUGUUUUCCAAUAUUGUCACAGCAUUACUGAAUUACUAUCUAUGCCAUUGUUAAUAGUGCGUCGUAGGAGUUUUAUAGGGUAUGAAACUAUAACAUAAAAGAGAAGAUUGUUCUUUUUUGCUAUCUGAACAGAAAAGUGAAUGCAGGUGGAAUAAGGCUCGAAAGCCAACUGAAGCUCAGUUGGGUUACUAGUGCAGAAAGAAUACCUGGUUGGAGUAUGCGUAAGCCAUUGCUCCUUCUCUUUUCAUGACUGCCUCAACCUUUUUCUGCAACCUUGCCUCUACUUCCUCCUUAGUUAGCAAGCUAUCAUCCCAUUCCUCGUUAUUGGCCGUCUCAGACUAGAGCACAAUCAUUGAAAUUGUUAGCACUACUUUGUUUUAUACAUAUAUUAUGCUUAACCAAAUUACAGACAUUGUAGCGGAGUUUUUAUAUGUUUACAGUUUACUUAUCAUUUUUUUAGCAGAAAAAGUAAUCUUCUUUUUCACGUUAGUUUGUCGUAAUUGUGUGGGUCUACAUGCGCAAGGUCCACGUUUGCCCCAAGUUUUUUACCAUAUUAACCUACAAAUGAAGAAGUGUUAGUGUGUGGAUGUGCGAGUGUAACGUUAGUGAUUAACCUUAUAUAAGUUUUAGGGGCCCCUAGCGUAUCUAUCAGCUUAAACGUUUGGAACCAACUGAAACAGAUAGGAAUAGAAUAAAAAGCCGAUGAAUGGAGACUUACUUGCUGGCUCAAGUUCCAUUUAGUGAAGGUGCUUUCCAUUUCUCUGUCAUUCUUGUAUUGAACUUGAUGUCUUGCUUGGUUUUCUAACAUCUGAAUCCUACGUGACUGAGUUUGAGACUGAACCCGUACCAAGAGUUGCAUGUAUUUCAUGGCAUUCAUCGUCUGACGCUUCACGUUCUGGCCUCUUACUACUCCUUGAAGCCUCACUAGACCUUUUAGAGCUCUAAAGCUUCUUCUUGCCUGUAUAAAAAGUAGACAAAGUUCAUUACAGGGUCAGAGGAAGUUCAUAACCUGUAGUUAUCAAAACCUAGACUUGAUCCAGAUCCAGAUGUAAUCAUAUCAAGUGAUUGCCCGAGAAAACUCCGCAUGGUACCAAAACCUUCCCGAGAAGGAUGCAGCAUGAUCUGGGACAGAAUGUACCUUAUAAAUAAAUCUUCAACGUGUAAAGUAGAAAAAAACAAAUUCUUCUCUGGUUGCUAGUCAGAGCCUUUGCACACCAUUUACUUUUGAACUGCUGCUGUGCUUCUAAAAACUAAUUAUGCACAUAAAAUUUGCGACUUUAUGAUAUACAGCCAGGACACAAAACACAAGAUCUAGAUAUCACGUUAUAUUAUUCUGACGGCUACAUUUUGGGAAAAUUGGUUAAUCUAGUACCUUUUACCUAAAACGUUCUCCAAACUUGAUGUCCGAUUAUGAGUUAUUUAUUUUGACAGGGCGGACCUAUGCAUUGUCUUAUGCGACCACAGGAAGAACAGAACCACUAGAAAGCGUUCAAUUAGAUGAACUGAAUACAGGAAUUAGGUUUUCCUAUAUUGAACUCUACCCUGUUAUAGUCCAGUUCUCACAUUACACGUUACAACCCCCCACCCUUGAGUACUAACGGGUGAAAAGUAUAAGCUUACCGUAUAACCUCUAUAGGCUGCCUGAAUUUUAGUAGCUGAGGCAUGGUGGUUCCUUAUAGUUGGUUCAUGUCUGUAGCUAAUCUCCUUAUGUUGAUGAAUGAUGCUAGGAGAUGGAUCUCUUGGAGGAGGAGCUCUUGGAGGAGGCACUCUUGGGGAAGGAGCUCUUGGGGAAGGAGCCCGUGGAGAAGGAGCCCUUGGUGAGGCAAGCCUCGGAGAAGAAACUCUAGGAGGCACAAAAGGCGGGGUCCUUGGUUGCUCAUCAGGUGUAGGAGGCCUAAAAGUUUCUCUUUGUUGCUCCCUUUCAAAAUCCCCAAAAAUUUUCUCAAUGCUGCUUGGUUCUCUGAACAGCGGAAUGAACGAAUUGGUCUCUCCAUGCUUUAGUUUCCCAAGCCCCUUAUACUUUUCAUUUGUGUUUUUCUUCUCUGAACACUGAAAUAUGAUUAACAAUGAGAUUUAGUUUGAGUUAGCGAAUAUUUUGCAUGUUUUUUUACCUCUGCGCUCAAAAACCAGAAAAAAACUGCAUGCACUUGAGAAGUAGAAAUAAAAUGUAUACCACUCUAAUUGAGUUGAACGUUCUUUUGUUGCAGACAUAGAAUAAACUGAACUGAACAUACUAACUGUAGUAUGAAUUUAUGAUUGUAUUAUCGCUAACUGAUCGGAUCAUAUUUAUAUAUAUUUUUACUUCAAAUUCACUCGUCUUUUCUUAGUUAGUUCCUUAUAUUUUUGAGCUAUUUACGUUAUUUUUGUGUUUAUAGGAUUUGUUAUGCAAAGAAAAUAAAAAUGGCUAAAUGAUUUUUAUUUAUCAAAAACGUGGCAGUGUGGUAGGUGGAGCUGGAUGAGUGGAUACCAUCUAGAAGAAUAAGUGCAGCUGGUAGGUGAGGGGAAAAGAAGAAAUAAAAAAAAGAAAGGGUGAGGCAUUAGCCUCGGAAGUGAAAAGAAUAAGAAGCAUAAAAGCUUCUGGGAAAGGGGGGAGAAGGGAGCUGCCCUUUGGGGCAGCUCGCACAGACGCAGGAAGGAGGCGCGGACAGAACAGAAAAGAAAAGAAAAGCUGCCUUUGCAGCUGAGCAGCGCAGGAAAGCACAGCGAGACUGUGCGGUAAAAUAACGCUGCCUUUGGCAGCCUUGAAAACAAAAACCGAAGAGGACAGAAAAGUAGAGUGGCGCAGAAAAUAAGAGGGAGCACCGAGAGGUGAGCAGCGAGAGGUGACGUGGGGCAGAGGAGAAGAGCUGCCAUUUGGCAGCUUGAGCAUGGAGGCAAGUCAGAAAACAGAGAAGUCAGACAGACAGAAGCAGCAAGCACUCUCCUCUCUCUCGGUUAAAUCUUUCCCACUUAUAUUUUACUUUUGGUUUAUUUGUGUUUUAAUAAUGUGUAACUAAUUUUAUUUUGGCUAGAGGUUAAUUCAAAGCUAUGAAUAUAUUUAUAAUAUGAAUUGAUUACCUUCAGUUGUGAUUUCUGAGUUGUGAUUUAAUUUGCUUAACUGCUUGAUUUAUAACUUAUUUUUGUAUGUCGAUUAAGGAUGCAUACUUAAUUUACAUGCAUGAAUUUGAUGCUAGAAUAUAAGUGAAUUUCACCUAAUCGUUAUGAACUUAUAUUCACAAGUAGUGAAGGUUGCUAGUCACAAUCACGUUAAGUAAAUUCUUGGCAUAAGUUUCAUGCAAUUCAUAGUAACAAGUGCCUCGUCAAUGCUUAUGAUUUUCAUAGAACUUAAUGAUUCUUGCUUGUAUCUCUAUUAUGCAAUUCAUGUAGGGAACUUGUGGGAAAUGUUUUGGGUUGUCGUAUGCAAUCAUCCAAUCCAUUAACUUAAGGAAAAUCUGAGAAUUAAUCUAUGCAAUUCAUGGUUAAUUUGGGGCAUUGAAAAUUCAUAACUUAUUGAAAGAACAACUGAAAAUCAAUUUAGGUUGCAUAUAUGUCAUGUGUGGAGAAGAACCCUCUAGCUAGUCCGUCAUCUAUCAUUUUACCUUAAUUUUAUGUUUUUGUCAAUUCUGUAAUUUAAUUAAGUUUAAUUUACUUUUCAUCAAAACCAAACACCCAUCCAUUAUUAAAUUAUAUUAUUUAGUUAGUUUUCUUUAUUGUUAGUCUUUUAAUUUAAUUUCCGUCCAUUUCAGUUCCUAGUGUUUAAUUUAAUUGUUUUCAUUAUUUUGAGUCAUUUUAAGUGUGUUUCGAGUUAUUAGAGUUUUUAGCCUAGUUUUGUGUCCUUGAGUCUUGUUUAAUAUUUUUAAAUUAAUUUAGAGUAGAUUAGCAAUCCCUCCUAAUCCCCGGCCUAGAACGAUACCCUACUUACAUCUAUACUACAAUUGUCAAAAAGAGGGUUUAAUUUGUGUGUCAAGUAAUUCACGCAUCACUAACCAAGCGAAACAAUCAUAUUGUACAUACUAAGAAACCAGCUAUACAGUUGUCGCUAGUACAAAUACUACAAGAACAUUCAUUACAGCCAGCAGCUGACUCGUGUCUGAGACAUCUGGAGAAUUGACUUAUAUACAAGUUAGAAAAUUUGUAAAAUGUAGCCCGUAUAGAUCCACAAUUACCAAAAGGUCAACCUUUGGAUUGUCUACUUAUUUGAGACAUUCAAACAAGUUGUGAUAUAAAUCCAGAAAAAUCCACUGGGAAAGGAAAUAGGCCAUAUUCUCUUACAUUGGCUGCCUUGUCCUUGGAAUGCAGCGCGAAAACCCUCCUUAUGGCGGAAAACCAACUCCUUUUAUUUCCCAUGCUCCUAGCAUUAGCGUUCCUGCCUGAAAGGAAUAUGAAAGAGCCUUUGAGAAAGUUAUAUUUUGCAAUAGUUUAUGGAUUCAUUCAAAACUCCAACUCGGUGCUUCUACGCUGCUCUACUAUAUAUUUGAGUACAUAAUCUACUAUGUAAUUAAGUAGAAUUGUGAAUUAAUUGUAUAGUUGAACACAAGUACAAACACCCUUGAAAGAGAAAUUAAGGACAUCAUCAUCGUUCCUUCUUUAAUUUCCUUAAUAAUAAAUUAAGAAAAAACAGACAAACCAAACAACAAACAAUCUUCUCACUCCUACAACCAUGAAAUCAAGAGGGAGGGAGGGAGGGAGGGAGGGAUCCCAAGAAGAAAGAAUUCACAGAAGAAUCACAUAACAAGUCAGAACUCAGAACAAUUCUCGGCCAGUAAUACUCUUUUCUUUUUUAAUUUCAUUUUCUUAUAAUUAAAUUAAAUUAAUUAAAACUCAGAACCAUUUAUAUGCAUCUCCUCCUCCAAGACAUAAAACAUAUUAAAUAAACCCAAAAGUUAUUAAAAUAAAGAUAAUUAGAUGGAGCGACAGAUAGAGUAAGAUGAUGAUUCGAGUAAGGAAUCUGUACGUUAUAUAUCCUCAUCUCCUCCUCCUCCAAGAUGACUAACCAAGCUUCCAAAGACAGCACUCGGCCGAAUCCCUUUAAAAAGCAGCUGCUGCUGCUACAACUAAAAGGACAGACAGAGGGAGAGAGAGAGAGAGAGGAAGCAGCAAGAAGAGAGAAGUCUCUCAGCCUCCCUCUCCUUUGUUUCUUUUCCACAUCAAAAGGCUUUUCUCUGUUUUUAUUUAUUUUUACAUAUAAUAGUACUAAAAUGAAUGUUUUGGUGGUUGUUUAUGGAAUUAUUAUUCUCUUUCUCUGUACAACUUUGAAUCUGGUUCUUGCUGGUAUGAAUGAAUGAAUUUUACUUUUCUUCUUUCCCAUCUUUUGCCUUUUGCGGGAUGUAUAAGCCUUUUCUUUCCUUUUUUUUUGUGUGUCUGUGUGUCAUUGUGCGUCUGAUGGCCAUGAUGAUGAAGAGAGAGAAAGAGAGAGAGAGAGGUUGGCCACUUUCUCACUCAAUAUGGCUAACUUCAACUAACUUUACUUGAAUGGGAAAACUAUUAGAGCAUCUUCAUUCUUUUUUCUUUUUUUUCUUCUUUUGGGUCGAAAUAAGAUUUCAUUAGAGACGGAGGAAACUUCAGGGAAAACAAAGGAAAACAGGCUUUAGGCUUAAAGAGCACAAGUGAUCGAGACUUCAAGCGUAGCUUUGGUCGCCGUACUCAAAUGAAAACCCAAAGCCCGAGCAGCUUCCUAGUGAGGACAGUGAAGACCAUCGAUGGACAAAAUAUGAACGAGAACGGAUGGGGGUCUGGGAACCCAGACGUUCGGACACAUCCCCUCUUUUACAAUGCAAUGCAACCCAGUUAGCUAUAGAGUUCGCUUGGCCGGUGAUCGAACUCCAAUUAAGAAACUGGAAACGAUGGCGGAUAUUACAAAUUUGGAUUAUAAUGGGAAAAAUAGUCAAAGUAGCCUGUUUUGUUCCUUCGUUGAUAUUUUGAAUUAGUUGUGAAAGGUUAUUUUCGAUGGUAGUUUCCAUAGCAAGGAGAGCAGUACGCACCUCAGCUUCAAGGGAGUAAUAGCAGUUCCCCUUCCACCCUGAUCCACCAGGAGCCAGCUAGAUGUAUCCCUAAUAACCACCCCGAGCCCCAUGUGCCGAUAUGAUUUAGUCCAGGAGCCAUCACAGUUAACUUUGACAAAAUUGGAUGGAGGGGGAGACCACAUGGCAGGAGGACGAGAUCCCGGGGGGGGGAGGGAGGCGGAAAGUGGGCAGUAGAGGCACCGAUGAACUAGUCAGAGGCCACGGAUGCCAGCCUCAAAGUUCUAUAGGGGGAAGGUACCAAGUUGUAAAAACUACAAUGACCGAUUUUCCAAAUUUCUCAGUAGAUAAAGAGAGCCAAAGUUAAUACCCUAUUCAAAGCAGCACCGUUUCCGUCGAUGACCUUAGAAACAGCAAGCAACAGCUUGACGAUCAAUGCGAUAGUUUAAUCUGGAGCAAAGCAGACCGCAUAGGUCCAGGGACAUAAAAAAGGAUGCGUCCAGCUAAUUCUGGGAAUUGCAUGCACAUGGGGUAGAGGGGAUUGGCACGGAGAGAGAAAUGGAAUGGGGCCUCCAUAGUUGGAAGACAAUUAUUAACAAUUCGCCAGAAGAAAAACUUGAUAUUAAGGAGAGUGUUCAUGCCCCAUAUUUGCUUCCAGAUCGCAGGUUCAAUGAUUCUAGAACGAUGGGCAUUUCCAAUAGGAAAUUUUAUUUGAUCCCAUAUAACCUCUUUCUACACCUAACUUACUCUCAACAUCCAUAUUGUUUUUUAUUAAGCUAUCAAUAUCUCUUUAAACCCAAAUUCACUCUCUAAACUACCCUUAUAAACUCAAUUCAAUACGUAAAUUUAUCUUUACACCUAUUGAAAACAUUAAAACCCAAAAUCAGUAUUCAUGAAUGUUUUACAACUUCUAAACUUGAAAUAUGAAAUGAAUAGUUUAUUGGAAGUAUCACUAGUAGAAAAAACACUUUGCGCAACAAAAACUUGCGCGACGCAGCCAAAUUCAUCGCGCAAAGUAUGUUUGCGCGACGUUAAACACAAAACGUCGCGCAAACGGUCUUUGCGCAACGGAGACCGACGUCACACAAAAGUGUUUUGCGAGACGUAAGUUCACUUACGUCACGCAAAAUUGUUUUGCGCAACGGAGACCGACGUCGCGCAACUUGUCGUCGCGCAAAGGCCGUUUGCGCGACGUUUUGUGUGUCCCGCAAGAUUUUGGCGCCAAAUAUAGAUAGCUUUACCACUUUUUUCGUUGACUUUGUGCAACGCAAGGUCACAUACGUCACGCAAAACAGCUUUGCAUGACGCAUGUUCACUUACGUCACGCAAAACGGUUUUGCGCGACGCAACAUACGUCACGCAAAACAGCAUUGCAUGACGUAGGUGAACAUGCAUCACGCAAAGCUGUUUUGUGUGACGUAUGUGGCGUCACGCAAAGUCAACGACCUUUUCUUACUUCACUUAAUCAGUUUGGGAGGUAGAAACUGCAAACUAGUUGCAGCAGCUACCUCCCUCCCCCAUCUCUCUUCAAAACAUUCUCCAAUUCUCUCCCUUCCUCAAUCUUUUUCUAUCCGGUAAGUGAUUUGAUUUUGUAUAUGUAACUUUGAAUUGAGAAUUCAAACUAAAACUACUAAAUUUGUUUUGUACAGGAUUUUUGUAUACAAUUAUCAUUGAAGAACGAAUUUGAAGGUAUUUUCUUCAUGUUGCAUAUGGGAUUUUUGUAUAUGUACCUUUGCCUACUUGCUAUGCCCUUUUUUGGUAAUGGUUUGAGUUUUGUGAGAUUCAAUUUUGAAGUAAUCUUUAUUAAUUUUACCUAUUAGGUACCUUUGCCUGCUUGCUAUGCCCUUUAGUAAUCUUUAUUAAUUUUGCAUAUGGGUUAACUUAUAUAUUUACAUAGAAGAAAUUGUAAGAAAUGUUGGUUUCCCCUUCAAAUUUCCUUAAUUUGUGCUAUACGGUUGAAUUGAGGGUAAAUCCAAUGCACUGCAGGUAAUUAAGAAUUAUAUAGAAAACCUACAAAAGCCAUGAACUUCAAAGCUAAUCUUAUCAUCACUAUUAAGUUCUCAAUGCUAAGACAACAUGUUUUAGUUCAAUAAUGAGGGGCUUGAUUUUUGUGAGCAUAUGCCAUACUUAUUUAGAUAAACAAUGGCUACAAUUCUCCUAUUAAAUCCUUGUAGAAAGUUAAUAUCGUCUUCCAAUUUUAAUACAAGUAAGUAAUUCAGGAUUCAUUUUUAGUCUCAAUCCUUUGUAAACUUGAAGACAACCAAAUCAUCUUUCAAUAAGAUUUUUUAAAACCAAUAUCUAGCCAAAAUACGUGUACACUUGUGUUCAUAUUCUAACAAUACUUUUAUCUCACCAACAAAAUUACUCGAGUGUAACUAACUAGAAUAUGUAUAUUCUAUGAUAAUUAGUAUAAACAAAUAAAAACUAAGGCCAUCAACAUUAUAGUUUAGAAGUAUUAAUAUUUUGUAUCUAUUUUAUUUAGUUUCACUAGUUAUUGUGAUUUAAUUUAUUUGUAUGCACAUAUUUUUGUACAUCACGUACAACAUUGUUUUGUGUUGUACGAAGUUAAUACUACUUAACUUCGUACACUUUUUUCAAGAAAAGCUUAGUUUCCCGUUUGAGAAUUAGUUGGAUUUCGUGCAUGGAUGCAAAAGCAUGACUGCGGUCCAAUUAAUUCUUGAAUUGUCCCAUUUUUUGGACAGUUUGGGAAUUCAUAGUUAUGUGUUGUAGUUUGCGGUUCACGGAUUAGGUUUCUAUAGUGGAAAUUUUGGUAACAUUUCCUGAUGUUCUUCGAGUACACGGUGGAUAUUAUGUAUCUACGGCGUGCACUUGAAGAACUAUAAGGAGAUGCUGUCGAAAUUUGCCCGCGUCGAAAUUUCAUCCAUUGGAAUCGUAAAUUACGGCACAUAACUGUGCAUUCCUGAAUGGGAUAAGGCCCUUACCGGAGGAAUAAGGUGACAAGACAAUAGUUGAAGUUGUUGUAAUUCUUGUUCUUUUAUUGGGAUUGGAGACAAAAUGGACAGACAGUGGAUACAGAAUCAUAAUAGAUGUGAUGUUGAGUACUUGAUGGAAUAGAUGAGUUCAUUGAAUUCGCAACUAGACACAACCUAGGUUCAACUCAUAUCCGAUGUCCGUGUAGGAGGUGUAACAACUCAAUGAGGGAGACAUUCGAAAAUGUUCGAUUUCAUUUAGUAAGAAAUGGGAUGAUGGAGACCUGUACUACUUGGUAUCAUCAUGGAGAACGAUUAGACCAACUUUCGUCUUCAUAUAUGACACGAAUGGAGACUGUUGAAUCUAAUGUGGAUCCUAAUGAACAAGUUAUGGAUAUUCUAAAUGACGUUUAUCCAUACGUCUCAACCAACACCAAUGAGGAAGGGGGAGAUGACAGUCGUCCAACCAUGGACAGUGAGGCAUUCAAAAACUAUGAAAAACUAUUGAAAAAUGCCAAGCAAGAAUUAUAUCCGGGUUGCGAGAACUUUUCAGUGCUCACGGCAAUUGUGGAGUUGAUGCAUGGCAAGAUCAAGUUUCAUUUGUCAAACAAGUGUUUUGAUUACUUUUUGGGAGUUAUCAAGAGGAUGCUUCCAAAGGACAAUUAUUUACCUAAAGAUCAUAAAAGUGCCCAAAAAGUGUUGAAGGGUCUCGAAUUGGGGUAUGAAAAAAUUCACGCAUGUGUAAAUAAUUGUAUAUUGUUCUAUAAGGAGAACAUACAGUUGGAUAAAUGCCCUGUAUGCAUUGAGUUGAGGUUUAAAAUGACAUCGCAGAAUAGAAAGACCAAGAUUCCACAAAAAAUAAUGCGUUAUCUUCCAUUAAAGCCUAGGUUGCAGCGAUUGUACAUGUCGAUGCAUACGACAACCGAUAUGAGAUGGCAUAAAGAAAGACGGGUAAAUGACGAUGUGAUGAGGCAUCCUGCAGACGGAGAGGCAUGGAAAGAAUUCGAUCGGAUGUACCCUGAUUUUGCAGCUGACCCGCGAAACAUAAGAUUGGGACUUGCCACCGACGGAUUUAAUCCGUUCGGGGUUCUAAACCAAACCCACAGCAUUUGGCCGGUCGUUGUGUUUCCUUAUAAUCUGCCACCUUGGAAGUGCAUGAAAAAAGAAUACAUGAUGUUGACUGUAUUAAUUACCGAAGAUCCAAGAAAGUCCAUUGAUGUUUAUUUGCGACCAUUGGUUGAUGAGCUAAAAGAUUUAUGGGAAAACGGUGUUCGUACAUACGAUAAGUCUACUGGGCAUAUGUUCACCAUGCGAGUAGCAGUGAUGUGGACAGUAAACGAUUUUCUUGCGUAUGCAAUGGUUUCUGGGUGGAUGACUAAAGGUUAUUUAGCAUGUCCAAUAUGCAAGGAGAACGUAACAUCGUCUUGGCAUGCGAGAAAAGUUUGUUAUCUUGGUCAUCGUAGAUGGCUCCCUUGGGACAACGAGUGGCGUCACAACGAUAAAGGUUUCCACGGCACAAAAGAGACUCAACCAAGACCAAGAGAAUGGUCCAGAGAUGAGAUUUUGGAUCAGUUAAACCGUUUGGAAUUUGGUCAUUUUGGCAAAGGGGUCAGUAAGCCCAGACCAACUACACAUCUGAAUUGGAUGCACAAGAGUAUGUUAUUUGAGCUCCCGUACUGGUCAAAGUUAAAAUUGAGACACAAUCUCGAUGUUAUGCAUAUUAAGAAAAAUGUGUUUGAUACUUUGGUCGGGACAAUUCUAGACAUUGAAGGAAAAAUGAAGGACACGAUCGAAGCUCGCCUCGAUUUGGAACAAAUGGGCAUUAGAUCAUCCUUGUGGAUGAAGAAAGUUGGUGGUACAUUGAAGAAAGGCCAUCCUUUUUUUACAGUUAAGCCGAAUGGGAAGAAAGAGUUUUUCAACUUUAUUUCUUCUGUAAAGUUUCCAGAUGGGUAUGCUUCUAAUAUCUCGCAUUGCGUGAACGUAAGUGGGUGUAAAUUUUCAAACAUGAAAAGUCAUGACUGUCAUGUGAUACUCCAACGCCUUCUAUCAGUUGGUAUUCGACACUUAUUGCCUUUUGAUGUGGUGAAACCAAUAGUGUUGUUGUCGAGAUUUUUUUCACAGUUAACUGCAAGGUGUUUGCGGAAGUCGGAUGUUAAACAAUUGUAGGACGACAUUGUGAACGUCUUAUGCAAGUUCGAACAGAUAUUUCCUCCAGCUUUCUUUACAAGUAUGAUUCACGUGAUGAUUCACUUGUCAGAUGAGGCAUUGCUUGCCGGACCAAUCAAUUGUCGAUGGAUGUAUCCAAUAGAAAGGUACUUAAUUAAGCAUAUAUAUAUAUAUAUAUAUAUAUAUAUAUAUAUGAAUCUAUUAUAUAUAUAUAUAUAUAACAGAUGCAUGAUCAACGAACGCUUUGAAUAAUUUGUAUCAUACCUUUUAUUUGUCCAGAUAUCUUGGUGAGUUGAAAAAGUCUGUCCGAAAUAAGGCAAAGCCCGAAGGAUCACUUGUGGAAGCAUGGGUCGCAUAUGAGUCACUUACUUUUUGUGUAAUGUAUCUUCAAGAUGUUGAGACAGCUUUCAAUCGCCCUCAACGCAAUAAUGACAGUGGUGUCAGAAAAGAAAAACUGUAUGUUUUUGCCCAAAUUGCGCGACCAUUCGGCGAUCCUGUAAAAGGCGAAUCCUUUACUAAAAAGGACAUGGAGGUAGCGCAUUGGUUCAUACUCAACAAUUGUGAUGAGGCUUUGCCAUACCUUGAACAACAUGAACAGUUGAUGAAGCGGGAACAUCCUUCACAUUUAUAUGCCAAGAAGCACUGUGAAUUGUUUCCUUCGUGGUUUCACAAACAUGUAAGUUGUAUGUGUUUUGAAUUGAGCAUUUUUUCCAAAUUGUUCAUGGCCGUCUUUAAAUUUGGUUGCACUAACAUGUUAACUUUUUGUAUAUGUUAUAUUAGAUGAACAAAUUGAAGGAAUUGAAUUCACCAUCUUACGAUGAAGAAUUAUAUAACUUGGCGAGAGGACCGCUUCACGUUGAAUGGUUCUCAGGUUGUCAUGUCAACGGGAUCAAGUUCUUGGGGGCAACACGUGAUGACAAGUUGUGUACUCAAAAUAGUGGUGUCCAUGUCCCGAGUGCUGGCGAUAGUGAAGACAUUGAUUUUUAUGGCAAACUAACUAGUGUAAUACAAUUGCUUUACAAAGACAGAUGUCAAGUGAUACUGUUUAAGUGUCUUUGGUUUGAUACAAACCCACAUAACUGAACGAGUGUUAAGCGAGACCAUGGUUUACUAUCAGUAAACACUACCAAAUGUUGGUACGAUGAAGACCCAUACAUUUUGGAAACUAUGGCGAAACAAAUAUUCUAUCUAGACGACCCUAAAGCCGGCAAUGGUUGGAAAGUUGUUCAGAAGAUUGAUCGAAGAGGGCUAUAUGAUAUUCCGGAACUAGAUCAUGAUGACAACGACAACAACGUCGCUGACCAACAGUUUUCAUCUUUGAUAGAAAUUGGUGAAGAAAUACUACGGGAUACUAAUGUUGUCCAAGAACCAUUUGAAGUAGUUGGAGUUCCCGAAUUCGAAAUAUCAAUUGACCUUGGUGAUCUGCUGCGAUACAAUGCACCGAAAGAGGCAAACGAAGAUAAGGACGAAUGGAAAUCCGAAAAUGAUAGUAGUGAGGAUAGCGAGAGUUAUUACUGUAGUUCGGAUGAGGAUUAAUAUAAACUUGUAAAGGAAACAACCAGGGGGCUGAGGAGAGGCAAAGUCAAACUAAAAAAGGCACGGGAAGAAUCUGAUCGUGAUCGUUUGAAGGUAUUUUCCAUUUUUUACCAAUCUGAACAACGAAGUACAAGUUAUUUAUACUCGUUAUAGGUUAUAUUUAUGCAGAUAUGAUAGUAUUUAUGCUCAUUCGAUUUUGAAGCUGCAUUUUGUUUUAGCAUGUAAUCAUUUGCUUUUAUUAUGAAUUGACUUGUUCAUUUUGGAUUCACUUCAUUUGGAUCAGGUGUAGAUGUGCACAUAGACUAAAUUAUUCAGAGUUCUAUGUGUUUACUUAUGUUUGUUCACUUCAUUUGGAUUAGGUCAUAUUUAUGCAGAUGUGCUAGUAUUUAUGCUCAUUCGGUUUUGAAGCUGCAUUUUGUUUUAGCAUGUAAUCAUUUGCUUUUAUUAUGAAUUGACAUGUUCAUUUUGGAUUCACUUCAUUUGGAUCAGGUGUAGAUGUCCACAUAGAUUAAGUUCUGCCGUGAUUGCUGUUGCAUUCUUUGUUGCAAGUCUGUAAACUCGUCCUGUGCAGGUUAUGAUUACAUUCGAUGCGAAGCAUUGAAGCAUGAUGGUAGCAUAUGUGGGCAUGCUGCCCAUAUUGAUUGUGCCUUGCAAUGUUACAUGGCUGGCACUGUAAGAGGAAGCAUUGGCUUGGAUUCUGAAUACUAUUGUCGGGGCUGUGAUGAAAAAACAGAUUUGGUUUCAUAUGUCACAAGGCUUUGCUUGCGAAUCUCUUGAUUCUCGGGAUGAUGUUGAGAAGAUUUUAAAUUUUGGUAUCUGCAUUUUGCAGGGUUCACAGAAAACCAGUGCAAGGGACCUGCUGAAACGUAUUGAAGUGGCCAUUGAAAAGGUAAAUAUAAUAGCUUCACAGUAUUUAGACUCCCACACUUACACUUCCUAAAAUUCUGGCAAUAUAACAUUUCUAUUUUAAGCAGCUCAAAUGUGGGACUAAUCUUGAAGAUAUUGGCUUGUGGUCGAUUAUGAAGGAUAAUAUUGGCUCCUUUUCACAUAAAACAUUUCUGUUUCUCCAUUGACGCUUUGCUUCCAAAGCUCACAGAGAAAAGAAAACCCACUAAGACCCACCUCUCACAUCUUGCUGGUAUGCACUCAACUUCCCUCUAUCUGUUCCUCGUUUUGUUUGUGGGGUUUCCUUCUUUGAAUGGUUUUUCCUCUUGGGUUGUUGUGUUUUUGGAUUCUCAAGCUGAUUAAUCGUCCAGCGAUUUCAGCUCAAUGAUCAAAAGGGAUUAUGGCCUCUUCUUUUUUGCUUUGGGUUUUAGUUGAUUAUAUGUAAAGCUGGAUUCUAGAACUCAAUUACAUGUACAAGAACAGCAAAAAAAGUGACACAACUUGCAUAAAACAUUAGUUACUUUGAUCUAUCGUGUUUUAGGCUGCCUAGUUCACCUGUUUUCUCAAACAAGAUUGUCUCUACUAGUCAACCUUAAGCAUUGAAAACGUAGGUAUUCCUGGCCUUUCUGUUCGUCUUCGAUUACGAUCUGUUUGGUUUAACUUUUCUGCACUAAUUUGAUUAUUUAUAUAUUGGUGGUGUUACUUUUGUUUCAAAUUUUCCCUUUUUUAUUUUUUUUUAACUUUUGGUCCAAUGGUUUUUAAUCGCGUAAAUUUUGAUGCUUUCUUGUUGUUGUCUCAUUGCCAUGAUUGAUCCCUUGAAGUCUUGUUGAUUGCAUUUAGGCAUCUUUCUCUAGCCUUUCUUUGGGAGCGAUUCAAAAUCUGUUUAUUAGCACCUCAUCAAUAGUAUAUAUGAAGAAGUUUAGCGAUUCAAAAUCUGGUUUACAGGUCUCUUUAAUUCAUGCCAACAAAUCAAAUGAUAAACGGCUUUCCAUAUUCACAGGAACUAAAACUCUUCACUUGUGGUGUGUGACCAGAGAGGACCGAGCUACAUGGAUUGAGGCACUACUCGGUGCUAAAGAUCUUUUCCCUAGAGUGUUUACGAGCAAUGAUUUGGUACCUUCGGAAGAUAUAGUUGUUUCGACAGAGAAGCUAAGACUAAGAUUAGCACAUGAGGGAAUUGGUGAGCCGGUGAUCAAAGACUGCGAGUCAAUUAUGCUCUUAGAAGUGUCAGAGCUUCAAAAUCAAAUGAAGGGUCUUCAGCGUAAACAUGUGAUGUUGUUGGAGUCAUUGAGGCAAUUAGAGGUAUUUCCAUGCAUUUAAUCACUAAGUUUCUUCUUUAUACAUGUGCAUUUAAUCACUAAGGGGUGGUGGAAAUCUUGCUAGUCAGAAAGUAAAUCCCUAUCUAAAUUUCCUUUUGCAGACAGAAAAAAUAGAGCUGGAAACUACAGUAGUGGAUGAAACAAAGGAGCGUGAGUCAUACAGACAGGGGAAUGGGAGAUUUAGUGGUCAGUUAUCUUUCCAUUAUCUUAGUAUUUUGUUGAACUCAUUGUUUUCACAUAUGAGAAGACUUGGGAAAUGGUAUACGAUAGAGAAUCUUUCUUUUGGUUUAAGUAAAGAUACAUAAUUUGAUAUGAAUUAUUUUGUCUUCAGAUGCUCUAAGCAGUGCUUCCUAUUGUAUAUUUGAAAGAGAUUCUUUCUUUUCUGAUCGAUUGCAUGGAGUUGAGGAGAUCAAGACAAUUAAAUAACCAUAUGUGAAAAAGAGGGAUGAUUUGCCAGAACCCAAGGAGAAAGAGAAGCAUAUUGGCUUGUGGUCGAUUAUGAAAAAUAAUAUUGGGAAGGACUUGUCUGGAGUUUGUCUUCCUGUUUAUUUUAAUGAACCACUCUCAUCGUUGCAAUAUUGAUGAAUACUUUUGAUGAAUACUUUUGGUUGGUCCUUCAAGAUUGAUGAAUACUUUUGGUGGGUAUCAAUCAAUAUAGUAUAUAUUGAUGAAUACUUUUGGGGUUUAUUAUUUAUUGUUUAGAAUUUCAUUACAAUAUUUAUUAAAAUUUAAAUCAAAAAUAUUUUUGUCGAAAAAAAAAUCAUCAAAAUCGGAGUUCAAACUAUCGUUAAAUUGUGAUUUAUUGUUUGUAACCAUCAAAAUAUUUUGUCCCGUUACUUAAUCUCUGCAUGUUUGUUUUUUGCCAUUUUUUGCGUAUGAGAUCUUGAAGCAUAUAAAAACAAGUUGGUCGGUUCGAUCGUUGAAAUUAAUUUCGUCCAAUGCAUUUCCCAUCAAAACGAUUGAUUUACUAACACUUAGAGUUUAAUUAUAUUUUCAUUAAGUAUAACUUAAGCUUUUGCGGUAUCCACUUAUGUAAAUACUUUAAAUUGACGAUCGAAUUAGUUCAUUGUAUUCAUAUAGGCGCAAGAAGUGUAUCUGUAAACAAUCAUCAAAAUCGGAGUUAAAACUACCGUUAAAUCGUGAUUUUUCGUUUAUAACCGUCGAAAUUUUUUGUCUUGUUACUUGAUCUCUGCAUGUUUGUUUUUUGCCAUUUUGGGCGUAUGAGAUCUUGAAGCAGAUUAAAACAAGUUUGACGGUUGGAUCUUUGAAAUUAAUUUCGUACAAUGCGUUUCACAUCAAAACGAUUGAUUUACUAACACUUAGAGUUUAAUUAUAUUUUCAUUAAGUAUAACUUAAGCUUUUAUGGUAUCCACCUGUGUAAAUACUUUAAAUUGACGAUCGAAUAUAUUCAUUGUAUUCAUAUAGGGUCAAGGAGUGUAUAUGUAAAAAAAUCAUCAAAAUCGGAGUUAAAACUACCGUUAAAUCGUGAUUUUUUCGUUUAUAACCGUCAAAAUUUUUUGUCUUGUUACUUGAUCUCUGCAUGUUCGUUUUUUGCCAUUUUUGGCGUAUGAGAUCUUGAAGCAUAUAAAAACAAGUUUGACGGUUGGAUCGUUGAAAUUAAUUUCAUACAAUGCGUUUCCCAUCAAAAUGAUUGAUUUAUUAACACUUAGAGUUUAAUUAUAUUUUCAUUAAGUAUAACUUAAGCUUUUGUGGUAUUCACUUGUGUAAAUACUUUAAAUUGACGAUCGAAUAUAUUCAUUGUAUUCAUAUAGGGUCAAGGAGUGUAUUAGUAAAAAAUCAUCAAAAUCGGAGUUAAAACUACCGUUAAAUCGUGAUUUUUCGUUUAUAACCGUCAAAAUGUUUUGUCCUGUUACUUGAUCUCUGCAUGUUCGUUUUUUGCCAUUUUUGGUGUAUGAGAUCUUGAAGCAUAUAAAAACAAGUUUGACGGUUGGAUCGUUGAAAUUAAUUUCAUACAAUGCGUUUCCCAUCAAAAAACGAUUCAUUUAUUAACACUUAGAGUUUAAUUAUAUUUUCAUUAAGUAUAACUUAAGCUUUUGUGGUAUCCACUUGUGUAAAUACUUUAAAUUGACGAUCGAAUACAUUCAUCGUAUUCAUAAAGGGUCAAGGAGUGUAUCUGUAAAAAAGCAUCAAAAUCGGAGUUACAACUACCAUUAAAUCGUGAUUUUUCGUUUAUAACCGUCGAAAUUUUUUGUCCUGAUACUUAAUCUCUGCAUGUUCCUCUUUUGCCAUUUUUGGCCUAUGAGAUCUUGCAGCAUAUAAAAACAAGUUUGACGGUUGAAUCGUUGAAAUUAAUUUCAUACAAUGCGUUUCCCAUCAAAAUGAUUGAUUUAUUAACACUUAGAGUUUAAUUAUAUUUUCAUUAAGUAUAACUUAAGCUUUUGUGGUAUGCACUUGUGUAAAUACUUUAAAUUGACGAUCGAAUAUAUUCAUUGUAUUCAUAUAAGGUCAAGGAGUGUAUCUGUAAAAAAGCAUCAAAAUCGGAGUUCAAAAAACUACCGUUAAAUCGUGAUUUUUCGUUUAUAACCGUCGAAUUUUUUUGUCCUGUUACUUGAUCUCUGCAUGUUCGUUUUUUGCCAUUUUUGGUGUUUGAGAUCUUGAAGCAUAUAAAAACAAGUUUGAUGGUUGGAUCAUUGAAAUUAAUUUCGUACAAUGCGUUUCCCAUCAAAAACGAUUCAUUUACUAACACUUAAGAGUUUAAUUAUAUUUUCAUUAAGUAUAACUUAAGCUUUUGUGGUAUCCACUUGUGUAAAUACUUUAAAUUGACGAUCGAAUUAGUUCAUUGUAUUCAUAUAAGGAUAAGGAGUGUAUCUGUAAAAAAUCAUCAAAAUCGGAGUUAAAACUACCGUUAAAUCGUGAUUUUUCAUUUAUAACCGUCGAAAUGUUUUGUCUUGUUACUUGAUCUCUGCAUGUUCGUUUUUUGCCAUUUUUGGAGUAUGAGAUCUUGAAGCAUAUAAAAACACGUUUAACGGUUGGAUCAUUGAAACUAUUUUCGUACAAUGCGUGUCCUAUCAAAACGAUGGAUUUACUAACACUUGGAGUUUAAUUAUAUUUUCAUUAAGUAAAACUUAAGAUUUUGUGGUAUCCACUUGUGUAAAUACUUUAAAUUGACGAUCGAGUUAGUUCAUUGUAUUCAUAUAGGGUCAUGGAGUGUAUCUAUAAAAAAUCAUCAAAAUCGGAGUUAAAACUACCGUUAAAUAGUGAUUUUUCAUUUAUAACCGUCGAAAUGUUUUGUCUUGUUACUUAAUCUCUGCAUGUUCGUUUUUUGCCAUUUUUGGCGUAUGAGAUCUUGAAGCAUAUAAAAACAAGUUUGAUGGUUGGUUCGUUGAAAUUAAUUUCGUACAAUGCAUUUCCCAUCAAAACGAUUGAUUUACUAACACUUAGAGUUUAAUUAUAUUUUCAUUAAGUAUAACUUAAGCUUUUGUGUUAUGCACUUGUGUAAAUACUUUAAAUUGAUGAUCGAAUUAGUUCAUUGUAUUCAUAUAAGGAUAAGGAGUGUAUCUGUAAAAAAUCAUCAAAAUCGGAGUUAAAACUACCGUUAAAUCGUGAUUUUUAGUUAUAACCGUCGAAAUUUUUUGUGUUGUUACUUGAUCUCUGCAUGUUCGUUUUUUUCCAUUUUUGGCGUAUGUGAUCUCGAAUCAUAUAAAAAUAAGUUUGACGGUUGGAUCGUUGAAACUAUUUUCGUACAAUGUGUGUCCUAUCAAAACGAUGGAUUUACUAACACUUAGAGUUUAAUUAUAUUUUCAUUAAGUAAAACUUAAGAUUUUGUGGUAUCCACUUGUGUAAAUACUUUAAAUUGACGAUCGAGUUAGUUGAUUGUAUUCAUAUAGGGUCAAGGAGUGUAUCUGUAAAAAAUCAUCAAAAUCGGAGUUAAAACUACCGUUAAAUUGUGAUUUUUCGUUUAUAACCGUCGAAAUUUUUCGAACUGUUUCUUGAUCUCUGCAUGUUCGUUUUUUACCAUUUUUGGCGUAUGCAAUCUCAAAUCACAUAUGACACACCCCGUCCCGAAGGAGGGCAUGCUGGCCGUCACGUGAGAGUGACGUAACCAUUUGCACAGUACGGAAGCUUUAAGAUACAAUUUAUAAGUUGAUACACCCGAAGGGAGUCCUAAUUUUGUCCAAUCUGUCAGAACACCGUCGAAUUCCUCGUAGUCACCACACCUUUGUGAUUCCUGAACCUGGAGGGGCGCAAAACCAAAAUUGAGUGGGUCAGUAAAACAAUUCUUUUCCAAAUCCAAACAUUUCUUAAAACGUUGUAACCCCUCUCCGUAAAACCUGUAUACUUUCCCAGAAAUGUAAAAUAUAAAUAUACAUAUAUAUUCUCAAAACUUCAUUUUUACUAUCUCAACAUUAUCUCCUUAUCAAUCAUGCCAUGCCAUGUCAUCUCAACAUUUCUCAUAUUAAUUAUGCCAUGCCACAUCAUCUCAACAGUAAUAAGGUAUGAAUGCAUCAACAUAAUCAUAUCAGGUGCAAGAAAGUAAUCAACCGUAGGCCCUCUAAUAGCCCUAUACGGUUGAACCUAGAGCUCAAAAUCUAUCAUUAUCACUCUACCGGAGUCACCUCUGUGACCCGUCCGGCCUUCUGCACACAAGUUACGCUCUAGUGCUUCUCAUAAAUCAUCUGUGCACAUAAUCUAAGGUCACCCACCAGUCGGAAUCUCACUAACACUCUCGCGACUGGUCUGUCGUACCCACUCCGCGUGGACUGUACGACUAGCAUCUACUUGGAUCCAAGGCGAGCGUGCGAUGCGGUGAAUACUAUAAGCACUAAACCAUGGUGCAGGAUUUGAGCUCAAUAUAUAUCAUCAUCAUCAUAACAGUAAUUAAAUACUCACCUGUGCGUCCACCGCACCAUUUCAUACAUAUGCAUCAUAAAUCAAUUCUUACCUGUGCGUCCACCGCACCAAUUCAUACAUAUGCAUCAUAUAUUAAUUCAUGCAUGGCAUUUCAACUCACAUUUCUAUAUACUUUUCAUAUCAAUUCUAUGCAUGGUAUUUCACUUCCCGUUUUUCCACAUAACUCAUAUGCAUUUCAUUUUAAACAUAUUUUCAUUUCAAUUCAAUUUCUGGGAAACGUCAAGUAUAUAUAUAUAUAUACGGAAAACAAAACUGCCCACUCACCUGGAGUUCAUCCAACAACUCCCUAGCACCACACAUCAAGGCGUCAUGACGAUCGCCGCCUAGAAUAGUAAUCAAAUCCAGGCUCAGAAUUCAUAUCGAUAAAAUAUAUAACUUAUAUAAAAUACGUCACUACGUUGAUCGAUCCGGAAGAUCUGCCACUCAGAUUUUAAAUCCAUAACUUCCAGAGGUCCACAUAUACCUCUAGGACAACAUCCUAAAAUUUCAUUACCAUCCAACGGUCGGAUCUCCGUCAAUUUCCAAAACUAAGUGACGGUUAACAUUUUAUAUUAUGGACUUACAAUUCCAAUUCCGGAAGAUCCGUAACUCGGAUUCCCAAUCCGUAAGUUCCAAUAAUCCUCAAAUAUUACGUAUUACAACGUAUCAAAGUUUGGUGACGAUCCAACGGUCGGAUCAUCAAUUCACAUUUUCACCAAAACUAUAAAACGUUAUUCGAACACCUAACCAACAAUCCUUAAUAACUUUCUCAUACGGUGCUCAAAUUGGGUAUAUGAAUAUACCACGGUGAUCUACUCGACGUCACGGACGUCGACAUAUUUUUAAAAUAAUUUUAUUUUUAUUUUUUAUUUUUUACUGUAGCACCUUCUUCUUCCUUGGGUCGCCGGACUGGUUUUUCCGGCGGCCGUUUUCUGAACAGUUUUUCAAAUUGCCAUAACUUUGUCAUUUCUCAACGAAAUCAAGUGCUUCAAAAACGAAAGUUGUAGCCCUUGAAGAGACAAAGAGAAUGGUACCUUGCAAAAACACCUAGUUCGCCGUGGUUUGGCCGGAAACUGCCUCGAAAGCCUCGGAGGUCGCCGGAAACUGGGUAUUUUUUCAAAUGAGUAUAACUUCUUCAAUACUCAACGAAAUUGAGUGAAACAAAAAGGAAAGUUGUAGUACUUGACGAGACGAAGAGAUUGAUACCUACCUUGACGCCUAACUCGCCGGGGAUUCGCCGGAAAACGCCUCGAAAGCUCCGGCCAAACUUUGAACUUGUCGAUCUCCGUGUUCUUACGUCCAAAAACUUCCAACGAAGCACUCCGAGCUUCGUGGGAACCUCCUAGAGCUCCCUAUGAUCUUAGUUUGGCCUAAAAAUCAACAAAUACAAAGUUCAUGAAUAGUGUCAUUUCACGGGCUUGAGUUUUCUACGUGAAAUCGUGGGAAACCUUACCUGAAAAACAAUACCAAUGUGUUCGUAUGGUCCUCACGAACAUGAUGGUACCUUCCUCAUCCUGAAACUGUGAAGUUUUCGAGAGCCUUGGUGUUUGUCCGAGAGUUUGAGAGAGAAUGAGGGAGUGUGAGAGUGACUGAGGGAGAGAUGAGGAAGAGAGAGAGAAGGAGACAACAAAACGGGAAAUGGGGAAGGAUUUCAGGAGGUAGGACCCUACAUAAAGUCCAAAUACAAAAUAUUAACACAUACAAUAAUAAAUCUAACCCUAGUUUAGGAUGUUUUUAGGUAAAACAAAUACCAAAUUUACGCACCUUAAUCUCGUUUAAGGGCGUUUCUGUAAUUUCACGUCCUCGGAGUUUAUAAUUCCGGGACGGGCUGUGACAAUCUCCCCUCCUUAUAGAAUUUCGUCCCCGAAAUUCUAGCCACCAACCAACCCAUCAAAACUCAUAAAACAGCCUCGGAUACAUACCUCUCAUCCGUUCUUCCGUCUCCCAAGUAGUUUCUUCCGCUGAAUGGUUCAUCCACAAUACUUUUACCACUUACUCUGUCUUAAUUCUCAGGACCUUCUUUUUCCAAUCCAAAGUCAUCCUUGGUUCCUUAUCAAGUCGAAUCCAAUUUAAUUCUCAAUAGUUGCACCAGAAUUCCAUGAGACGACUCUGCCACCUAGUGACAACGCAUCGAACACAAAAUACAUUAUGUGCCUUAGCCAAUUCUGAAGGCAUCACAAACUUGUAUGCAACUUCAUCGAUUCUUUUAAUGAUCAAAACGGUCUGAUGUGUUUAAAUCUUAUCUUGUCUACUUUCCAAAUCUUACUAUUUCUUUUCAUGAAGAAAUUUCCAAAAAUAUAAAAAUCAUCUACGUUAUACACUCGAUUAGUGGCAUACCCAUCUGUUAAUCUCUUUUGUCAUUCCUGGCUACUUUCAGGUUAACUUACUCACCUGAAUAUUUUGAGGAGACUCAUCCAUAGUCUCAGGGCCCGCAAGAACUCUUUUGUCAACUUCUGUCCAACACAAAGGUGUACUAUAAGGUAAUUCGGUAACCAAGCUUCUUGUACGCUAUCCAAAACUUAGAAGUAACCAACAUACCCAAAAACUUAACAUUGUAUAUCGUCAAAAUUGCUUUCUUUAAUUCCACAUAAUUUGGCACAUACGUCCCAUUCUCUUGCAUAAACAUACCAUCCAAUUCUGCCUCGGUUAAUUCUUGAAUUCCUUCGUCAAGCAUUUGAGUCUCGAGUACGACCUUACCAAAUAGGCCUAACUUGAAAUUUAACAAGUAUAACUUCUUCUCGAUCUUCCAUUCUUAAUUUUUCUUCCGUUGGUUUCAAUCCAUAAGAUGAUACUCUUGGCAAAUGUGCCAGACAUUAAUCUUACUGUAGUCUUCUCACCAAAUGCUUCAGCUAGAACAAACUUUACGAUCACCCUGAUCGUACAAUCAUGUUCAUUAAGCAAUUCAAUCCACCUUUGUUGCCUCAUAUCAAAAUCCUUCCAAGUAAUGGAUAUUGAAGACUUUUUGGAUUAAAAAAAAAUCUUGCAUUCCCACUAAAAUAUAAUGUCUCCAUAACUUCACAGCAAGAAUGGUAAUCGUGACUUCCAAAUCACCAGUAGGGUAAUUCAUCUUAUGAGAUUCCAUUUAUCGUGAAACGUAUGCAAUCACCCUAACAUUUGCAUCAACAUGCCUCCAAUACCAUUCAAGAAACAUCACUAAAAAUUUAUGAUUACCACUAUUCUCUGGGAAUACCAAAAUACGUGCAUGAGUGAGGAAAUACUUCAGUUGUUGAAUCAUUUGCUCACAAUUUCCUUCCCACUCAUACAUAACCUCUUUUCUCAACCGUCUCGUCAAUGACAAAGCAAUGACUGAAAAAUCUUUCACAACCAUCCAAGAUAGCCUGGUAAGCUAAGAAAUUCUGAAUCUCAAUUACAGCUCGUGGUUGUUCCAAUUUCUCAAUUUCUGCUAUCUUUUAAGGAUUCACUUGAAUACCUUAAGAAUAUAUAACAAAUCUCAGAAUGCCACCUGAUUCGUCUAACUUUAGCAUUUGCUACUUAGCAUACAACCAACGUUCUCUCAAUUUUUGGUUCACCGACUUAAUACGUUUACAUGCUCUGCUCUGGCUCAGAAUAUGCCAGAAUAUCUUCAAUAAAAAUGAUAUCAAUCUAUCAAGGCAUUAUUGGAAUACUUCAUCCAUCAACUCAUAAAACAGCAUGAGUAUCCACAUAGCAUCACCAAACUUCAUAAGGACCAUAACAAGUCCAGAAAACCAUCUUAUGAUCAACGUCACUUAUAAUAUUCAAUUGGUAGUAACCAGAUCUCAAUUCAAUCUUUGAAUCUUCGCAAUUACUUCUGAGCUGGUUAAAUAAACAUCAGUACAUUACCAUGGAUAACGGUUCUUAAUCGUUACCCGACUCCAUUGUCUAUAAUCAAUGAACAAUCUCUAAGUCCAUUUUCUUCCUCACCAACAAACUGGGGCUCCUCAAAAAUGUUGUACUAGGUUGAAUGAAACUUUUAUCAACCAAUUCUUUCAACUGAAUUUCCAAUUCCCUUAACUCAUCCUGAACCAAUCUUUAACAUAGAUUUAUACCUGGCAACAAAUCAAUAGUGAACCUCAUAUCUCUGCCUGAAGGCAAUCCAGGUAUACUUUCAGGGAAGACAUCAAGAAAAGUCUAACCCUUUUGACAUUAUUCACACUACUCCAAACAACAUCAUUUAGCACCACAUGAGCUAAUUAUUUUUGACAGCCUUUCGAAAACAAUCUCUUUGCUCUCACAGCGUAAAUAACGGCCUGACUCAAUCCACUUUGCAUACUUACAAAAGUAAUCUCUGGUCAUCCAGAUCGAUGGAAAGUAACUGGUUUCCCGUAACAUUCCAUCUAGUCACAACUAUAACAAUCACUCUAAUGGAAUAAAAUUAAUUGACCCAAUACAUACUUUAUUAUUACUGAACAUUCUAAGUAAGUACAACACUAACAUAAAAUAACCUACCGGUUUGCUUGCUUAACGAAUCCACGAAUGAGUUAUUAAUAUUACGGUCUGCAGCCCGCAAUACUGAUAAAUCAUCGUUGUCUCGAUAAUAGGCAACCACUCUCAAAGAUAUAACAAUACUAUUUUGUCACUCAAUGCAAAAUACAUACACUCGUCUCAACUACAUUUAUUUACCACUCUCUAGGUAAUAUCAUACAUAAUAAGAAAUAUAUCAGCCGAAGUCAACUAGAAUGACCAAUACGGUUGAUUCAACUCUUAUCUCAAUAAUACGUCGGCCGGAUCCACUCCGCGUGGUCGGUACGGCCGAGUCUAUAACUCACCAAUUUCUCAUGUGUCAAUGAAUCCACUUCUCAUGGUCUGUACGACUGAACAUAUAACUCAUCAAAUCUCUCUGUACUCACGGUCAAUCCGACCAAACUACUAAAUUCAUAAACUUGUUGAAUCAACACUAUGAUGUCAUAGAAAAUUGUUGAGUACAACUGAUUAUAGGGACGAUUCACAAUUCUGGGUCCCCUCUGUUUACAUAAACACAUUCAUUAAUUUCACAUUUCCCAAAGUGUUAAUUUUUGUACCUGCUGCACAAGGUACAUUUCCUUUACUCGAAACACCUUGUCUCAAAUAUCUGGGAUUACCAGUAUAUCCAUCACUUUUACUCUGACCAGUGACAUUAAAACCUCAGCUGGAAGAAUUAAUUCUAGCUUCACUUCUUUCGAAGCUCUGAAUCUUUCUAUAUCUUUGAUAUGACGAAUCAUUAACUUUAUCGUCUUCUUUUGAUUCCCAUUCAUUUCUUAUUCUUCUUUAUUCUCGUUGCUCAUGUUCUUAGAGUCCUCAAGACUCAACAGCAUCUCGUAUAUUCCUGGUAAGAAGUAUAAUGGAUAGUGGUCACCCAAAAUACCACUUCCCUUUUUGCCACCCAGCUUAACAACAUAACACCUCCACCAAUAACAACAAUAUCUGGAUGGAACAAGGCAAGUCUGAAAACUUUCUAUAAUAUCCCUCGAUCAUCACCUUCCUUGUCUCAUAUUUGUAAACUCUUGUUUACUACCAUCGAUAAAUGCCGGAGGGAUAAACUUUUCCUUAAACAAGUCCUUAAAUAAUUCUCAAUCAGCUGUUUUCUCCGGUGACAACAAUUAACAUUCAUGUUUCCACCAGGAUGCAAAUUCAUACCCAAAACCAGGUAGUCGUCUCGACCCCCUGUCAGAAGGAAGAUUCCUUUGACUUGCAUAAUCUGAAACAUCUUUUCCAAAUGGUUAAACCGUUACUUCGCUCCCUCAGGUUCAUCAUUUCUCUUAAGUGAUUCAAAUUCAACUCAUAACCCAUCUUAAAAUGUCCCUUUUUAUAAUAGACUGAAUCACCAUAAUAAUAGUUUCCCCUAAACCGUUAUAUUAGGGAGACUAAAUUCCUCUAACUAAGUGGCUUGCUACGAGGCGGUGUAGUUCUGACAGAAUUCACUAGAACUUCUCAAAAUGUCCAAGAUUGCAACCAUGCUCUGAUACCAACUGACACACCCCGUCCCGAAGGAGGGCAUGCUGGCCGUCACGUGAGAGUGACGUAACCAUUUGCACAGUACGGAAGCUUUAAGAUACAAUUUAUAAGUUGAUACACCCGAAGGGAGUCCUAAUUUUGUCCAAUCUGUCAGACACCGUCGAAUUCCUCGUAGUCACCACACCUUUGUGAUUCCUGAACCUGGAGGGGCGCAAAACCAAAAUUGAGUGGGUCAGUAAAACAAUUCUUUUCCAAAUCCAAACAUUUCUUAAAACGUUGUAACCCCUCUCCGUAAAACCUGUAUACUUUCCCAGAAAUGUAAAAUAUAAAUAUACAUAUAUAUUCUCAAAACUUCAUUUUUACUAUCUCAACAUUAUCUCCUUAUCAAUCAUGCCAUGCCAUGUCAUCUCAACAUUUCUCAUAUUAAUUAUGCCAUGCCACAUCAUCUCAACAGUAAUAAGGUAUGAAUGCAUCAACAUAAUCAUAUCAGGUGCAAGAAAGUAAUCAACCGUAGGCCCUCUAAUAGCCCUAUACGGUUGAACCUAGAGCUCAAAAUCUAUCAUUAUCACUCUACCGGAGUCACCUCUGUGACCCGUCCGGCCUUCUGCACACAAGUUACGCUCUAGUGCUUCUCAUAAAUCAUCUGUGCACAUAAUCUAAGGUCACCCACCAGUCGGAAUCUCACUAACACUCUCGCGACUGGUCUGUCGUACCCACUCCGCGUGGACUGUACGACUAGCAUCUACUUGGAUCCAAGGCGAGCGUGCGAUGCGGUGAAUACUAUAAGCACUAAACCAUGGUGCAGGAUUUGAGCUCAAUAUAUAUCAUCAUCAUCAUAACAGUAAUUAAAUACUCACCUGUGCGUCCACCGCACCAUUUCAUACAUAUGCAUCAUAAAUCAAUUCUUACCUGUGCGUCCACCGCACCAAUUCAUACAUAUGCAUCAUAUAUUAAUUCAUGCAUGGCAUUUCAACUCACAUUUCUAUAUACUUUUCAUAUCAAUUCUAUGCAUGGUAUUUCACUUCCCGUUUUUCCACAUAACUCAUAUGCAUUUCAUUUUAAACAUAUUUUCAUUUCAAUUCAAUUUCUGGGAAACGUCAAGUAUAUAUAUAUAUAUACGGAAAACAAAACUGCCCACUCACCUGGAGUUCAUCCAACAACUCCCUAGCACCACACAUCAAGGCGUCAUGACGAUCGCCGCCUAGAAUAGUAAUCAAAUCCAGGCUCAGAAUUCAUAUCGAUAAAAUAUAUAACUUAUAUAAAAUACGUCACUACGUUGAUCGAUCCGGAAGAUCUGCCACUCAGAUUUUAAAUCCAUAACUUCCAGAGGUCCACAUAUACCUCUAGGACAACAUCCUAAAAUUUCAUUACCAUCCAACGGUCGGAUCUCCGUCAAUUUCCAAAACUAAGUGACGGUUAACAUUUUAUAUUAUGGACUUACAAUUCCAAUUCCGGAAGAUCCGUAACUCGGAUUCCCAAUCCGUAAGUUCCAAUAAUCCUCAAAUAUUACGUAUUACAACGUAUCAAAGUUUGGUGACGAUCCAACGGUCGGAUCAUCAAUUCACAUUUUCACCAAAACUAUAAAACGUUAUUCGAACACCUAACCAACAAUCCUUAAUAACUUUCUCAUACGGUGCUCAAAUUGGGUAUAUGAAUAUACCACGGUGAUCUACUCGACGUCACGGACGUCGACAUAUUUUUAAAAAAUAAUUUUAUUUUUUUUUUAUUUUUUACUGUAGCACCUUCUUCUUCCUUGGGUCGCCGGACUGGUUUUUCCGGCGGCCGUUUUCUGAACAGUUUUUUUUCAAAUUGCCAUAACUUUGUCAUUUCUCAACGAAAUCAAGUGCUUCAAAAACGAAAGUUGUAGCCCUUGAAGAGACAAAGAGAAUGGUACCUUGCAAAACACCUAGUUCGCCGUGGUUUGGCCGGAAACUGCCUCGAAAGCCUCGGAGGUCGCCGGAAACUGGGUAUUUUUCAAAUGAGUAUAACUUCUUCAAUACUCAACGAAAUUGAGUGAAACAAAAAGGAAAGUUGUAGUACUUGACGAGACGAAGAGAUUGAUACCUACCUUGACGCCUAACUCGCCGGGGAUUCGCCGGAAAACGCCUCGAAAGCUCCGGCCAAACUUUGAACUUGUCGAUCUCCGUGUUCUUACGUCCAAAAACUUCCAACGAAGCACUCCGAGCUUCGUGGGAACCUCCUAGAGCUCCCUAUGAUCUUAGUUUGGCCUAAAAAUCAACAAAUACAAAGUUCAUGAAUAGUGUCAUUUCACGGGCUUGAGUUUUCUACGUGAAAUCGUGGGAAACCUUACCUGAAAACAAUACCAAUGUGUUCGUAUGGUCCUCACGAACAUGAUGGUACCUUCCUCAUCCUGAAACUGUGAAGUUUUCGAGAGCCUUGGUGUUUGUCCGAGAGUUUGAGAGAGAAUGAGGGAGUGUGAGAGUGACUGAGGGAGAGAUGAGGAAGAGAGAGAGAAGGAGACAACAAAACGGGAAAUGGGGAAGGAUUUCAGGAGGUAGGACCCUACAUAAAGUCCAAAUACAAAAUAUUAACACAUACAAUAAUAAAUCUAACCCUAGUUUAGGAUGUUUUUAGGUAAAACAAAUACCAAAUUUACGCACCUUAAUCUCGUUUAAGGGCGUUUCUGUAAUUUCACGUCCUCGGAGUUUAUAAUUCCGGGACGGGCUGUGACAACAUACAAACAAGUUUGACGGUUGGAUCGUUGAAACUAUUUUCGUACAAUGCGUGUCCUAUCAAGUUCAAUGGUAUAUAUAUUUAUUAAGUAGAUUUUAAUUUAUUUAUUUUGUAGUUAUAACAGUUAAGAGAUUGAAUGAUAUAUAUGUUAAAAUAAUUAUUAUGGGUUUUUGUUAGAAAAAUAUAUUAUUGUGGGGUUUAAGUAAAAAAAAAAAAAAUUGAACUUGAAAGGAGAGUAGUCACAUUUUCAGUAAAUUUUUUAAUAAUUUUCUAAAAAUAAAAAUAACUUGUGCAACGCUUGAAUGUAAUCAUCCCGCAAAACCACUUUGCGCGACGUCAAAUUGUAUACCUGCGUCACGCCAGUUGAUAUUUUUGGCGGUGAAUAUUGAAAAAUAGGUGAAUAAUGAAAAAUAGGUGAAUAAUGAAAAUUUUUGGCGCUGAAGCCGUUGACCUAUUUCUUCCCUUUCGCUCUUUCUUUCCCGUAUCUCCCCAUCCUUUCGCAUAAUCCUUCAUCUUUCCCUUUCACAUAAUCCUCAUAUCUCCCUUUCGCCCUCUCGCUCUAUCUUCCCCGUCGCUCUAUCUCCCCUUUCCAUAAUCCUCAUCUACUCUUCCCGUAGUCCUCAUCUCCUCUAUCUCUCCUCAUCGCCUUGAUCCCCAAUUCUUGAACCCAGACCUGUCUUCCCUCUCUCUUUCCUAUAUACCUCUCUCUUGCCUCUCUUUCUAAACGAUGGGCAGCCACACGAAUCUCGAAGCCGACGCGAAUCAAGUCUCAAAAUCAAGGUAAGGGUUUCUGAUGCAAAUGUUGGUCUGGUUACUGAAUUUAGCUGAUGCAAAUGUUGGCUUGGUUACUGAAUUUAGUUGGUCUGAUGCAAAAUUAAGGUUGAAUUGAUUUAGUUAAUUUAUUGAAUUUAGCUCACUUGAUGCAAAUGUUGGUCUCUGGUUACUGAUUAAUUUAUGAAUAUCUCUGAUUUUAUGAGAUGGGUUUUGUUUAGUCUCCAACAUUCGAAGGCUUGACUGAUUAAUUUAUGAUUAUGAGAUGGGUUUUGUUUAGUCUCCAAUAUCUCUCAAUAUCUCUGAUUUUAUGAGAUGGGUUUUACUGAUUAAUUUAUGCAAAUGUUGGUUUGGUUGAAAUAGUAAUUGAGUCUCCAACAUUCGAAGGCACUGUAAGAGGAAGCAUUGGCUUGGAUUUUGAAUACUAUUGUCGGCGCUAUGAUGAAAAACAGAUUUGGUUUCAUAUGUCACAAUGCUUUUACUUGCUUGCGAAUCUCUUUAUUCUUGGGAUGAUGUUGAGAAGAUUUUAAAUUUUGGUAUCUGCAUUUUACGUGGUUCACAGAAAACCAGUGCAAGGGACUUGCUGAAACGUAUUGAAGUGGCCAUUGAAAAGGUAAAUAUAAUAGCUUCACAGUAUUUGGAUUCCCACACUUACACUUCCUAAAAUUCCGGCAAUAUAACAUUUCUAUUUUAAGCAGCUCAAAUGUGGGACUAAUCUUGAAGAUAUUGGCUUGUGGUCGAUUAUGAAGGAUAAUAUUGGCUCCUUUUCACAUAUAACAUUUAUGUUUCUCCAUUGACGCUCUGCUUCCAAAGCUCACAGAGAAAAGAAAACCCACUAAGACCCACCUCUCACAUCUUGCUGGUAUGCACUCAACUUCCCUCUAUCUGUUCCUUGUUUUGUUUGUGGGGUUUCCUUCUUUGAAUGGUUUUUCCUCUUGGGUUGUGUUUUUGGAUUGUCAAGCUGAUUAAUCGUCCAGUGAUUUCAGCUCAAGGAUCAAAAGGGAUUCUGGCCUCUUCUUUUUUGCUUUGGGUUUUAGUUGAUUAUAUGUAAAGCUAGAUUCUAGAACUCAACUACAUGUACAAGAACAGCAAAAAAGUGACAACUUGCAUAAAACCUUUGUUACUUUGAUCUGUCGUGUUUUAGGCUACCUAGUUCACCUGUUUUCUCAAACAAGAUUGUCUCUACUAGUCAACCUUAAGCAUUGAAUACGUAGCUAUUGCUGGCCUUUCUGUUCGUCUUCGAUUACGAUCUGUUUGGUUUAACUUUUCUGCACGAAUUUGAUUAUUUAUAUAUUGGUGGUGUUACUUAUGUUUCAACUUUUCCCAUUUUUUUUUUUUAAACUUUUGGUCUAAUGGUUUUUAAUCGCUUAAAUUUUGAUGCUUUCUUGUUGUCGUCUCGUUGCCAUGAUUGAUCCCUUGAAGUCUUGUUGAUUACAUUUCUCUAAGAAGCAUCUCGUCCUCUGUGAAAGUCAAUUUUCACACAUGGUUUAUUUGUUUAUUUUUCUUUGCUUUUUCACACAUGGUUUAUUUGUUCAGUUUUCUUGCCUUUUUCUUCUAGUUUCAAAUGCAAGAAAGGAUUAGUUUCUAAUGUUAUAUUUUUAUGGUUCAAAAAGUGUAGAUGUUGCGGUUGAUCACUCGUCGUAGGAGUGUGACCAAUGCGCCUCCCGCAUUAUCACCAUGUACUGCUCCGGCCGUGAGUGCUCCAUUGAUUGGGGAGCCUACACCCUUCACUGAGGCUACUGCUACGACGUCCCAGGUGCCAUUAUCAUCUACGUCAUCAGUGUCGGUUCAUAUUACUUUUGAAAUUUUAUACAAUUUAUUUUUUAUUAUUGAUUAAUAAAAUUUUCUUAAUGUUUUUUUUUUCUUUAGGAGGGUUCUAAGUUCCCAGAGAUCGACUUGUUCAAGGACGUUUACGUUCAACUUGGAGAUGAGACCAGUGAGCAGCUUUAUGUAAGUAUAUGUAAUUGUUAUUAUUCUUAUAUUUAUGAAUCGUUCAAAUAGUAUUUAUAUUUGUUAUUAAACAUUAUAUGUUUUUUUCUUUAUUAUUACAGGCUUCUAUGGUGAAUACAAGCUGGAUGGAUGAAGUGGAAGAGUGUAUCCGGCGUGUUGUGUGACUGCUGUAUGCCACUGAAGCUCAAGGAAAAAUUUUAUAGGACGACAAUAAGGCUGGCGAUGCUGUAUGGCACAGAAUGUUGGGCGGUGAAGCAUCAACACGUACAAAAAAUGGGUGUAGCGGAGAUGAGGAUGCUUCGUUGGAUGUGUGGGCACACGAGAAAUGAUAAGAUUAGGAAUGAGGAUAUCCGAGGUAAAGUAGGAGUAGCCGAAAUUGUAGGAAAGUUGAGAGAAAACCGGUUACGGUGGUUUGGACAUGUGCAAAGAAGGCCUACUGACACUCCGGUUAGAAGAUGCGACUACGGGACAGAGGUUCAGGGCCGAAGGGGUAGAGGAAGACCUAGGAAUACUUUGGAAGAGACUCUAAGAAAAGACUUAGAGUAUUUGGAUCUAACGAAGAACAUGACACAGGACCGAGCACAAUGGCGUUCUAAGAUUUAUAUAGCCGACCCCACUCAGUGAAGAAAGCUUUGGUGUAUUUAACACAAUACGUUGGAAAUGAAGCAAAACUUAUUUAUUGAUAUCGCCGAUAAGUUACAAAUAUGUACAUAUACAUGAGUCAAAAUAAACAAACAAGAGGGAGCCUUCACAAAGGUUGCUUAGGAGAAGUCUCAGCAGUCGGUAGAGCCCCAGAAAGAGAAGGCAUCGGAGGGGGAUCAUUCGGAGUCUCAGUACUGGACAGAACCCUAGAAGGAAGAGGCAUCGGAGGUUGAUCAUUUGGAGCUUCAUUAUGCGGUACAGCCCUAGAAGACGAAGGUAAUAAAUGCCUUUGGAACAAACCCACAAACCGCUGAUGAUCAAGUAAAACCUGACCAUCAAAUUCCUUCAUCUGGUCAAGCUUCCUCUUCAUGUUUGUAGCAUAGUUAUGUGCGAGCCGGUGCAACUGUUUAUUCUUAUGCUUGAGCCCUCUAAUCUCCUGUUUGAGACUCAUCACUUCAGCCGCCAAUGAUUCAACUUGGCGGGUUCGAGCAAAUAGGCGUUGGGCCAUAUUAGACACAGAACCUGCACACUGAAUACUCAGAGCUAGAGAAUCCUUAACAGCCAAUUCAUCAGACCGUUUGGAAAGUAGUCUGUUAUCUUUGGGAGUGAGAAGGUUCCUGGCCACCAUCGCAGCGGUCAUAUCAUUCUUCAUCACGGAAUCCCCAACGGUAAGAGGACCAGUAGGGGAUAAGAAGGAUGGGCGCUAUAUGUUGUCUGGAGAAGGCGUGGCUGCCUCUUUAACAAGGUUCAAGUCAAAACGACGGUCGGAGGGGCCAGACAUUUUCAAAGGUGUUGAAGAGAGAAGAGGUCGGACAAAUCAAGAUCCUAGAAGUGCAAGAAGGGAGCUUCUACUGGUGAAGAUUCAAGUGUGCUUUGAAACUUAAUGCCAGCCUCUAUAAAAAUCAGCACUCAACGGAGCUUCAGAAAUCGAAGAGGUGUCUGCUCAGAAAUCGAAGAGGCGUUUGCUUUCUCAAAAGCUGGGCUGCUCAGAGACCACGAGGGCCGAUCUCAGAAAUCGAAGAGGCGUUUGCUUUCUCAAAAGCUGAGCUGCUCAAAGACCACGAAGAUCGAUCUCAGAAAUCGAAGAGGCUUGCUUUCUCAAAAGCUGGGCUGCUCAGAGACCACGAUGGCCGAUCUCAGAAAUCGAAGAGGCACUUUUCAGCCUUGUCAGCACCUGUCACAUGCACACUCAGCUUUGCUGAAAUUACGGGCAGUCUGUUGAAGAUUUCUGGUGAAGUAAAAAGCACGUGAAUCUUACUGUUCAAUCAUCCACUUUUCACACGCACCAUCAGCUCAGGGGUACCACAGAUAACUUUGCCAAAGAUCCCUGACAAAGUUUAGACACGUGAAGCUUGUAGCUCCCACUACAUCGCUAUGACCAAGAAGGGUAAAAAACUAGCAAAGAAACAGCACUAACAAAGUUUAGACACAUAAAUUUUGAAGGUCUAGCUAUCAUAUUAUUACCCACAAGGGUAAAGGAACAGCACCACUGCUGGAUAAUUGAAAAGUCCCUGUGUGUUAACCUCUGUGCUCCGUGGCAAGGUAUACUAGCAAACAUGCCCUAACUUUACUCACUUUCGAGAAAACACUCCCAACAAGAUUGCUUGCUCCAAAAUCGAAGAGGCACCGUUCUCCGAAUCUCGAGAGCCAGACUCCCAACAUGAUUAAUUUCUCAAAUAUCGAAGAGACACCGCUCUCCGAAUCUCGAGAGCCAGACUCCCAGCAGGAUUGCUCUCUUAAAAAUCGAAGAGGCACCGUUCUCCGAAUCUCGAGAGCCAGAUCCCCGACAGGAUUGCUUGUUCGAAAACUGAAGAGGCACCGCUUUCUCAACUUCGAGAGCCAGAUCUUCUUGGAUAAAGCUUGUCUGUAAUCUUCACACGCAACAUCAGCUUUCCAGAUACCACAGACCACUUUUUUCACAGUGCUCUGACACACGUGAAGCUGGCAGCUCCCACUAUCGUGCUAUGACCAAGCAGGGUAAAGGAAUAACAUUACUACUUGUUAGGGAGACUCCUAUAUAUGUCGACCUCCAUCCUCAAUGGACAGGCAGACCUGCAAAAAUGCUCAACCCUUCCUCAUAUCUGAGAGGGCACUCCCAACGACGCCUCUCGAAAUACUCAGCUUUCUUUCCCCCCGAUAAUACCUCUGCAAACAAGCUACACCAGAGCAAGAAUAUCUCAUAUCAUCAGGGUUAAAAGCAAGAGUAUCCCAUAUCAUGCUUUUUCUCUGUCUUUUCCUUUGGCCUUGUUCUUACCUGCAAGACAAUGAGAAAGAGAGCAAUCAGUCAGCACUUGGAAUCAAGCUUCUAGUCAGGAACUGACUGCCUGGAACCCCUUACCUGAUUACUUACCUGGCAUUGCUCUCGAGUACUCAUCUUUAACAUCUUAUGCUUCCAGAGAAGAUACCACAUCUGCCUGAGGAACCGAUAGGGAAAGUGAGAAGGAUACAAGGAAGCAUGUGGAGACAAGCGUAACAGAACGCGUGCCGAUACAUCCACUACUUUGUCAACAGCAAAAGUAUCCCAUAUCAGCAGGGUCGAACGUACUCUAGAUUUGAUGGACUUGUUUUGACCCUUAAAUUCUUCAGUCGGCCUUAUACUCUGGAGGAAACCAGAAAACCCUCCCGCCCAGUUCAAGAAUAAGCAUGUGGAAAGUUACUUCUUCAAAAGCAAAAGUAUCUCAUAUCAUCUAUUCUCCUUUUCUUCUCUUUAUCCUUCAUGCUGCCUGCAAGAUAGGAAGAAUGAGAACAAUCAGCCGGAACUCGAAAUCAAACUUCUGAUCUGGGACUGAUUGCUUGGAGCUCUGAUUGCUUACCUUGUUUGUCACCUCUUUCAGCAGAUCCCCUAGCUCGGCGACUUGGGGGACUCCUACUACAUGGUUUGUAUCGCGCUUGACCAAGCCUGAAACUACAAGUAAGCUUCAAGUGAAAUUGAUACAUUACCUUGUGCAUCUCCACUAGUUAAAGAUACCACCCCUGGAUGGAGGAAGAGUACUUUCAGAGAAGAUGCCACAUCUACCUAUGAGACAGAUAAGGCAAGUGAAGACGAUACCACACUUCGGUACUUAGAAGUUUCGUGAUUACGAGAUCAUUCUCCCACAAUAUUUCCUAAUGUCAUUUGUACUAAAUCAUUCAUUUGUACUCACUAAAGGAGAGCUUGAAUCUAUGUACUUGUGUAAACCCUUCACAAUUAAUGAGAACUCAUCUACUCCGUGGACGUAGCCAAUCUGGGUGAACCACGUACAUCUUAUGUUUGCUUUCCUGUCUCUAUCCUUUUACAUACUUAUCCACACUAAUGACCAGAGCAAUAACUUAAUACUUUCUGUUGUACCAAAGUCCUCACUGAUUUUGUGCAUCAACAAUCCUUAAGUCCUUACCCUUUUGCGUUGGUAAUGGAUGAGUUAACAGGACAUAUUCAAGAUGAUAUUCCUUGGUGUAUGAUUCUCGCAAAUGAUAUAGUGUUGAUAGAUGAAACUCAGGAGGGGUAAAUGCGAAGCUUAACCUUUGGAGAGAACUGUUGGAAUCUAAAGGUCUUCGCCUAAGCCGAUCAAAGACAGAAUAUAUGGAGUGCAAGCUCAGUGCAAAUGGAGGCCAAAAUGAGUUAGGGGCGAGGAUCGGAGAUCAGGUAAUCCCAAAGAGCGACCGUUUUAGCUACCUAGGAUCUAUCUUGCAAAAGAACGGAGAAAUAGAUGGAGAUCUCAACCAUAGAAUACAAGCUGGAUGGAUGAAGUGGAAGAGUGCAUCUGACGUGUUGUGUGACCGUCGUAGGCCACUGAAGCUCAAGGGAAAAUUUUAUAGGAUGACAAUAAGGCCAACGAUGAUGUAUGGCACAGAAUGUUGGGCGGUGAAGCAUUAACACGUACACAAAAUGGGUUUGGACAUGUGCAAAACCGAGCGCAAUGGCGUUCUAGGAUUCAUAUAGUUGACCCCACUUAGUGGGAAAAGGCUUGGUUGUUGUUGUUAUUGUUGUAUUACAGGCUUCUAUGGUGGAAAAGCGCACUGUUGUUCUCUAAGAAGCAACAUCGCAACUUCCCCUGGAUACCCCGAUUGAGGACGUCACUGUACCUGAGGAUGCAGGUUUUGAGAUCAUGACUGAGGUCCUCAAUCAGAAGUUCGGUCGUCGUCAUGGCAAAGUUGUUUGGGGCAUGGGGAAGGCGCGUGUUUGUGAAACGGGUGCCUCCUCUUCCAUAUCGACCACAGGAGAGGUCAAUGCUCCAAAGGAGGAAGUGACAACCCUAAAAGGUCAGCUUGUAGGAAGAGCAGAUAAAGGCCCAAAAUGAGCAGAUGAGGGUUCAGAACGCGCAGCUGAGGGUCGAGAACGAGCAGAUGAAGGCCCAAGUUAGGACCCAGGGUGACAAGAUGAAUAUGAUUCUACAGGCCUUAGCGAUAUCCGGUCUUCAAAUCCAGAUGCCAUCACCUGAUCUUGCUCCACCUUCGACCUCCCAGCCACUUCAUCCAACUGAUACCUAGUAGUUUGAUGUAUCAAACUAGAAGACUACUUAUUGUAGUUUUUUCUUUUUUUGUUCGGACAUCUUGUAUGUACAUUUUCAUAUAGUUUAUAAUUAAAUACUUUUUAUUGGUUUAUUAUUUAUUUUUUAGAAUUGAAUUACAAUAUUUAUUAAAAAUGAUAUCAAAACUUUUUUUGUCCCAAAAAAAAAAAAUAGUUUGCGUGACGAAGAAGUUGCAUAGGUCACGCAAAGUGUCUUUGCGUGACGCACAAUCCUACGUUGCGCAAUUUUUUUGUCCCAAAAAAAAAAGUUUGCGUGACGAAGAAGUUGCCUAUGUCGCGCAAAGUGUCUUUUCGUGACGAACAAUCAUACGUCGCUCAAUUUUUUUGUCUAAAAAAAUAGUUUGCGUGACGAAGAAGUUGCCUAUGUAGCGCAAAGUUUCUUUGUGUGACUCAUGUACGUCACGCAAAGACACUUUGCGCGACGUAGGAUUGUGCGUCACGCAAAGACACUUUGCGCGAUGUAGGGUUGUGCGUCACGCAAAGUGUCUUUGCGCAACGCAUGCAACUUCGUCGUCACGCAAACCCUGCUUUCACGGGCUUGGCGCGACGCUUAGCGCGUGACGAAGGUUCAUCGCGCAAGUUUUUGCGCGACGUUUUUUGACUUUGCACGACGAAGGACCUACGUCACGCAAAGUAUUUUUUGUACUAGUGUAUACUCCAAUAAACUGUGUUUUUGAGGAUUGAAAGUAUACUGCAAUAAAAUUUAUUUGAAGUAUAAGGAAAUUAAUGAAAUUGUGUUUUUGAGGAUUGGAAGUAUACUACAAAUUGAGUAGCAAAGAUGGUCACUAGUUCAUCCUCAUUCAGGCACUGGAACUUUCCAAGCUCAUGAUAUGGCCAAGAUAACUUAUGGGCAGGGCAAGAAGGUUGUCUUAAUUCACUAGCAGGACCCAUCCCAACUGCAUUAAUUUCAAUCUCACGAGAUCGCCAAUAUACUUCCAAUGCUCAAAAACACAAUUUCAUUCAUUUCAGUUUACUUUUUAUUUUACCUCAAGUCUUAGGGUUUGAUCUUAAGAUUGCGUGAUGCUAAGUUAUUGCCUUAGGUGUGGGUUUAUUAAUCAAUUUUGGUUACAUUGUUAAUUUCAUCUUGUACUCAAUGAUAAUUAUGCAAUCAAGUGAAAAAAAAAAACAAUUCAAAUUUAAAUUUUAAGUUGGGUGUAGAGAUAGAUUAUAUGGGUUCAAAUAAAAUUUCUCUUUCCAAUAUGGUAAGGGUAGAGGGCCAAGUUGGUCGCAUGACCACAAGCAUAACUUGACUUAACAGAAUAAUCCCCAUUUGAAGUUCAAAGCCAAAUAAGGCGAUUAGAAGUAGAAAGGUCGCCCAACACCAAGCAUUCGAUGGCAUCACAAUCCGCAGGGGGUCAGAGAUGGUGCACUACUGCCAAGUUCCAUGAGCCCACAGAAACAAUGUCACGUACACACAUCGGAGAAUGGCUCGGAAUUGGAAAAAUAGGGUGCACUAGUUCAUCGCCAAGUAUAGUAAGUCAUUUAUCUUGCCAAAUACUAGCCCACCCACCAUCCCCAAUUUGCCAGCGGACACCAUGAACAAUGAGAGCUUGAACCCGUAAUAGAUUGCUCCACGCCUAGGAGGCCCGGGAUCUCUUAAAGGCAUUAAUGGCAUCCUCCGAAGGGAAAUAUUGCCCACUGAGAAUGCGAGUCCAAAACGUCGUGGGUUCAGAGACAAGCAGCCAAAAUUGCAUUGCCAGGAGAGCAACAUUGAAAUCCAUUAGGCUUCUAAAACCCAAACCCCAACCAACUUAGGGGAGCUAACCGAAGCUCAGCUCCGCUAAUGAAUCUUGCAUUUGUUGUCGCACUAACCCCACCAGAAACGGGCCAUGAGGGCAUCAAUAUCUGUACAAAAAGUUGUCGGACAUAAGAAACAAUUCAUGGGGGAAUUUGGGAUAGCCAUGACCCCUGAUUUAAGCGAGAGAUAAAAUGGAGUACUUACCACUUUGUAAUUUUUGCGAGAUUUGAUCUUUCAUAAAAACAAGAGCCUCCAGUUUGGAUCACCCACAAAUAUUAUGAAGACCCAGAUAUUUACCCGGAUAAGAGGUCUAAGGCAUAUCAGAGAUACGACAUGAGUGAGCAAUAUCAUCAGGGGGAGUAUUUGCCGUGAAAAAGAUGGAGGACUUCUGUUGGUUGACGAUUUGGCCCGAUGCCAAUCAGUAAGUGUCAAGGAUCUUGAGUAGGGAAUGACAAUUAUUCGGAUCCGCCUAAUGAAGAAAAUGGAGUUGUCUACAAAUAACAGGUGGGAUAGAAUCGGGCAAGAAGGCAAAGGAGAAUCCCGGAGAGGGCACCCACCUCACAUUGGCAAUCGAUAAGAGAAGAAAGUCCCUCGGUGACAAAGAGAAAUAGAUAUGGAGAUAAAGGAUCCCCUUGCCAUAAACCCCUUUAGGGCUUAAAACAAUCACCACCUGUUCCAGUGAAAGAAACCGAGAAGAAGACCGUUUUAAUGUAAACCAUGGCCAAAGGAACCCAUCUUGAUUGAAAACCCAUCAUAAUUAGGACCGCCUCUAAAAAAAUCCCAUUCAACCCGGUCAUAAGCUUUAUUCAUGUAGACUUUCAGAGCCAUUUCAAAGCCAAAUUUUGAUUUUUUAUGCUUAUGUAAUGGAAAAUGUUAAACCCCACCCCCGAAUUUAUAUCUAAUUUUAUAAAUUCCCAAAGUUUUAUUGAAAUUAAACAUUUUUAUUUUCUCCUCCACUCCCUAGCUGCCACUUGGUAGCACCCUAACUCCCCAUUCUUUUCUUCCCUUUUCCCUCACCCCAUGACCCCCUCUAUUCUCUCUUCCAGCUCUCCCCUUUCAAACUCUCUCUCCUGUAUCUCUCUCUCGUUCUCAGAUCCACACACACACACACACCAUCACCACACUCCCGUACCCGCUUACUUCGUGACAUCAUCAUCAUCGUCUCGUUGUCCAUCUCUCUCUCUCUCUCUCUCUCUCUCUAAACACUUUCUUUUACCUCUCUGGCGCUGAGAAGGAAACCACCAUCACCCACGCCAUUUUUAACCAAACCAAAACCCAAAAAUAUGAACCUCAAACCUUUGGGACAUGGGGAAUCCACCUACAACCUUGCAUGGGUCAUCAAAGCACCUCUAUGUGCUCUGCCAUUAGCGCAGAGAGCUUGAGCUCUCUCGAACUCCAUCUUAGGUAUGGUUUAAUCCCUCUCUUGAUUAGUGUGGGUUAUAAUCUGGUAUGUGAUACGUGUUUAUGUCGAAAAUCUAAGGGUUUAAACCCUGUUUUGAAUAUAUGCAUGCAUGCCACCCCCAGUGACAAAUUCCGGCGGAUGCCGUUGAGUUUGAAGCUCAUGUUGUUCUUGAUAUUUAUAUAUUUUGUAAUCAUGAUGUGUAAUUAAGUUCAUAGCUGGGGAUUUCGAUGUAGCCUUGCAAAACUAUUCUAUGUUAUUAAGUUAAAGUAUUCGAUUCAUCAAUCUGUUUUCUUGUUUCAUUCACUGAUUUUAUAGUUUAAUUUGUUUGUUUAUCUUAAUGUUUGAUCACCAUUAGGGUUUCUUAUAGAUUAUUUGAUCAAGAUUAUAGUACACAUCAUGCUUAAUCUUGGUAGACAUGUGAACGAAUGAAGAAACUGCAAUGCAUACAUCCUGCCAUGUGAUUUCUUUGGUUCGUUGAAGUUUUCUUGUUCUUAAUGGAUUCUUACUUGCUAAUCUAAGUUGAACAUAACAACUAGAUUGCAGAUUAGGAGUACUUGAUCACAACCACACAUCAAAUGAAUGAUCAUAAAUAAGUAAAAUGAACCCUAGUUGUAGAUUGGAGAGUUGAAUGCGUUUUGACUUAAUUUUCGUGCAAUUGACUUAUAAUGGUGAAAUUGGUAUCCCUAGUUUCAUUCCCAUUGUUUCUGAAUCAUUCUAUUUUUUCAUUUUUACAUUCUCUUGCAUUUUAAGUUACUUUACUUCUCAAAUCAAAACUCAAUUUGUUAGUUUCAUUGUUUAGUUAGGAUUCACAUAAAGCUAGUAAUUUGUAGAGGUCUAAUCAGUACAUGUGGUUUGACACCCUUACAUGUGCCAUUAUACUACCCUUAUAGUUGCACUUGAAAGGAACACAACAAAAUUUUGCCGCUGUUGCCGGGGACUGAUUUCAGUCCCAUAUAAUAUGGAUAGAUGAAUUUCCAAGGAGAGAUGAAUUUCCUACAAUUGUCCGAGAGCAUUCACACCUCAUAAGUUUCUCCAACUGUUGUGUUCCUUUCAAGUGAAAAUAUAAGGAUAGUAUAAUGGCAUAAGUAAGGGUGUCGAAGCACAGGGACUGAAUAGAACUCUACAAAUUACUAGCUUUAUGAGAACUCUAACCACACAAUGAAAAUGCAAACUGAAUUUAGAUUUUGCAAUUGAAAACUAAAAUAACUUAAAAAUGCAAGAAAGAUAAAGAUAAAUGAUAUGUUGAUUAAGAAACGAUGGGAACGGAACUAGGAAUAUCGAUUUCACCAUUACAAGCCAAUUCAAUGAAAAUUAUGUUAAAAUGUAUUCAACUCUCCAAUCUGCAACUAGGGUUCGUUUUACUUAUUUAUGAUCAUCCAUUUGAUGUGUGGUUGUGAUCAAGUACUCCUAAUCUACAACCUAGUUGUGAUGUUCAACUUAGAUUACCACAUGUCUACCAAGAUUAAGCAUGAUGUGUACUAUGACCUUGAUCAAAUAAUCUAUAAGAAACCCUAAUGGUGAUCAAACAUUAAGAUAAACAAACAAAUUGAACUAUGAAAUAAGUGAAUGAAACAAGAAAACAGAUUGAUGAAUCGAAUACUUUAACUUAAUAACAUAGAAUAGUUUUGCAAGGCUACUUUGAAAUCCCUAGCUAUGAACUUAAUUACACAACAUGAUUACAGAAUAUAUAAAUAUCAAGAACAACAUGAGUGAAAUUAAAGUUCAUAGAAGAAAUCCCCUUGAAGCAAUUCUAAUGUUGAACUUCUCUAAGAACAGCGCGGCUGCGUGGUUUCUUUGGAGGCUGCGGAUGGUGAAUGGAGAAAGGAUUUUGUUUCUGGAAGAAAGGCCAAAGAAAGAGAAGGGAGACAUCUCUGGGCGAUCCCAAGGGGAAGCUUAUGUAAAAGUGGCUGAAACUCUCAGUUUUAUAAGGUUAAAGAGGCUGUUACAAAUUGCCAAUACAUCCCAAUAAUUGGGCAUUUAAUUCCCAUGUUUUUUUGCUGUUCAGUAUUAUAAAGAGCCAUAUUCAUCACCAUAUUCAAUUUCCUAUUUUAAUUAUUUGUCUACAUCAGCAUCCUUAUUCAAUUCUCCACUUUUAGCACCAUCUUGCCUUAUUUGUCCUUAACUGAGCUCCAAAAUGCGAUUAGCUGCACACUAACACAAAAGAGGGUAAAAUGCAACUAGUUUAACUCAAAAAUAUCACAAAGGGACUAGGAAUGGAUGGUAUAAAUGUAUGAAAUAUAUGAGUUAUCACCAACCAAAGGCCAAUACAUCCAUUGUCAAACACAAAUAGCUCUGUUUGGAGAAACCUUAAUCAUGAGUCUUAGAGCAGCAUGGAAGCUCCAAAUCAAGCAUUUGCACGUCCCCCACAGCAGACCCCAUUUGACACUUUAUUGGAGAACACUUUGGAGCUACUUGCUCAAAGCACCUUACAAUUUCAACAAUCAAUGAGUAGCAUGAUUCAAGAACAGUCCACUGCACUUACCAAGUUGGACAUUCAAUUGGGGUAGAUUGUCUAAGCGUUAAAUGAACAACAACCUUGGGGUGAUGGUCAAGAUGUGAACAUUGAACAAUCAUUGGAAUCUAGUUGUGCCUAUAUACAUAGAGAAGAUCUUAAACUUGAAGUUCUUUCCCAAUUUGCUAAUUCGCUUGAUUUUUUUUUUCAAAAGUUAUGUUGGAUUCUUCCUGUUGUUUUACAUCUUUGCAGGUGCCAUCUUUGGAGCCUUUUGGAGAUGAUUUGCUGCCAUAUCAAGAAGAAAACAUAUUGAAGUUGGAUGACAAAUCAUUAAUGUCCAUUCACCAUAAGAAAGAAAAUUCGAAGCUAGACGAUGAGAUUGUUGCCUUGAACGAAUUUCAUUCAUCCUUAGUAGCUAUAAACUAAUCCAUUGAAAUCAUUGCUCCAACCACAUCUUCAACAAUUUUUUAGGAUAUGCUUCUUAGCAAGGAGAGACAAAAACACCAUCACAAUCAAGUUCUUGUGGAAAUUCAACGCACCAUAUUCAAAGUCCAUCGAAAGAAACCACUUCUUUCGACCAACGUUCGGAAGUAUCUUGACUUCCUGCCACCCUAGGUGUUCAUCCAUCAUACACACCGCAUCUUGCCUAGACGUUAAAUAAAGCACUUGCUAGGAGGCAACCUAGCUGGGUUUGUGUCUUUUUAUUUGUGUCUUCUAGUUUUAUUUUAUUUUCAUUCCACACGCUUUGUCUAUUUACAUUGCAUGCAUUCCAUUCAUAUUUAAGCAUCGAAGACAAUGCUUAGUUUAGGUUUGGGGGUGUGGGAUUGAAAAUUUUCGUUAGCUUUUAGUUUUGGUUAAGUUUACUUUUGCUUACUAAUGUGAAUGUAUAUGAGGGCUAUGUUUACAAACAAAACUACAAUGUUGUCAUGAAAAAGUUUCAUAUCUUAUUUUCUUUUUUACAAAGUUGUUACUCUUGGAAUUAUGAUGGUUAAAGUACCAUGCGCAAAUUCUGGAAGAAGAAUAGCGGAGACUACCCUAGCGAGUUACUUUGAGCCUAUUUGCUUCUUUGAGAGGGUUUAAAGUGUUUCUGCUCCUAUCUUUUUCUUUCCAUUUCACUUUAAAUGAUCUCAUUAUUUCUCUUUAAUUGAAUGCUAAGAAUAAUCCUAUGUUGUAGAUACCAUAUGUUUAUUAUCACCUAUGAAUGAACUCAUUGAGACGAUGUUAGGUUAUGCAUGUUUUAACCACCAAAAGGCCUAAUUCCCAUCCCUUUGUGUGCUCCAUACCCUCUUUGCAGCCAAACACUUUUAGCCUAGUUCUUUCAUCAACCAUACCAAACUCUAUCAAUUUUAGCCCAUUACAGUCAUACCCUAUAGUUUGGGGAAUACCAAAGUGAUGAAGACAAAGAUAGAUUGAGCAUUAGAUCAAGAAUGUGGCGAGUACCAAGGUAACAUAUGCUGGAAUUACAAAACAAGAAAAAAAAAAGUUUCAAAAAAAAUAAAAAAAAGAGAUGAAAAGAAAAGAAAAAAACAUGAUAAAAGAAAAUGCAAUUUCCAAAUCCUUUCAUUAUCACACAUAGGUCCUGGACCCCAAGAACAAACAAGUAAGGUCAAUUGAAGAUGAGAGCUUGCUGGUUUCACAAGGAAGACACUUUGGUAUGUUCCAAGCUUUAGUAUUUCCUAUCAUUUUCUUCAUAGCCCCUCGCCUAAGCUUUACAUUACAACCGUGUGAAAGACCUA